rnacentral:lncRNA from 1 species
AAAGGUUUUCAUAUGCAUCCUUGGAACUUUGUAAGGUUUACAUGGAAAUUUCUUCCUCUUCUGGUAGCCGUCGAGAACUCUUUGCUGCUGAGAUGCACCUGAAGAACGUACUUAAACAAGUAAAAUACCUUAUAAUUUGAUAUUUAAGACACUUACAGUUGGUUUAAAGAUUGCAUUUUCCGUUUCUGUUUUUGACUGGUUCAGGGUAAAACUUUUUCUCACUGUGUUAGAGUGCAUUUCUGUUAUUAUAUAGUUUCUUAGAAGAAAAUGCGCUUUUUGGAAUCUCAGGCUGAAGGAUUUUCUGACAUGGAAGAGUUCAGGGAUCUUCAAGCUUGCCUUGAUGAAGUGAAGACGAAACUCCAAUCUGAUGAAGUGAAGACGAAACUCCAAUCUUGAAGAUAACAUCAAGUGUUGUUUUCAACCUCUGUUCUUUUAUGUAUAGCUUACAUGCCGUGAUUUCAUUAACCUCAAUUUAAGGACAAUUUCAUAUCUUUUUUCUUUCUGCUUUUCUUUUAUCAUUUAAGAACAAAUUUCAGAAAGCAUUUAAACAAAGCAACCGAACGUCGCUGGUUUCUAUUAUUACAUUGACAGCAAUAAAACAAAGAAGCAACUGAAAGUUAUCUUCAUAUGAGAAUGAAAGCUUUUUAGCAGCAUAAGCCUUUCACUAUUUAAUUCCAAACAUGUUCCUCAACAUGAUAACAAAUUCGUAGACCUUUUCUGGGUCUGGAAGGAUCCUGGCAACAGUUUCCCUUUGCAUGCACUUGUUCAUCCAAGCGGAGAAUUUGGGGCACUCAUUCGCAUCCUUAAAUCACCCAAAUUUCUCAACCGCGUAAAACCAACAAAUUUCUCAACCCCCAAAUUUGGGACAUCAACGAAUCCAAAGCUAUCCCCGCCAAAGAAAUCCUUCUCCCCCAAAUCUCCCUCAAGUUGCUUCAAUAUCUCUAUAAAUUCAUUCUUUGCCGUCUCCUGUGUUUUAAAAAAUCUAUUGUAAUGGAUAUAUUGUGAAUUUAUCUAAUUGCUUGUUAUAAUGCUUCUAUUGCGGUGUUAUUCGAGUUGUCAUUUUCAGUUUUAUUUUAUUUGUUCUUUAAACAUUGUUAAUUUGAAAUGUUCUUUAAUAUCCAUUACACUUGAGAUCAUCAAAUAAGUGAUUCUCGAACAUAAUUGCUGUUGUUACUCGAAUAAGAAAAGAAAACAAAGAAUAGCUAAGGUAAAAGUAAAUGGAAAUGAAAGCAACGUGAUUUUGCAAAGAGAACUUCACACUAUCAUAAAACCGAAAACAUUACAAUUUAAAGCUUUAAUAACAACACAUCAAUGCCAAAUAACGACCCACUAGAAUCAUGGUCCAAAGAUUGUGCCAUGAUCACAACAUGAACUACAAAAAAAUAACCAACACCAGAAAAGUAGGAACAGUUUCAAACUUUCAACUAAACAGCAUUUAUGAUUCCAUAUCAGCAGUCCUAAACACAUCUUCUAACAAUUGCAACUGUUCAUUUUUGCUUCUGUCAAUAAAGAGUUGAUUGUAACCAAAGAUUGUUGUCUUUAUUGUCAUUUGAGAGUAACAAAUUACUUACGCAGUCACGUAAGUUGUUGGUUGGCCUCGCACAUUUUUGACAAGUUUGUUUCUGAAGGAAACCAGCUGAGCCGCAACCUCUUCCAUGCUCAUUCGUUCUCUCGGCAACUCUGAAGAGCAAAUGGCUCCGAUUCCCAGUACGGAAACCAAGCACUCUUUACCACUAAAACUUCUGGUCCAUUGUUUGUGAGCAUUGGCGUUGCUCGUCUCCCCUUCUUCUCUUUCUACAAGAAGCACUGGAUCAACAAUUUCAGCGAGUCUUCCAGGAAGAGCUUCCUUGACAAAAUUAUGUAGGGUUAGAUUGCCUGUAAACAUCUCAUUCGUCGGCCUCUUUCCUGUAAACAUUUCCAGCAAGAGUAUUCCAAAACUGUACACAUCUCCACUUGUUGAGACUUCGCUCCCCAUUCCGUACUCUGCAAUGCGAAAACUAAAAUUGUUGGUUCAACUAGUAAAAUCUCAAAGGAUUGAAAGACAAGUUAAUUAAAUAAUAGUAUUUACCUGGAGCAGCAUAACCAACGGUUCCUUUUACUCCAACAGAGCUUGAUUGAUUAGAUGACAAGUUAUUGGUGGCUUCCGGAAGGAAUUUUGCUAAUCCAAAAUCACCUACAUGGGCAGUCAAUUCACCAUCCAGAAGAACAUUGCUUGGCUUGAGAUCACAAUGGACUAUUGGAGUUUCGCAAUAAUGAUGAAGAUAAUCCAAUGCGGAAGCAACAUCAACGGCAAUAUUCAGUCUUUGCAGGAGAUUUAGAUUCUUAAGUGCCUCACGGUUUGGAUGCAACCAUUCCUCCAGGCUCCCGUUAACCAUGAACUCAUAAACUAAAGCCUCGAAAUCAUUUCCUUGGAAGUCAACACUUGCACAGGAAGUUAUUAUUUUGACGAGAUUCCGAUGCCUAAUACUUCUCAAGGCCUGACACUCCGCCAUGAAACUCUUUGAAGCUCCUCGAUUUUGAAGAUUAAGCACCUUAACUGCCACCAGCGUUUCAUGAUCAUCAUGAUUGAGGAUUCCUUUAUAGACCGAACCAAAGCUACCGGCACCAAUCAAGUUUUCCAAAGAGAACCCGUCAGUUGCUUUGAACAGAUUCUCAUAGGACACUCGUAAAACCGAAGCCAAGAGAGCUGAUGGAGGAGUGGCCGGCUUCCUUUUUGAUUUGCUCCGCCAGGAAGUAAUUAUCAAACACGACAUCCCUGUUACUAACAAAAUUCCUGUAACAACAGGAAUAAUCAGUUUCAGGGAACGGGAACGUGAUUGCUUUGAUUCUUUGAUGGAACAAGUAGAUAAAUGCAACUCAGAUAUGCCACCACAGAGGUUAUCAUUUCCGUCAAGAGAUAUAGCACUCGAAUUGCUGAAGACUCCUUUUAUUGGUACUUCACCCUCAAAAUGAUUAAAAGACAGAUUUAAGUUCUGUAAAAUGAGAAAGUUUUCAAAAUAUUUUGGAAUCCGGCCAGACAAAUUGUUCCGCGAAAGAUCAAGGUUCUGAAUGCCUCUCAAAGAACUGAAUGAUGAAGGGAUAUUCCCCUGAAAGAAAUUACCAUUCAUGACGAGUUCUUCCAACCUAAUGCAGCUUCCUAGACUAUUUGGAAUUUCACCAGACAAUUUGUUCUCCGAUAUAUCUAUAACACCCAGAUUUUUCAAGAUACCAAAAUUUGAGGGCAAAGGACCAUUCAAUUGGUUUUGAGAUAGAUCAAGGUAGAUUGACAAGGAAGAGAGACCAAUCACUUCAGUGGGUAUGGUACCACUGAGGUUGUUAUUAGAGAGCUUUAAUGAUAUUAAUUUUUGGCAUUUCCCUAGACUCGAUGGAAUGCUUCCCUCUAACAUGUUUUCCUCAAAAUUUAGUGUGAUUAACAAUGUCAGAUUUCCUAUAGAAGAUGGAAUUUCCCCCAAAAACUUGUUCCCCUGGAGCCUCAACGACUGCAGCUUAUGAAGAUCUCCCAUACUUCCCAGAAUUUGGCCUGUGAAUUGGUUGUCCCCAAGAUCUAAAAGCUCCAAGUUAACAAGAUUUCUUAAUCCACUUGGGAUAUUUCCGAACAACUGAUUGUUUCCAACUACUAAUUUUCUAAGUCGGGUUGACAAGUUCCCUGCUGCUUCAGGUAACGUUCCACCAAAAUUGUUAGCACCAAUAUGCAGUACCUCUAGUCUGGAAGCGUUGACCAAAGAAUUGACAAAUUCCAAGUCAUCUUUUUCCCCAUUUCCUAAGUGAUUCGUAGAAAUACUAACCCAUUGGAGUUUAUGUAAAUUUUCCAAACUAGGCACCUUUCCACUGAAUCCAUUCAGUGGGAUUGCAAGUCUUAUUAGAUUUGAGGCAUUGGAUAUUGAAGCAGGAAUAGGCCCAGUAAACUGAUUAUCAGCAACGUUUAAAUCUUCAAGAUUAGGAAGAGUGAAGCCUAAGUCUGAUGGAAGGCUUCCUUGAAGUUGGUUGGCAGGGAAAGAAAAAUAAUUAAGCGAAGACAAGUUGUAGAUUGAGAAAGGGAUUUCACCUGAUAGCUUAUUUAUUCCCAAUAAUAUUUGACGCAUCCUCUUAAGCUCGCCCAGGGUUUCAGGAAUUUGUCCCAAAAAUUGAUUUGCAGCUGCUGAGAGGAACUCGAGUGAUGACAAAUUGCCAAAGGAAGAUGGGAUUUCCCCUGACAAAUGGUUUAAGUGUACUGUGAGAAUCCGGAGCUUUGGUAAGGAGCCCAGUUUCCCUGGAACUUUCCCCACAAGCUCAUUGGAGCCUAACCCGAGGGAUUCAAGGUUAACGCAAUGCGAUAUGUUGUCGGGAAUUUGACCUCCGAAUGUAUUGUUAUGCAGGGCUAAUAUUUGUAACCUGAACAGAUAUCCAAUCUCUUGAGGGAUUUCGUCGCGGAAGCUGUUGUUUUUGAGAUCUAACACUCUGAGAAAACUUAAAUUACCAAUGUGAGGCGACAAAGACCCCUGCAAGAGUGAAGAUGGAAGAAGUAAUGCAGUCACCCUUUGGUGCCGUGGACUGCAAGUGACACCUUUCCAUUGACAGAAGUGCCUGGAAUAGUUCCAUGAACUCAAAACCUCAAGAGGGUCAUGAGUAACUUUGGCCUUGAAUUCAAGCAAUGCAAGUUGAUCAGUUUCAUUGCUUUUGAGCAUAUAAUCGGUUGACUGCAAGCUGAAGCUGAAGCAACAGAAAAUAAAGAAACAAAUGCUUACAAUGAUUGAACUCAUCAUGUUUACAAAAUCCAUUUAACUGCCGAAGGAAAUUAAAAUGAUAAAACUUUUAUAGAGGUUGGUAAGAUAAACUAUGUUUGUAUAUUUUUUGCUAUGAUUUAUGGACUCUAUCCUUGAGGCUCAAAUGUGAACCAGCUGGCACCGUGACAGUGAAACUAAUACUUUUUGUUUUUCUAACAAUAUUAAUUAUCUUUUGACUCACCAUACUCUCUUUUGAGUCUCGGUCAUUUCCAGCAUUUGGUCAUUUUUUAUUUCACCGCUUAAUCCGCAGUAAAUAUAGAAAAAUUUAAUCAACAAUAUUGAAAAAGAAAAAAAGUAGGACAAGCGAAAGGUAAAUACGAUGGAUGGAGUGUUAGACUACUGUUAAAUGAGUUGGGAAACGUUCAAAGCACGACGGGAAUUAAAGAUUCACAACACCUUUUUUUCUAAAAUUUUCAGUACAGUCUCCCCCAAAAUUUGCUAGUGCAACAAAGAGACGUCGCGCCGUUAACAAUUUUAAACUGUAAAUGACAUGUCGUUUUCAAAAAUUCAUUUAACUGCCGGAGGAAAUUGAAAUUAUAAACUUUUAUAAAGGUUGGUAAGAAAAAAUAUAUUUGUAUAUAUUUGUAUUCAAUGAUUUAUGGACGCUGUACUUGAUGCUGAAAUUUGAACCGGCUGGCGCCGGGACAGUGAAACUAAUGAUUUUUAUUUUUCUAAUAAUAUAAAGGGAAAUUAUUAUUGUACCACCUUUUUUUUUUUUUAUGUUCAUCCAACCACCACAAAAUUCUAACGUGUUAUCUGCACUAUUUUUUUUUUAAAUUUGUAUCAAUUAGUCACUUUUGCACUAACACCGUUAAAUAAUUUAAAUGAAAUGAUAAUUUUAUCCUUAAAUAAAUUAAAAGAUCAUUUUAUCUUGUAAAAGUUUAAAAAAAAAAAAAAUUUAUCAAAAUACCCUACAUUUAAUAAAUAAAUAAAUCCUCUGAGAUUGUCAACUCAUUUAACAGUAGCCUCCCACACAGGAAUCAACAUUUCACAAAGCUUUUUCCCUUUCUGAAAUAUUCGGUGCAGUCUCCCCCAGAUUUUGCUAGUGCAACCAAGAGACGUCAUGCCGUUAUCGAUUAUAAACUGUAAAUGACAUGUUGUUUUUACAAGACAUAUUAUGCGUCGAUACAUACCUUUCUGGUUGUUGGUUUAUAAAAAUAUAUGAAACGGCACGUGUGUGAGUGUGACAACUCUUGUCAUUUGUGCAUACACGGCCUGUCGUUUUCAAAGUAAAAUUUUUAUCAUGGUAUUCUAAUCUCCCAGCUGCCGUUUGCCGUUUGGAAUUGUUCUGUAUAAGAUCUUGAUCAUCGAAUUUACUGCCGUUUGCGGUUUCUCAAGCUUGAAACGGCGGCAAUCCCGUCGGUUUUCAGCGACAAUGACAGACUGACAGUUUGGGGUAUGAUGGCCGGUCUUCAAGCUUCAGAUUGGUACCAAGCUUGACCGGUGGGGUGGCCGGAAUCACAGCUUCUUUUACUCUCUCACACGUGUGGGUAUAUGUUCCCUGUUUCUAGCUUAUUCUUUUUUUUUUUUUGAACUUUUUAACCGCCUCAUUUUUAUUUAUUUUUUCACAUAUGUUACAUAUGACAACUAAUAGUAGUAAUUAUUUUUAAUAAAGUAAUUAUUAUUAAUAAGGGUCAUUCUAUAAUGCCGUAACUAAAUUUACGGCAUUGAUGCCGUAAUGGACGUGGACCGUUAGAUUUGAAUAAAAAAUCUCUACCAUUAAUUCUAAAUAAAUAGGUAACAUAUUACCUAAGUAGUAGGCAAUUACUCUUUUUUAUUCAAGUUUCAGGUUACAUUUACUAUUUUAUGUGUGAUUUACAAGUUUUAUGCAACAUUUACAAGUUUUUGUUUUGUUUGCAAGUUCUUCUUAUAAUUUACAACUCUAACAUUAAUUUACAUAUUUUUCCAUUAAUUUACUAGUUUUAUGUGUGACUUACAUAUUUUUUUGUUUCAUUUCACACUUAAUGUCAAUUUACAAGUUCUAUGUAAUUUUUCUAAGUUUUUGUUUUGUUUACAAGUUCUUCUUUCAAUUUACAACUCCAAUAUUAAUUUACUCAUUUUUCAAUCAAUUUACUAGUUUUAUGUGUGAUUUACAUAUUUUUUAUUUCAUUUCACACUUAAUGUCAAUUUACAAGUUCUAUGUAAUUUUUCUAAGUUUUUGUUUUGUUUACAAGUUCUUCUUACAAUUUACAACUCCAACAUUAAUUUACCAAUUUUUCCAUCAAUUUACUAGUUUUAUGUGUGAUUUACAUAUUUUCUGUUUCAUUUCACACUUAAUGUCAAUUUACAAGUUCUAUGUCAUUUUUCUAAGUUUUUGUUUUGUUUACAAGUUCUUCUUACAAUUUACAACUCCAAUAUUAAUUUACUCAUUUUUUCAUCAAUUUACUAGUUUUUUGUGAGAUUUACACAUUUUUUGUUUCAUUUCACACUUAAUGUAAAUUUACAAGUUCUAUAUCAUUUUUCUAAGUUUUUGUUUUGUUUACAAGUUCUUCUUACAAUUUACAACUCUAACAUUAAUUUACCAAUUUUUCCAACAAUUUAGUAGUUUUAUGUGUGAUUUACAUAUUUUUUGUUUUAUUUCACACUUAAUGUCAAUUUACAAGUUCUAUGUAAUUUUUCUAAGUUUUUAUUUUGUUUACAAGUUCUUCUUACAAUUUACAACUCUAACAUUAAUUUACCAAUUUUUCCAACAAUUUACUAGUUUUAUGUGUGACUUACAUAUUUUUUGUUUUAUUUCACACUUAAUGUCAAUUUACAAGUUUUAUGUCAUUUUUCUAAGUUUUUGUUUUGUUUACAAGUUCUUCUUACAAUUUACAACUCCAACAUUAAUUUACUCAUUUUUCCAUCAAUUUACUAAUUUUUUGUGUGAUUUACACAUUUUUUGUUUUAUUUCACACUUAAUGUAAAUUUACAAGUUCUAUGUCAUUUUUCUAAGUUUUUGUUUUGUUUACAAGUUCUUCUUACAAUUUACAACUCUACCAUUAAUUUACCAAUUUUUUCAUUAAUUUACUAGUUUUAUGUGUGAUUUACAUAUUUUCUGUUUCAUUUCACACUUAAUGUCAAUUUACAAGUUCUAUGUCAUUUUUCUAAGUUUUUGUUUUGUUUACAAGUUCUUCUUACAAUUUACAACUCCAAUAUUAAUUUACUCAUUUUUUCAUCAAUUUACUAGUUUUUUGUGAGAUUUACACAUUUUUUGUUUCAUUUCACACUUAAUGUAAAUUUACAAGUUCUAUGUCAUUUUUCUAAGUUUUUGUUUUGUUUACAAGUUCUUCUUACAAUUUACAACUUCAACAUUAAUUUACCAAUUUUUCCAUCAAUUUACUAGUUUUUUGUGUGAUUUAUACAUUUUUUGUUUCAUUUCACACUUAAUGUAAAUUUACAAGUUCUAUGUCAUUUUUCUAAGUUUUUGUUUUGUUUACAAGUUCUUCUUACAAUUUACAACUUCAACAUUAAUUUACCAAUUUUUUCAUCAAUUUACUAGUUUUUUGUGUGAUUUACACAUUUUUUGUUUUAUUUCACACUUAAUGUAAAUUUACAAGUUCGUUGUCAUUUUUCUAAGUUUUUGUUUUGUUUACAAGUUCUUCUUUCAAUUUACAACUCCAACAUUAAUUUACCAAUUUUUCUAUUAAUUUACUAGUUUUAUGUGUGAUUUACAUAUUUUUUGUUUCAUUUCACACUUAAUGUCAAUUUACAAGUUCUAUGUCAUUUUUCUAAGUUUUUGUUUUGUUUACAAGUUCUUCUUACAAUUUACAACUCUAACAUUAAAUUACCAAAUUUUCCAUUAAUUUACUAGUUUUAUGUGUGACUUACAUAUUUUUUGUUUUAUUUCACACUUAAUGUCAAUUUACAAGUUAUAUGUCGUUUUUCUAAGUUUUUGUUUUGUUUACAAGUUCUUCUUACAAUUUACAACUCUAACAUUAAUUUACCAAUUUUUCCAUUAAUUUACUAGUUUUAUGUGUGACUUACAUAUUUUUUGUUUUAUUUCACACUUAAUGUCAAUUUACAAGUUCUAUGUCAUUUUUCUAAGUUUUUGUUUUGUUUACAAGUUCUUCUUACAAUUUACAACUCUAACAUUAAUUUACCAAUUUUUCCAUCAAUUUACUAGUUUUAUGUGUGACUUACAUAUUUUUUGUUUCAUUUCACACUUAAUGUCAAUUUACAAGUUCUAUGUCAUUUUUCUAAGUUUUUGUUUUGUUUACAAGUUCUUCUUACAAUUUACAACUCUAACAUUAAUUUACUAGUUUUAUGUGUGAUUUACAUAUUUUUUGUUUCAUUUCACACUUAAUGUCAAUUUACAAGUUAUAUGUCAUUUUUAUAAGUUUUUGUUUUGUUUACAAGUUCUUCUUGCCAAUUACAACUCUAACAUUAAUUUACCAAUUUUUCUAUUAAUUUACUAGUUUUAUGUGUGGUUUACAAAUUUUUUGUUUCAUUUCACAUUUAAUGUCAAUUUACAAGUUCUAUAUCAUUUUUCUAAGUUUUUGUUUUGUUUACAAGUUCUUCUUGCAAUUUACAACUCCAACAUUAAUUUACCCAUUUUUCCAUCAAUUUACUAGUAUUAUGUGUGGUUUACACUUUUUUUGUUUCAUUUCACACUUAAUGUCAAUUUACAAGUUUUAUGUCAUUUUUCUAAGUUUUUGUUUCGUUUAUAAGUUCUUCUUACAAUUUACAACUCUAACAUUAUUUGAAAGCCUAGGCCCGAUCAUAGUUGCUUUCAAAUUUUUUUAAUUUUUAAUUAAUUUAAAAUUAAAAAAUGGACAUUUGACUAAAAAGUUUAAAGUAACAUAAAAGCUUUAGAAAUUGUUUAAAGUAACAUAAAAAUAAAAAUCACUCAAUAUCGCAACCAUAUUAUUAUAUAAAUAAUAAACAUAUAUAAACAAUGUUUUUAAGUUUUAGGGUCAGGUCAAGCAUGUAGGGCCUGAACCCUAAUCUAAAUUUAAUUGGGUGCUAAUAUUUAGGCUUGAGCCUGAUCCUAGACCCUUAAAUUCAAGUCAAAGUUUAGAAAAUUCGGGUCAAGUCAAUCUGACUAAAAAGUCAGGCCAAGUGUUUCUUGCAUGUAUAUAUGUUUGCAUCUUAAUUUUUAUUUUUAUUUAUCAUAUAAACUAUUCUAUAAAUUUUUUUUCUACAAACUAAUGUAACAUAAUUCAUUUAGUUAAGUUAUGCCAUCAAAAGUAUCUAAUUUCAAAAUAUAUGAUCUCUUUUCAAUUUUUUUUUAACCCAAGAAAUUAGAAAAAUACGCAAUCAUAGUUCAAUAUAAAUAAAGUAUGAAUAUAAAUGUCAUAGGAGUAAGGUAAAAGAUUGUAUAAUUUUUAGAUAAAGAUCAAGUAAUUAACAAUUACAUAAUUUUUAGAUAAAGAUCAAGUAAUUAACAAUUACAAGUUGGGUAGUUAUUAGCCAAGAAUUGGUAAUGGUUGGGUAAAGAGAGAUGGGUAACGAGCAGGUAAAAUGGAGAAUAAAUAUCAUCUUUUAAGGAUGUUUAGACAUAUUUUUAAUGAAUUGUUAUACUACUAGAAUUACUCAGUGUGAUGUCAUAUUUAUAGAAUUAAGUCACUUUUAUGGCAUAAACAAUAUAAUUUCCUCAGCGUGCAAGAGCAUGUUAAUCUGAACAAUAGAAAUGAAACCAUCCUCAUUACAAACCAACCGAAAAGAAAAUAUUUUAGUACUAUUAUAUCUUGUUAACCAGUGAGGACCAUUAUUGUUAACCAUUCAAUCAAGCCACCCUCCCUCUUUCACAAUUUUUUUCUUAAAAAGGGGAAAAUAGCAUUUAAAAAUAAUGGCAAAAUACUCAAAUCAUGGAGUUAAGCCACUAUUAUGCUUGUAAUUAUGGAAACAUUACUCAAUAUGAUGUCAUAUCUGUAGAAUUAAGCCACUUUCUUGAGAUAAAUAGUGCAAUUUCCUUAGAAUUUUAAUAAUUUCUAUUAAAAUAUGGAAACAAAAUCAUAAUAUUAAAGAAAAAAGAAAAGAAUAAAUUAUUCACCAAAAUAAUAGCUAUAUCAAAAUUUGUAGAAAAAUUCCUCAAAGAGCGACAAAAAUUUCACUCAUACUGCAUCAUUUAUCAGCUUCAAGCUUCUUUUGUAACAUAAAUGUUGUCCAUUUCCUUUCAUGUAAUCAAACAAAGCCCAGUUCUCUAAGCUCCUUGUGCACAUUUUAAAUACUGCGGCCGUGGCAUGGUUUUCACGAUAAUUUCUCUUUAACUUGUAGUUGUAGGCAAAGUUGAAGUACCUUAAGCUUGCGAGGAGGAAAGCUUUUGAAUAAAUUUACCUAUUUAGCUAAAUUACAAAGGUAAAUUUGGAAGUUAGUCUAAGUUAAAUGGUUUCUUCUCAAAGAAAGGAAAAAAAGAAUGCAAUGGUAAUAACUUAUUAAAGUGUUAUAAAAGAUCUUGCACCUAAAUUAAUUAAUAAUAUGUUCAAAGUUUUACAGCCAUUCGAGUUUUGACACUUUCUUGAAUGAUAAGUCUAAAGUAGAAGAUCCAAAAAGAUGAACUUAAAUCUUUCCCACCAACUGCCGAAGGGUAAUCUCCUUUUAAUCAGUUUCAACUAAUGAAAUAGGAUCUUAACAACCAGUUAUUUGUGAAAAAAUACAAAAUAAAAAAAAAAACAUAUGAGAGAAAAUUUGUACCUCAAAUAGAGGAUUUACACAUUUUCUUAGGCCAAUGGCUUAUAACAUUAUUAUCCUUUGCAUUUAUGAAGAUCUAAUCAUAUGGAAGUUUAUGUAGAAUACAGUUAGAAUUGCCUACAACAAACCAGAAAAACUAUUAUAAUAGGCACCUAAUUAAAUCAAAUUAACUUGCUCACUCUGGAAGUCCAACAAAUAGAUUAUUUACAAUACAAAAUUAAUUAGCAGGAAAUAAUAAAGAUAACAUGUGAAAACAGUAAAUUUUGAUGAAGAAAACCAAAGAAUACAAAAGAGUGAAAGAAAGAAAAUCAAGCAGAUAUAAAACAAUUCAAAAGAAAAUCAAGGUGAAAAAAGGAAUUCCCCAAAAAUCAAUACUAAAAGACAAAAUUAGUACCAAGAAUUGGCUAACUUGGUGGGCAAUCUGGCUCAAAAAACAGGAAAAAUAAAGCACAAUUCAAAGAUAGCCUUUGCCCGUUCUAGUUUGCAAGGAUUAUGUGUUUUGGAAUUUAACGAGCUUUAGGGCCUGUUUGGUACCGUUUUCAAGCCUCUAUUUUCGUUUUUGUUUUAUAAAUACAAUUGAAAAACAUGUUUGGUGGGCUAAACUCAGAAACAAAUUAUAAAACAAAAAAUUCGGAUUCAGCUUUCUAGUUGUAAAGUUGAAAAUGUGUUUAAUGCGUUUUCAAAUGAAUUUACAGUUCACACUCAAGAACAAACUACAGAACAAAUCUCGGCUCGUGUUCUCUUCAUCAACAGCUCCCAAAGUCCCCGAUCUAAACUCUCCGCACUCACUAUCACUCUCUUCUUCCUCUUUCUCUAGAUCUACAACACAUAUCGCUCCCUCUAACUCGAUCUGCCAGUCCGUUGCUGCUGCUGCUCGAUCUCGGCUGUUGCAGCUGCUGUCUUCACUUGGUAUUUGCUCCAGCUACUUCCAGUUCGUUGCUGCUGCUGCUGCUCUUCCAGUUCGUUGCUGCUGCUGCUAGAUCAUGCUGCUGCUGCUCUUCCACUCGCUUGCUGCUGUUGCUAGAUCCUGCUGCUGCUGCUCUUUAGAGUUUGUACAUUCACCAUUAAUCCGAUGCUCUUCAUGAUUACAGAACGUUCAAACUUUCGAAGAAGAUUCAGGUCAACCUUCAAUUCAGAAACCGGAAUAAGGUCAUUUCUCUAUGACAGUUUAUGAGUUUAUCAUUGAAGAAUCUUCACUUUCUGUGUUGCUCUUCUGGAAGUGUCAUUACAUUUCCUUCAUGUAAAUGUUUGAGAUUCAAUGGUCGAAAGGCCAUUAAUUAGCAUUAAUAAUUUUCUGGUUGAGCAGUACGUUGUAUCUUGUGGCAAUCAACAUGUGUGUGCAAUUUGUAUUUUCUUGUGAUUGAAUUUCUGGAGUUCUAUUCUUUCAGAAUUGAUAAAUUCAAAGGGUAUGCUGGUCUAGUGGCCUUGGUGCUAUUGUUAGAAAUACCAGUGGGGACAUUAUGCUUGCAGCAGUAAAGACCUAUAAAUUUUUGGGAUAACGAAUUCUCAGGGGCAGAGGCUCUUAGAUUUGGAUUUUGGGACUUAAGUAAGCUCGAAACUGAUGCUAAGACUUUUGUGAACGGAAAUGAUCCAAGUCAGAAGGAAAAUCUUCAGAAGGAAUUGUUAGGAGUAAUCUUUAUCUUGCUUUCAAAUUAAUCCCGAGGAGCUAUAAUGACAAUGUCAAACUUUUUUUUAAUUAAUGUUAAUUCUUAAACUUUAUUAUCAUGUAAUUUUUUUUAUAUUAAAUUUGGUUAAAUUAUUUUGUUGUAUUUGUGUGUAUUAGCUAAAUAAUUAUUUUAUAACUAUAAAUAUAAUGUAAAUGAUUAGUAAAAAACUGUUUUUGAAAAAAACAUUACCAAACGCAUAUUCUCUGUUUUUAUCAUUUUCAACUGUGUCUACCAAACACAUAUUACUGUUUUCAAUUUUAAAAUAUAGGAUACAGAAAAUGAUACCAGACGCAUAUUUAAAUUCGAAAUACUAUAACUGCAAAACACCAUUUUCAUUUUCAUUUUUAUUCUAAAAAAAUACAGAUUCAAAAACAAUACCAAACAGACCCUUAGCCUCUUCGAGUUGGCCACUGGGAAACAACCCCUUUCGCAACACAUGAUGAAACAAAACGGCGGAACGGCGAUGACGUGGAGUUGGUAGUGGAGAAAGACUCAGUUGCUCUUUUCCUCUCAAUAUGAAUCGGUUGAAGUUUUACUUCGGUCCUAUCAUAAUCCCUAAUUAACGUGAAUGAGUGAUUUUAAAAUAAAUCAGUUAUAAUAAUUUUCUAAAAAAUAUAAUAAUUCUUUUUAAGUUUAAUCGGUUAACUUUUACUUAUAAAAAAAUGUUAACCAGGUUGUAACCUGUUGAAAAAAUAAAAUUUAUAUGAUUAUAAUUAUUAUGUACCAUUGAUCUAAUCUAACGGUACAUAAUAACUACGGCAUUGAUACCGUAAUUUUAAUCACGGCAUCAUAGAAUUUUCCUAUUAAUAAUAAUAGACACACUGUUUAAACUCACUAUCUAAACUUGUUCACAAUUCAAUUAACAGGAUCUCCCUCCAACAAAAUGUCAGCCUUGCAAAAUCUAAUAACCGCAAAAUCUAAUUAUCUUGGUCAUGAAUAGCAUCAGCAAGAGACUUAUACAUAAAAGGCGGUUAAUAAAACUAAAAACAAUAUAUAAAUAUUUGAACUUUUUUUCACCUUGCGUGGCUAUAAUCAAUAGCAUUGGCAAAUGCAGGGAAUAAAGAACGCAAAAGAUUCAGAAUUUUGUGAUAAGAAAAUGAACUUAAUAAUGAUUUUAUGCAUAGAAAAACUAAAAGUCUGAAACAAAGACCAAGAAAAAUAUCAAGAGGGCAGCUUUAGAUGACCAAUUCAAACGACACCGACGAUUGAAACUUCUUGAAAAUGAUUACUUGUUGAAGAUCUCACAACCUGGAAGACCCGAGUAUUGAAAGUGGGUAUUACUCACUACCACUGAAUCUUUCAGCAAAGCUUUCAAUUAACGUGCCCUUCGGGUCCAAAAUUAGAAUUUUUUUUCACUUCAAUUAUUAGCAAAUUUAGUUUAAAAAACUGAUAAAAAUGACGUUAAAUUCGAUCAGAUUUACAUAUUUAAUUACAAACACAGUAACCCCGAUCAGAUGCAUACACUAAUUUUAUUUAUUUUUUGUCAGCUUUAACCUCAUUGUCAUUUUGAAUAUCCUACAAGAGUCGAAUGACUAGACUUCCAAUUUGCUAUCAUCCCCCUUGAAUGGGUUCAAGAAAUUCAGCAGGUUGCGAAACAAUAAGAUUCAUUCAAUCCGCGUAGAUAUCUAACUGACUGAAAUUAAAUAAUGAUGAUGAUAAGAAAUUUGAAAUCAACAAAUCUCGGCACAUCUAUUCUGCAAUUUGGCCGUACUUCAAAUAAUCUUGCGAUAAAAAUUUCAUAAAAAAUCUCAGAAAGAGGACAGAACAACCAAGGCAUCAGCGAAAGCAAUCGAGGCAGGGCACGCUCAAGCCACAAAUUAGAGGAAUUUUAAAUAUCAACACCAGCUCAGAAUAAUAAGAAGUAAAAUGAAUCUACAAAAGACUAAGAUUUUGGAUGAGUGAAGGGAAGAUGAGAAGAUGAAAUGCAGAAAGUCAAGAAAUGAAUAAACCAAUAUUAAUAAUCUUGGACCCACAGCUCUAAUUUGGAUUAAGCAUCCAUCUACCUAUGUGGAUAAUACUUUUGCUAAUUUUUCAGCCAUGCAGCAGGAUCAUGUUCUUCCUGUUUUAUUUAAUAGAAGGAAUUUUCCCUUGGAAGAAAAUGAUGAGUUGUUUCAACGUAAUGCAACCGCCUAGACUGCAUGGAAUUUCACCAGACAAUCACAAUUUAUUCUCAGGUAUAUCUAACGCCCCCACAUUUGCCAAAUUUGAAGACUGAUCAAAACUUUUUCCAAACUUUGAGACUGAUCAAAACUUUUUCCAAAAAUUCGGGAUUCAGGUCGAUCAGGCCGUUUUGAGACUGAUCAAAACUUUUUCCAAAAAUUCGGGAUUCAGGUCGAUCAGGCCGGUUAUGUUUUGAAAAACUUGUAAAUUUUCAGUGAUCAAACUUCAAAACUUUGCAAAUAGGUCAAAAUAUGAAAAAUACUUGAUAUAUUAUUGAAUACUCAUUUUGUUUUGCAUUAAUAUAAGGCUGUGGGUGCUAUCUAGUAAUGUUGGUAAAAUUUCUUGAGUUGAAAACAAUAAAACGAAAACUGCUCUAAUAGAUCCGCCCCUGUUUGAAACUCACUCAUAUGGAUGGGAAAGAAAUUUAGUUACCAUUGGAUUUAAAAAUAAUAAUUAAUAUUAGAAAAAAAAAUUGUAAGGCUUCGACAAGAUUUGCUAAUCAUGUAUAGGUUAAAAUUUAUGUGGGUUUGGCCACCAAUUUAGCAUUAGGAACUUAUUGUUUAGGAAGCUAUGGUGGGUUUCGUAGUGGGACUUAUCCUCUUUAAUGCAUAUGGUGAUUUUAAACCAACAUUUAUAUAAUCCCAUUAUAAAACUCAUCAAACCUUCUAAAAUAACAUGUUGAGAUAGUGUACUAUAUCCAUAUAAAUAUUUCUCCAACUUCUUAGCUUGAAGCGAUAUUCAUUUCCAUUGAUAGUUUAAUGGGCAAAGCCUUUUGAAUUCUCCAGGUUAUCAAGUUAAUUUUUGCUGGAAAAUGCAAUCCGGAUAUGAAUAGAUUUUUUUGUGCAAUCAAAUUUUCUAUGUUGACGCAUCCUCUAGAACUUUCAGUAAAUUUUAUGGAGAAGCUUUAAUUUCUUAGUUGUUGAUUUCAAAUAUAUUAAGCUCGUAUUUGGUAUUAAAGUAUUGUGGCUUAAAAGUUAUAGUUCGUAUGAAAAGAAAUUUGUAAUUACAAAAUAAAAAUUGAUAGAGUGUGAUAAAUAUAAUUUCAAAAUAAAAAAUAAACUUAACUUCAAAAUUACAAUAAUAAGAAUUACCCUUCAAAAUUAUAAUUUCACAAUUGCCAUUGCCACAAUUGCAAUGGCAAUUGUGGCCUAGUAAAAUCCCUCAAUGAGUCACAGCACUAGCAAUUUCGUAAUAUACAGUAGUGGUAAUUUUGUAAAAUUGAAGUAGUGAUAGUUUUGCAAAUAAAAGUAAAAACUUUUUCCCUAAAUUCGGCUGAGCUAAAAGCCAGCUUAGCCCACACUCUCCUUCCAGAAUUUUUUAAGUCUCCCCAUUGUACAAGUUAAACAAUAAAGUCAGAAUGAUGAUGGUGUUACAAACAAUCAAAUAUGAUUUUAAUAAUUCUUUUUAUACAGUCACCUGUAUGUUGACGUGUUUAAUUGAUGUUUAUUUAAGCAGAAAUCGAAAUUUGAUCCUGAUUAAUUAGAUGAGAACACACAUUCAUGAGUAAUUACUUAAAAUUAAAUUAAUCAAAAUAGUAAAUACAGGAGAAAAUCGAUCAUAUGCGUGCAGACACCACAAUCGAAUUAUAUAUAUCACCGCCGCACAUAAAUCUUAUUCCAAUGAUAUAUGAUUAAUUAAUUAAUUUUUUUAAUAACAAUUAAAUUGUAAUGUCAAUUGUCCACAUAAGAUUUUUUUUUGUUGAUGAAAGUUAGUAAUGUUUUUCCAUCUUUUUAAAUAAUAGUUGUUAAUACAAAUCAAAAAGAUAUUAGGACUUGAGAUCAGGGUUUGCUUGAGUUAGAAUUUUUUUUAUUACAAAAGCUAUUAGCUAGCGAUGCAAAAUAAAAAAGCAACACAAGAUAAAGAAUAAAAUGAGAGAGCAUAUAUUAUAAAAAGAUUUUGCUCAUUCCAAGUGUGCACCAAAUAAAGAAAUGAACUCUUCUUUUAUAGUUACAUAAUUAUUAUAUAAAAUUAAUAAAAAUAUUAUAGAUUAUAAUUACUUGCGAAAUAAUGGGAGUUGUAAAAAAGUCAAAAGUUAAUAGUGGAAGAUAAUAAAGACAACAAUUGGAAGGAGUUUACGUGUGUGUGUGUGUGUGUGUAUUGACAUAAAAAUGGCAUGACGUGUGGUUUAUCACCGAAAGGCUGUUUUAAGUUAACCAACUAAAAACUAAAACCCCCCUCUUGUUCGUUUCCAGGGACUUCACCUUGAUGGUCGAAAAGCAACUGGAAAUCCUCCGCGGGUACGAGCUGCGGCUCUUGUGCUGCACCCUCGCUCCCCCACAGUCCGAUCUUCGCAUUCAAUCGCAACCGUUGAACGAAGAAAGCCAAUGCUCUCUCCUAGUCUCCUUCCACUCCACGAGCACAUCAACAGCCUCAUCGACUCCAUCGAGUCCGGCCACUAUCUCCAGGCUCUGUCCUCCGACGCGGCUAAACUCGUCCUCGACACGCUCGACUUCGUCGACAUCAACGACUCAGCCGAGUGUGCCGACCGCGUCUACUCCGAGCUGCUCCAGCUUGUCGAAGCGUUUGUAGUGAACGAUUCCGAAAAUGACGUGGAUAAGGCUUGUCGAGUUAUUCUGCUCAUGUGUCUUUCAAUUGCUGCUCUUUUUUGGUUCACUCAGUGUAACGUGACUGGUUGAGUUGCUUAUUUAUAAAUUUUUAAAUAAUUGCAAUUAAUAUAAUAAAUAUUAGUACAAAAUUAAAAAAAAAAGGUUUAGUGGUGAACGUUUGAACUCGAAUUAAUAGGCCUUUGGUUGAUAAUUCGCCAAAGUGUCGGUUUCCACUAGAAGUUUCAACUUUAGAAGGCAACGAAUUGAUAGAGUGGGAGAAUUGGGCGCGUUAUCAGCUCAUGUCUGUUGGCUCUGACUUGCUGGGAAAGUUCUCCUAUCUUCACGUACUCAGUCUAUCGAAAAAUGAAUAGAUUCUAUUGCUUAGACUGUGUUAAUGUUAAUAUUAUCUUUUUUAACUUAUUUUACAUUUUGUGAUCUUUUUGUAGUAUAUAGUUUUUGCCAAAAUGUUGCUCAUGAAGACAAAAGAUUUGCUGUUUGAUGCAACUGUGUUGCCUGUGAAUGGGAUUAGAACCAUUUCAUGGUGGCUCACAAGACUCCUACUUAUGCAUCAAAGGAUUUUAGACGAGCGGUCGUCUUCUUUGUAUGAUCUAUUGAAAGUUUUUAUGGCUGAGACUUUACAACAUUUUGGCACUUUGGAAAAUGUAACUACUUAUUGGGGCAACCAGUUGCAUGAUAUCGAUCCUUCAGAGAUUGUUUCAACAGUUCAUUUGGAAGCAGGACUGUUAGAACAUAUUUACAGGAGAGUUGAUUCUUGCAGGUGAGUUAUCCUGGGAAAGUUUUAUAUUCGAUGGUCUUAUUUCUGGCUACAAUAGAAAAGUUUUCUCUUGGAAACAUGUUAUUUCCAACAUGGAACUUGCCUGUAGAACUCUCUGUCAUUGAAAUUGAUUUUGUGCAUUGUGUGUAAGGGAGGUGCAAGAACGAAGUUUUAUGUUUGGACUUCAUCAAAAUCUCCCAUUUUUUAAUGUUUAUUGUUUCAAUCAUCGAACAUUAGUUUGAGUUGUUAGCAUUGGAAUUUGCAUUAACUGAUUACUAACUUCCAUCACUACCAUUACUAUAGGACUUCUUCUAUAGUUUCUGCUGAUUUCUAAAAUGCUUUACGGUAUCAGGAAACAUUUUGAAUCAGCUGAAGUGGCAGCUGGUCUCCAGCUUUCGGUUACUGGGGUUCUUGGUUUCCGUACCAUCCACCAGGUAAAGAUCGAAUGUGCAUCAUUUAUAAAGUUGUCGGGAUCUUCCUUCUUAGCUUUGAGAUUGCUCCUGCAUAUAGGUAGAGCCAAAGGCACAAAUGGUACUUGUUGCAAACACAAGCUCAUCCAACACUUCUGAUGCCUGGCCUUCAAUAAGCCAAGUCAUUCAUACACAUGAUUCUACUAUUGGUGAUGCCUCCGAUGUUUUUGUGACCCCAAAAUUAUUGGGGAAUAGUCAUGAAUCUGAAACUGGAGUCCAAUGCAAUCAUGCUGGUGGCUCAGCAGCCCAUUUAAAGGCAAUCCAACAGGCAGUGAUCUUGUCGAAGUGCCUUCUAAUAGAAAAGAGCUCACGGCAAGAUGAAAUGCAAAGUAAGUUGUUUUAUGGUUGGGCGGUGUGUAGUCGUCUUGUUAAAUGCCAUAAGACGUUAAGCAUAUUGCUAUUUAAUUUUUAAAUCAUUCUCAGUAAUAAUUCCUUUAGUAGAUUGAUGAUAAGAGAUUGCAUUACAGAUGAUAACUGAGCACAAUUUUUGUAGUUGUAUCCCUGUACAUCCAACUUAAUAUCCUCAUUGUAUUCACAUGCCUUUUACGGGUGUUAUUUCUGGAUGCCGAAUGCUUUGUUCCACUUCUGGAUACCAAAUGCUUUGUUCCACAAAGCUGAGCUGGUUGCAAAGCUAGCUGAUGAGGUCAACAAGUCCCUUCAGUAAUUUGAGGAUGAACACUGUGUUCCUGAAAGUCUUACUCUAAUGAUACUUAAAGAAGCAAUGAGAAUGGAUGUUGCAGCAGCUUUGCCUGAACUCAACCACAGUUCCAAACAUGGAACAUGUGAAAACCAAAAAUGCUUUGUUUUUUUUCUCUUUAUGACUUCUAUAGUUGCGGAAUGUAUUAGAUAUUCACCUAAUCAGUAGGCCUUGAAGGGAUCCCAUGUUAGCCCCUUGAUGUUGGUCUGUAACUAAGUAAAUACUUGACCUUGAAAAAGCUUUUGGAUCUGUUGAUUUGGUCAUUUGCCGAUUUAUAGCUUGUUUUCUGAUUCAGGAUGGGAUAUGGCUCCAUACAUAGAGGCAAUUGAUUCACAGCAGUCGUCAUGCUUCAUUGUAAGUAUAUAUACAAUACAGUGUCAGUUUUUCUUGAUGUUAAAUUUCAUAUCUUGAAGUGGUAUUUCUGAUUCUCACAUGAUUUUUCCAUCUUUCAGCUAAAGGUUUUCUGUGAUCUCUUAUGUAUUAGAUGGGAGUCCACCCGUAGUCGCACAAAAGGGCGUGCUUUAGAGAUGAUGGACAAACUGGUAUGAUCUGUGAGCCUUUUCUUCUUAAAUAUUUUGUUACCUAAACAUUUUCAUUCAAAUCGACAAGAGUUGCUUAUCCAUCUAUAGAAGAUUCCAAACUUUCUGCAGCUAGUACUUUAUUGGACCCAAAAGCUUUUUUGCUUUUUCUAAGUUGCUAAUCAAGACUAGAUUUCUCUCCCUUAUAUCGCUAGAUAUCCCAUUAAUCGUUAGAUUUAAUUGUCUAGAGAGAUUAUGUACUUGCAUCUCUGCUUUUCACUUCGCAAGUGAUUUCAUGUGCUAUCUUGUAUUCUGGUUCAAGAUUUUUGAUGGUUGCUUACCGUCAUAUUUUGCUUUGUUUCAGGUUGAGGGCAUUUCUAAUUCUUCUCCCGGUGUGACUCAAAGGAUUCCCUUUUGUUAUGUGAUUUACGUUCCAACUAUUCCUGCCCUGCGAAAGUAAAACUAUUUCUUCUGCAUCUUUGAAUGAUUGUGAUUUAAUUUUCUUGUCAUUUUGCCAACUAUCAUUAUGCUGUCAUUGUUUCAUAUCUUAGUUGACAUAUGCUGACUUGGUUAGAGUUUAAUUGCUCUGUUUAUUCUCUUCAUAAUCUGUCUAUUUCGAUUUUUCUUGAUUUUAGGGAAUUUGCUGAACUUUUAGUAAGCUGUGGCUUGAUUGGAGAGGCUAUUAAAAUUUUUGAGGAUCUGGAGUUGUGGGAUAAUCUAAUAUACUGCAACUGGUAUGGUGUCAUAGAUAACGAUUAUCCUAAUCUCUCUCUCUCUCUCUCUCUCGUGUUGCUAAUGGGAGUUGGUUUUGUGUAUGAUGAAAAAAACAGCCUAUUGGGGAAGAAAGCAGCAGCUGUUGAACUAAUAAAAGCAAGGCUGUCUGAAAAGCCUAAUGACCCUAGAUUAUGGUUUGUUGAUGAGCCUUUUCUACGAUCCAUUUUAUAGUUACUUCUCAUUUCAGUUAAAUCCAUUGUUGAUGCCACUUAUUGCAAUCUAGGGAUAAUUGUUCAUUGGAUGUGAGGAUAUUGUCAAAAGAAAAUGAAACAUUUUAAUUUUAUCUUUUACUUGCUGUAGCCGAUUUAAAAGCUCACUGUGCGUUCUUACUGAUUGCUUUUGGUCUUGCAUUUGAGUCAAUGGAUUUUAUACUCAUAUUCUGACAUUUAUUGUUAGUCUUCUGAUGGUUCAGCAUAUUAUCUAAAAGAUAAGUUUUUGCCGAAGAAAAUUUGCAUUCUUAACUAGAAAAUGAGGGGCCCGGGGGGGGGGGGGGGAGCAACAGGAGACUGUUUUCCACUUAUCCUCUUCCCUGCCUGCAUUUUAGAUGAUUCUGAUGCACCAGGUGCCGUGAAAUGGUUGAGAAAUACAUACCAUCAAGUGAAUUCUGAAAAUCAUAUCCUUUUUGAAAAUAUUUGGUGCUAGACAUUUGAAUAUAUAUGGCCACAAUUUAAACAAUAAAGAUUUUCUGCAUUGAUUUCUUAUAAUGGAUAUAUGCAUGUAAGUAAAAUAUGAUAUCUUUUGAUUAUUGGCCCAUUUGUUCAGAAAGAAGGAAAAAAAAAAUACAUGGUUGAAAGAUUACUGUUACUUGACCUUAUUUAGGUCUCUUCACUGCCAUUUGUUUCUUAUAACUUAUGGUGAUAAUGUAGCCAGAAUGAUGAGUUGAAUUGUGGGUUGCUGACUUGUGAUACAUUUUGUAGGUGUUCAUUAGGUGAUGUUACAAAUAAUGAUGCCUGAUAUGAAAAAGCUUUGGAAGUUUCGAAUGAUAAGUCAGCUCGAGCUAAGGUGAUAUUGUAGUUCACAUUAUGCUUGUACUGUGAUCAUUUUUUAGUUAACAUAUCUUUAUGUGAAUCAGAGGUCUCUAGCUCGUAGUGCUUACAAUAGAGGGGAGUAGGAGACGUCUAAAAUCCUUUGGUAUGUUGCUUUAAUGCUUUACUUCUCCUUCUGCCACACAGUAAUUUGCUGCAUUGACAACUGAUAUGGCUGAAUGACAAUUUACCCUUGGUUUUGUCUCAGGGAGGCUGCCAUGGCCUUGAAUUCUUUGUAUCCGGAUGGCUGGUUUGCUCUUGGUGCUGCUGCAUUGAAGGUAUCAUAUUUUUGUAUUAGUAUGUGUUUAGUGUGGAGAGAUUUCUUAUCCUUUUGCCCCAAGUUUCUGAAACUCUCGGCUGAAAUAUAAAUACAGGCUCGGGAUGUUGAAAAGGCUCUGGAUGGGUUUACUCGGGCUGUUCAACUUGAUCCAGACAGUGGGGAAGCUUGGAACAAUAUUGCUUGCUUGUAUGCUCUUUUCUUUGUCAUCAUGUCAUUCCAUCCUCUUGCUCUGUAUUCUUUAAUAUGGUGUCAAUCACUUUCAUCUUCUAUCUGCAAGAGUAUGCUUCCCAUAUUUGGUUUACUUUGUUUUGACUUUCUUGUUGCAGUUGUUCUAUAUAAAUUUUAUAUGGUUCCAUAUUCCCUUGAUGAGUGAAUUUAGUUGCUGCAAAUGCUAAGAGCUAGAUAGUACUGUUAUAAUUAGGAAUAGGGCAAAUAUUAGCCAGCUCUUUUGAGGAUUAUCCAUAGCAUAUGCCUCCGUCGUUUUCAAAGCAACUGAAGUUCUCCUUUUCGUCUUAUUUAAAAGAAAAAAGCACAAAUUGCUUCCCUCACAUCUCUCUACAGUCUCUUUUCUCUCUGUUUAAUUUUUUCUUGUGCUUAUUAUUUGUCUUUUAAUGUGUCUUUUCUUCUUAUUUUAUACUGUACUAGAAUUUGUGCAGUCUCAAUUUCAUCUUGUCUGUGACUUACUGUAUUUUUCGCAAUUGUGGAACUUUAUUUAGCAGCAUAAUUAUUAGUUAGUGAGACAUUAAUUGGUUAAGUUAGCAUUAUGUUUUACUUUGAUGUUGAUGGAAUUUGUUAAUGCUAAUCAAAUUUUGUUAAUCUCUCUCUCUCUCUCUCUCUCUCUUAAAAAGAAGGCAAACAAAAAGCUUUGUGAUUUCAUUUUUGUUUUCUAAAUUUGUUAUCUAAAGGAAUGACAAGUUGACAACUCAGCCUCUCUCUCUCUCUCUCUGUGUGUGUGUGUCAGGGAUCUGAUUUGUGGAAAGAUAGAGAUCGGUUUAAAAGGUUUUCAUAUGCAUCCUUGGAACUUUGUAAGGUUUACAUGGAAAUUUCUUCCUCUUCUGGUAGCCGUCGAGAACUCUUUGCUGCUGAGAUGCACCUGAAGAACUUACUUAAACAAGUAAAACAUCUUAUAAUUCGAUAUUUAAGACACUUACAGUUGGUUUAAAGAUUGCCUUUUCUGUUUCUGUUUUUGACUGGUUCAGGGUAAAACUUUUUCUCACUGUGUUAGAGUGCAUUUCUGUUAUUAUAUAGAUUCUUAGUAGAAAAUGCGCUUUUUGGAAUCUCAGGCUGAAGGAUUUUCUGACAUGGAAGAGUUCAGGGAUCUUCAAGCUUGCCUUGAUGAAGUGAUGACGAAACUCCAAUCUGGUCCCGUGGCUACCUAAGUAUCAGGAAUGUGCUAUUUUUGAAAUUUAGUAACAAGGUUAAAUCUGCAACUAAAAGCUAUUUUAGUUGUACUGUAGUGGAUAUCUUGUAUUGUUGUAUCACCUUUUCUGUAACAAAACACUCUAGUUUUAUUAUUUUUAUUAUUUUUGUAUUUUCGGUGCUGUAACUAAUCUCAAUGUAAAUAUAUGGCUUCAAGUUAUUUAAAUGUAACAUCAAGUGUUGUUUUCAACCUCUGUUCUUUUGUGUAUAGCUUACAUGCCGUGAUUUCAUUAACCUCAAUUUAAGGACAAUUUCAUAUCUUUUUUCUUUCUGCUUUUCUUUUAUCAUUUAAGAACAAAUAUGCAUAUAUUUCAGAAAGAAUUUAAACAAAGCAACCGAACGUUGCUGGUUUCUAUUAUUACAUUGACAGCAGUAAAACAAAGAAGCAACUGAAAGUUAUCUUUAUAUGAGAAUGAAAGCUUUUCAGCAGCAUAAGCCUUUCACUAUUCAAUUCCAAACAUGUUCCUCAACAUGAUAACAAAUUCGUAGACCUUUUCUGGGUCUGGAAGGAUCCUGGCAACAGUAUCUCUUUGCAUGCACUUGUUCAUCCAUGCUGAGAAUUUGGGGCACUCAUUCUCAACCUUAAAUCCCCCAAAUUUCUCAACCGCGUAAAACCAACAAGUCAGUGGAAUGGCAAUCACAUCAACGAAUCCAAAGCUAUAAUUUUUUUUUGCUUUUCUUUUAUCAUUUAAAAACAAUACACGCACACACACGCGCAUAUAUUUCAGAAAGCAUUUAAACAAAGCAAUCGAACGUUGCUGGUUUCUAUUAUUACAUUGACAGCAGUAAAGCAAAGAAGCAACUGAAAGUUAUCUUCAUAUGAGAAUGAAAGCUUUUCAGCAGCAUAAGCAUUUCACUAUUCAAAAUCUUCACAUGAUAACAAAUUCGUAGACCUUUUCUGGGUCUGGAAGGAUCCUGGCAACAGUAUCCCUUUGCUUCAAAAUCUCUAUAAAUUCAUUCUCCGCCGUCUCUCGGACCUCGCCCUUGCUUUUCCAUAUGUUGCAUACUGCAUCGAAUACCUGCCAAAAAAGUGGUGUCAUCUUUUAAGUUCGCAUUUAGAAAGAUACAAACAUUUAUACUUGAGAAUUAUAGACUGACCUUCUUGUCAAUAAAAUCUGCCCAGAACCUUGCCUUAGCUCUCUCAGAAGCACAGGAUGGGAGAAGUGGUGGCGAAGGCCAAGUCUCGUCAAUUUAGUUAACUAUAAUAGUGGAUUCACACAAUGGUUCCCCAUCGUGUAGCAAAACUGGGACUUUCUUGUAGAUGGGGUUUGAUUUGAGCAACAGGUCACUCUUGCCCCCAAACAAGUUCUCAGCUCUGGCUUCAUAUUCAACUCCUUUCUCAGCCAAUGCAAUCUUUGCUCUCAAGCAAAAUGGGCUAGCCCAACAAUCCAAAAGAACAACCUCUCCCUUGGACAUAUUCGCUUUCUUUGUUCUUGUUUCUUUUACUUGGUUGAUAGUAAUUAAACCUUGAGUAUCAAGGUUGGCAUUUAUAAAGUAGAUAAGAUGAAAUUCCCAAAGUUUGUGUCGCAAUCAAGGUUUGUUCGUUGGCACUUCCAUAAAGGAUGUGGCAUUGUUCUCAUCAUUUCUUAGUUUUUUGAAGCUAACUGGUUUACUUGGCUUUCAACAUGCACAUGAACAAGUUUGUCUUGUGUAUGCGGCGUUUACUAAGGACAAGCAGAAUCGUAAGUAAGCAUUUACACUAAUCAAUCGGUAUUGUCCAAUGAAAAUAAGUAAUAUUUCUCAAAAUAGGCUCAUUAAGCCCAAUUCUGGUGCUAGUUAUGUUCAACUUUGAAUCAAACUUGGAAACAUUUUUCUUUAGAUUAUUAUUAUUAAUUUAGAAGAGUCAAAAAGCUAAGAGUAUCGUUGGUAAAACUCAAACAUGUGUAAUAUCAUAUAUCACUGGUUAGUGAGUUUUGUAAACUUUCUUAAUUAAGACAACACGUUUUGGGUUGUAAAUUCUAACACAAUAUCUAUUCAGUUGUUCAACCUGGAAUAUUACAAUUAUAUCAAUAUUGUUUGAUGUGGGCACACAACCCUGCGUCUUCUUAAUUAGGACAGCCAGUGAAAUCCACUUGUUAGCGAUGCAGGAGAUGAUACAUAACUUGUAUGUGCACGUUGGCGGAAUAUCCCAAUUAUGCCCUCGUUUGUCUUCCUGGUUUUAAAAAAUCUAUUUAUCUAAUUGCUUGUUAUAAUGCUUCUAUUGCGGUGUUAUUCGAGUUGUCAUUUUCAGUUUUAUUUUAUUUUUUCUUUAAACAUAGUUAAUUUGAAAUGUUCUUUGAUAUCCAUUACACUUGAGAUCAUCAAAUAAGUGAUUCUCGAACAUAAUUGCUGUUGUUACUCAGAAUAAGAAAAGAAAACAAAGUAUAGCUAAGAUAAAGCAAAUGGAAAUGAGAGCAACGUGAUUUUGCAAAGUGAACUUCACACUAUCAUUAAACCGAAAACAAUAGCUUAAAUAACGACCCACUAGAAUCAUGGUCCAAAGAUUGUGCCAUCAACUACAAAAAAAUAACCAACAUCAGAAAAGUAGUAACAGUUUGAAACUUUCAACUAAGAGUUGAUAGUAACCAAAGAUUGUAUUCUUUAUUGUCAUUUGAGAGUAACCAAUUACUUCCGCAGUCACGUAAGUUGCUGGUUGGCCUCACACAUUUUUGACCAGCUUGUUUCUGAAGGAAACCAGCUGAGCUGCAGCCUCUUCCAUGCUCAUUCGUUCUCUCGGCAACUCUGAAGAGCAAGUGACUCCGAUUCCCAGUGCUGAAACCAAGCACUCUUUAACACUAAAACUUCUGGUCCAUUGUUUGUGAGCAUUGGCCUUGCUUGUCUCCCCUUCUUCUCUUUCUACAAGAAGCACUGGAUCAACAAUUUCAGCGAGUCUUUCAGGAAGAGCUUCCUUGACAAAAUUAUGUAGGGUUAGAUUGCCUGUAAACAUCUCAUUCGUCGGCCUCUUUCCUGUAAACGUUUCCAGCAAGAGUAUGCCAAAACUGUACACAUCUCCACUUUUUGAGACCUCACUCCCCAUUCCGUACUCUGCAAUUUGAAAAUUAAAACUGUUGGUUCAACUAGUAAAAUCUCUAAGGAUUUCAAAAGAAGUUAAUUAAAUUAUAGUAUUUACCUGGAGCAGCAUAACCAACGGUUCCUUUUACUCCAAUGGAGCUUGAUUGAUUAGAUGACAAAUUAUUGGUGGCUUCCGGAAGGAAUUUUGCUAAUCCAAAAUCACCUACAUGGGCAGUAAAUUCACCAUCCAGAAGAACAUUGCUUGGCUUGAGAUCACAAUGGACUAUUGGAGUUUCGCAAUAAUGAUGAAGAUAAUCCAAGGCGGAAGCAACAUCAACGGCAAUAUUCAGUCUUUGGAGGAGAUUUAAGUUCCUUGGUGCCUCAGCUUUUGGAUGCAACCAUUCCUCCAGGCUCCCGUUGACCAUGAACUCAUAAACUAAAGCCUCGAAAUCAUUUCCUUGGAAGUCAACACUUGCACAGGAAGUUAUUAUUUUGACAAGAUUCCGAUGCCUAAUACUUCUCAAGGCUUGACACUCCGACAUGAAACUCUUUGAAGCUCCUCGAUGUUGAAGAUUAAGCACCUUAACUGCCACCGGCGUUUCAUGAUCAUCAUGAUUGAGGAUUCCUUUAUAGACCGAACCAAAGCUACCGGCACCAAUCAAGUUUUCCAGAGAGAAUCCAUCAGUUGCUUUGAACAGAUUCUCAUAGGACACUCGUAAAACCGAAGCCAAUAAUGCUGAUAGAGGAGUGGCCGGCUCCCUUUUCGAUUUGCUCUGCCAUGAAGUAAUUAUUAAACACGACAUCCCUGCCACUAACAAAAUUCCUGUAACUACAGGAAUAAUCAGUUUCAGGGAACGGGAACGUGAUUGCUUUGAUUCUUUGAUGGAACAAGUAGAUAAAUGCAAGUCAGAUAUGCCACCACAGAGGUUAUCAUUUCCGUCAAGAGAUGUAGCACUUGAAUUGCUGAAGACUCCUUUUAUUGGUACUUCACCCUCAAAAUGAUUAAAAGACAGAUUUAAAUUCUGCAAAAAGGGAAAGUUUUCCAGAUAUUUUGGAAUCCGGCCUGACAAAUUGUUCCGCGAAAGAUCAAGAUUCUCAAUGCCUCUCAAAGAACUCAAUGAUGAAGGGAUAUUCCCUUGAAAGAAAUUACCGUUCAUGAUGAGUUGUUCCAACAUAAUGCAUCCUCCUAUACUGCUUGGAAUUUCGCCAGACAAUUUGUUCUCCGAUAUAUCUAUAACACCCAGAUUUUUCAAGAUACCAAAAGUUGAGGGCAAAUGACCAUUCAAUUUGUUUUGAGAUAGAUCAAGAUAGAUUGACAAGGAAGAGAGACCAAUCACUUCAGUGGGUAUGGUACCACUGAGGUUGUUAUUAGAGAGAUUUAAUGAUAUUAAAUUUUGGCAUUUCCCUAGACUUGAUGGAAUGCUUCCCUCUAACACGUUUUCCCCAAAAUGUAGUGUAGUUAACGAUGUCAAAUUUCCUAUAGAAGAUGGAAUUUCCCCCAAAAACUUGUUCCCAUUCAGCCACAACCUCUGCAGCUUUUGAAGAUCUCCUAUACUUCCCGGAAUUCGGCCUGUGAAUUGGUUGUCCCUGUUGGGGAAAAAGUAGGUUUUUAAAUUUGUAUAAAACCUUUUGAAGAUCGCUCUCAUAUAAUAUAUAAGAAUUUGUAUUCUUGAAAUCGUACCUUGAAAAUCUGAGUUGGCUUUUUCCGCUGAAGUGAUUUAGGCUCCUAGAUCACGAUCCGCCACCACCACUCCUGUUAGAUCACGAUCCGUCACUACCACGCUUGUUAGAUCACGAACUGUCUCCAAUGAUCUUCCAAGUUAUGACUCAGGUUCGAUCUGCACUUGACGUGUGGGCGCCUUUAUCACUACCAAAGCAACUAGCACGAGAAAAUUUUUCUCUCAAUAAUGGAGAGAAAAAUAUUAUUCUCUGAUUUGUAUAAAGUGACUUUACUUUUUUCUUUAGAGAAAAUAAGCCUUAUAUAUCUCCUUUUAGUGAAAACCCUAGGCUCCAAAUAAUGCCCUAAAUAAAACUCACGUUAUUUUCUUUUUCAAUAGGGGACCCACCUUGUAAAAUAACAUAAGGCCCCUUAUACAAAAGCUAAUUAAAUGGAGCCUCCCACUAAAUGAUAUAUUUAGGCUUUUGACCCAAAUAACUAGUUAUCUUACUUAUUAGUCCAGUAGUGGUGCAGUCAAUUAAAUGAGCUAACCCGGGGAUCAUUUGGGAACAUACAAUAGUGGCUACAAUAAUUAGGCCUGUAAUUAAACUAGCCCAAUUAUUUAAUUCCAAAUCUACUCCACUAAAAGAUUGGAACUGACUUCCAUAAUUGUAUGCUCGAAUAAUAAUUCGUCCUAAGCCACAUUGAUUUCUUUACUGCACAAUCCUUUGUACCACAUCGUUAAUUAAAUUGAUAUCUCAACUGUCCAAUCAAUUUAAUAACAUCUUAUUCCUUGAUCCUUACUGGUUUUCUCUAAUGAUCAUUUUCAACAUACUAAAUAUGUUGACACACUCUGGCCAGAGAAUUCUAUGAUCAAGUGCCGAAAACCCAUCAAGAGAUGUGUUGUACAAAUUCUAUAUUGUUAAUCCAUAACUCCAAUACUUAUAAUUGCUCCCACCAAGAUACCGGGUAAUCUUGACCACAAGGAUGUGUCGUGCCCAUUGGUAACUCAAAUGGAAUAACAAUUACAAUCAUGAAAUCAUAAUUAACUCAAGAUUAAGAUUACAGUAAAAUCAACGCCUAUGAGAUUUAAUAAGUCUGACAGUUAUUACAAAGUUAAUUAAAUCUCAUAUGUGAUCCUGUUCAAUGUAGUCGUACUACAUCAAUAAAUUCAUACAUGAUUAAGACAAAUCAUUCAAUGAAUUUAUUACAGUCUAUACCUAAAUAAAGUGCCCAACUUUAUUUAUCAACUGCGAACUAAAUUUAUUUAAUCAUAAGAUAACUUGUAUUUAUGUCUUCUGUGAAUCCACAUGUUGAUCACAUAAAUACAUAUAAUAUGAUUAAAUGGACUUUAAUACAAGUAUUAAUGCAAUUAAGAUAUUUGAAUAAAAUACCUCAUUUAUUUUAUUAAUCAGAAAAAUAGUUUAUUACAAUUAAAUAAACACAUAUGCUUUUAAAGAGCAUAUUUUCCCAACAAUCUCCCACUAGCUCUCAAAGCAUAUCUGGCAUAUUGCACAUGCUCUAGGGCUCUAAGUGCAGGUUAUAAAGGUUUCCCACUAAUGGCCAUUGUAAUAAGAUCUGCCAUUUAGCAUUUAAUGCCAUUUGGGGUACUGUCAUAUAACCUUUCUACACUAUUCCCUUAUAAGAUGAUACUUCCUUUCAAUAUGUUUUGUUUCUUGUGGUUCCUUGGUUCCUUAGAUUGAGCUACCGCACCACCAUUAUCACAUAAAUAGUUUAAGGGGUGCAGUUACAACAGGUACCACCUUAAGAUUUCGUAGGAACUUGCGGAGCCAUAUAGCUUCUUUUGCAGCUUCAGAUGUAGCCACAUAUUCAGCUUUAGUUGUUGAGUCUGUGAUACAAGAUUGUUUCACACUCAUCCAACUAAUAGCUCCACUUCCCAAUGUAAACACAUAGCCGGAAGUUGAUUUUCUGGAAUCCUUAUCUGACAUAAAGUCAGAAUCAGUAUAACCCACUGGAAUAAGUUCAUCACCAGAAUACACAAGCAUAUAAUUUUUAGUUCUUUUCAGAUACUUUAUAAUAUGCUUGACUGCAGUCCAGUAUUGAGGUCCAGGAUUAAAUUGAUAUCUGCUAACCAUCCCUACCGCAAAACAGAUGUCUGGCCUAGUGCAAAGCAUGGCAUACACGAGACUUCCCACAGCGUCUGCAUAAGGAACUCGUCUCAUUCUCUCUAUCUCUUCAGAUGUUUUAGGUGAUUGAUCCUUAGAGAAUGUAAUUCCAUGUCUGAAUGGUAAUAAACCAGUCUUGGAAUUUUUCAUGCUAAAUCUAGCCAAUAUCUUAUCGAUAUAGACCGCUUGAGACAAGGCUAAAGUUUUAUUCUUCCGGUCUCGUAGUAACUUGAUACCAAGAAUAUAACUUGCCUCCCCCAGGUCUUUCAUAUCAAAUUAUUUUGCUAACCAAAUCUUUAUUGUAGUCAAUACUCCUAUAUCGCUUUCAAUCAGGAGAAUAUUGUCUACACAAAGAACUAGGAAGGCUACAAAUUUUCCCUGAAUUUUCUUGUACACACAUGGUUCAUUAAUGUUCUGAAUGAAUCCAAGUGAUUUAAUCGCUUGAUCAAAUCUGAUGUUCCAUGACCGGGAUGCUUGCUUCAAUCCAUAAAUGGAUCUCUGCAACUUACAUACCAUGUGUUCUUGGCCUUUUUGUAUAAAUCCAUCUGGUUGCUGCAUGUAGAUGUUUUCUUCAAGAUGCCCGUUAAGAAAGGCAGUCUUGACAUCCAUUUGCCAAAUUUCAUAAUCUAGCACUGCAGCAAUGGAGAGCAGAAUCCUGAUGGAUUUAAGCAUAGCAACCGUAGAAAAGGUUUGCUAAUAAUCGAUUCCUUCUUUCUGAAUAAACCCUUCGGCUACUAAUCUUGCUUUAAAUGUUUCCACCCUUCCGUCUACUCCUCUUUUUCUCUUGUAGAUCCACUUGCAGCCUAUAGGUUUUACCCCAUUUGGUGCCUCUACAAGUUCCCAGACUUUAUUGGAAUACACAGAUUCCAUUUCUUGAUUCAUGGCCUUUUUCCAAAAUUUAACAUCUAUAUCUAUUAGAGCUUCGUUGUAACUAGUGGGAUUUUGUACAUGUUCAUCUGAGAUAGCCAUAUAGGUUUCUCCCAAAAAUAUGUAUCUCGCAGGUAACCUAGUUACCCUCCCACUACGACAAGGUUCUAAAAGUGAUGGUUGUUCAAGGAUAAUCCUGUGCUGAUCAACUGGUUGUUGCUGUUCUUACUGUUCUAUAACAGGUGUUGAAAGCUGAGCAUCAACCUGAUCUCUUUUAUUUCUCUAGUUUUACCUUACUCUUAGGUUAUAAGUCAUUAUAGAGUCUUCCUCAAAGAAAGUAAAGAAUAUUUCUAUAAAUACAUUCCUAUCUUGAGGACUAUAAUUCAGACUUUCCCUUAUUCCUUUAAGAUACCUAAAACAUGCAAGCUUCUGAACACGAAUCCAUCUUGUUUAUCUCUGAUUCUAGUAGAAAUACUAGUAAACUCCAAAUACGAAUGUGUCUCAAACCAUGUUUGUGACUUUUUCAUAAUUUCUUGGAGUAGUAGACACCGAGAUAGAUGAAACUAAGUUCAAUAAACUUUGUAGUUUUAAAUACUAGUAUCUGGAAUCAAAAAAGGUAAAUGAUAAACCACUUAGUAUAUAUCUUGUCUUAUCCAAAAGAAUCUUGUUUCUCCAUUUAAUUACACUAUUGUAUUAUAGUGUUCAUUGACAACCAAAUAGUGCUUGAAUUCUCCAUAGAGAUAUUCUUUGUUUCGAUCAUAUCGAAGUUCUUUUAUGUUCUUGUCUAAUUGCUUCUGUCUCAUCCACGUACUCUUUUGAAUUUCAAAAGCAAUGGAAUCAUGACGCAUUUAGACAAACAUAAAUAAAAUGAAUAUUCAUCAACAAGAUUGAUAGAAUACUCAUAACCCCUUAUAACAUGUAAACUGAUUAGUCCGUAUACAUUUGUAUGCGCUAAAUCAUCAAAUACAUAGUUAUGCUUUUAGCUCAAAAAGAGCAUCCUUGUCAUAUUACUUUUCUAAAUAAGAUUUAUAGAGUUACAAUGAUCAAUCUUAACAGGCCAACAAGUCUAUCAUUAAUCAUUUUCUUAAAAUCUUAUUAUAGUUUAUAUGACUUAGGCAUAAUUAUCAGAGGUUAUUUUUGGUUAGAAGAAACAUUUCUUUUCUUAGAUAAAUGCAUAUAUUUUUUAUUAUUAUAUCUUACUUUGAAUAGAUCAAUGGACUUCUAUGAUAUAAAUUGUCUUUAUAAAUAACCAAAAUAAAUAAUAAAUAGAGGAUCCAAAAAAUAACAGUGUACUCCUGUUUAUUAAAACAAGCCACCGAAAUUAAAUUCCUCUAAUAUAAAGACAAAUAUCAAAACUAAAGUCUUGUAAAAUUGAUCUAGUCUUUCAAUUGAUAUAAACUAGCAUGUCCUCAACUGUUGUUUGAUGUUUUCUUCACUUAAUCUCUUGGUUUCCUGAAAAUCAAAUAAAUGAAUUAUAAAUAAGAUUAGUUACCUCAGAAUUCAUUAUUGUAUGAUGCAAUAGAAUUCUGAACUAAUUAGGAAGCUUAAAGAUUUCCUAUACCUGAUUUUAAUAAUCUUAGGACAAUCUUUCUUCCAGUGACCCUUCUGUCCACAUUUGUAACACUUGCCUUUUGGCUUGCCACUUCUUUUAGUGGACAGUUUGCCGAUCCCAACUCUUGCUUGCUUAUUCUUGUCUUUCGACUUAAACCUUGAAGAGAAUCCUUUUUCAGGAAGUUUUCUGCUAUGAUAAAAUUCUUCUAUAGCAUGUAGUUCGUGCAUUAAUUCAAUUAAGGUCAUAUCUUUAUUGUUUAAGAUAUAACUGACCUUAAACUCUUUGAAUGUAUCAGGUAAAGAUUCAAUCACCAUGUUAAUCUUUGAUUUAUCAUUGAUUUGAACACCAUGAAUCUCUACCUCAUUCAAAUAGUCCAUCAUUUUGAGGACAUGAUCACGAACUUUUGUGCCCUCUUCCAUCUUAGUAUCCGUAAUACGUUUCAAUGCUGCUUCUCUGGCAAAAUGGGUAUUUUGCCCAAACAUCUGAUGAAGACUAGCCAUUAUUUCAGUGGCUGUUUCCAUGCUCCGAUGUUUCUUAUACAGUUCCACAGAAAUCGAAGCCAAUAUAUAGCGCUUAGCCAUUUUGUUAGCUUCACACCAUUUCUCAUAAGGCUCCCUCUGAUUUCUAUAAUCGUAUAACGAUGGUUCAGGAGGGCAAGGCUGAGUCAAAACAUAUUUGCUUCCCUUAGCAGUGAGAAUAUUAAAUAGAUUGUGUUUCCAAUCUAAAUAAUUUUCGCCAGUGAGUUCAUUUUUAACAAAGAUAAUUAAUAAUGGGUUGAUGGAAGACAUUUUCUGAAAAAAAACAAAAUAGACAUGCAUAAAUACUUUGAAACAAUAUUCACAAUAAAUGACAAAAAUGCAAAAAACCAUAAAUGCAUUUUAAUUUAUUGUAACGAUAAUCUAGUACCGCUUUGACAAGCUAUCCGUUGGGGAAGUCAUGUCUACACUUACUAGACCCAAUUAUCCAUUAGAUUAUUUACUUUCAUGUAGAGACAUGAUAAAUAAUUAUCGUUAUCCCUUUAGGCCUAAAUUUGUUAACAGAGCUUCGUUGGGAAGGUUAAUAACAAACUUUAGUUGAGUGUAUAACCAUUGUUUCAAUCUACGUAUUUUUCAUAUCAAUAGUCACCGUUGGGGUGAACAAUCGAUUAAAAAAUAUUUCAAUUUUAUCUUUGAAGAAGUUCAUCAAAUAAAAUAUCUAAUAUAUAUACCCUCCGAAGGGAGCAUCACCGUAUCAUGAAGUCGAGGUAUAUAUAUAAUUUUAUUAUUGAACUAACAAUGGAGCCCGUGGGAAAAUUAUCUUGAAUUUUCCCUCUCCCACUCAAUAUUUUAAAAUUGGUUUUUCCUUUUUAAAACAUACAUAUUGUUAAUUGCAUGCUUCCUAUAAUAUUAUCUAGAUGAUAUCAAAUAUUAUUAAGCAUGUGCAAAUUUCAAACAAUAUAAUGAGAUUCAUUAUUAAUGAAUUACAUGUAUCAUUAUGCAUAGAGUGGCACUACCUAUUCUAUAUGACAUGUUAUCAUGGCAUGUUAUCAUCCAAAACAUAACAUAUAGAAAAACAAUUAAAUAAUCUUAAUUCAUGGCUUUCCUAAUAAUGAAAAAUACAUUAACCCUAAGCCUAAUCUUCAUUGGCCUUCUUGUCAAUGUCCAUCUUCCAUAAGCUUAUCUUUGUUAAUAGAUUAGGAGAAAUUGAGCUUUUAAAUUUAUAAUUGGUCCAAUUUUAAUUUUUGGAAGGAAAUAAAUAAAUAAUUAAAAUUUUUUAUUAAAAUAAAACUUUUGGACCAAAAAUAAAAUUUAAUGUGUUUAAUUUUAUCUAUGCAUUUUAAUCCAUUAAACCCAAAUUUCAAUUGGGCCUAAAACUAAGAUUCUUUAAGCCCAAAACUGUUUUCGGACUUAAAUGCAAAAACUUUAAACGUGUCUGCCCAAAAAGAAAAACUAUGGAGCCAUAGGAACCUCAAUGAUAGAAACCAUUGAAACCCUAAAUCCAUCUUUUUCUCUUUCCUUUCUUCACCAGCCGCCACCAGCAGACUGUUCAGAGACGCCGGCCAUCUCCGACGCCGAAACACCCGCCGCCACGUCGCCGGAAACGCACCAAACUCGCGCGGGCAGCGAGCUGCGCGUGCAGCGCGCGCUGCUGCCGCUGCGCGUGCAGCGCGCGCUUGCUGGCAGCAUGUGCUGCUGGCCGCGCGCUGCUUGCUGCUGGUUGCCGCUGUCAAAAUUUCCGGCCUCCGUCGCUCCGAUCUUGAAAAUCCGAGAUUAAUUUACAAAUUUCCUAGGCCAAUAGUGGCUUACAAAAAAUCUAUAAUAGUAAAAUAAAUCAAGAGAGAAAUAUGGUGAUAAAAAACCACCACUCUUGUUAUAGAUCCAAACAAAAAAUACAAUAGAAAAUCUAACUAUGAAUUAAGACAAACCAUAAGCAUGCUUUAUUCAUAUAUUAAAUAAAUAAUAUACAUCUGAAUAAAUUGUGCCACUCUAAUACAUAAAUAUCAAGAAUGAUUUCAUACGAAAUUCUUAUAUAUUAAUAUGAGAUGGCUCUAAUACCAAUUGUUGGGGAAAAAGUAGGUUUUUAAAUUUGUAUAAAACCUUUUGAAAAUCGCUCUCAUAUAAUAUAUAAGAAUUUGUAUUCUUGAAAUCGUACCUUGAAAAUCUGAGUUGGCUUUUUCCGCUGAAGUGAUUUAGGCUCCUAGAUCACGAUCCGCCACCACCACUCAUGUUAGAUCACGAUCCGUCACUACCACGCUUGUUAGAUCACGAACUGUCUCCAAUGAUCUUCCAGGUUAUGACUCAGGUUCGAUCUGCACUUGACGUGUGGGCGCCUUUAUCACUACCAAAGCAACUAGCACGAGAAAAUUUUUCUCUCAAUAAUGGAGAGAAAAAUCUUAUUCUCUAAUUUGUAUAAAGUGACUUUACUUUUUUCUUUAGAGAAAAUAAGCCUUAUAUAUCUCCUUUUAGUGAAAACCCUAGGCUCCAAAUAAUGCCCUAAAUAAAACUCACUUUAUUUUCUUUUUCAAUAGGGGACCCAUCUUGUAAAAUAACAUAAGGCCCCUUAUACAAAAGCUAAUUAAAUGGAGCCUCCCACUAAAUGAUAUAUUUAGGCUUUUGACCCAAAUAGCUAGUUAUCUUACUUAUUAGUCCAGUAGUGGUGCAGUCAAUUAAAUGAGCUAACCCAGGGAUCAUUUGGGAACAUACAAUAGUGGCUACAAUAAUUAGGCCUGUAAUUAAACUAGCCCAAUUAUUUAAUUCCAAAUCUACUCCACUAAAAGAUUGGAACUGACUUCCAUAAUUGUAUGCUCGAAUAAUAAUUCGUCCCAAGCCACAUUGAUUUCUUUACUGCACAAUCCUUUGUACCACAUCGUUAAUUAAAUUGAUAUCUCAACUGUCCAAUCAAUUUAAUAACAUCUUAUUCCUUGAUCCUUACUGGUUUUCUCUAAUGAUCAUUUUCAACAUACUAAAUAUGUUGACACACUCUGGCCAGAGAAUUCUAUGAUCAAGUGCCGAAAACCCAUCAAGAGAUGUGUUGUACAAAUUCUAUAUUGUUAAUCCAUAACUCCAAUACUUAUAAUUGCUCCCACCAAGAUACCGGGUAAUCUUGAUCACAAGGAUGUGUCGUGCCCAUUGGUAACUCAAAUGGAAUAACAAUUACAAUCAUGAAAUUAUAAUUAACUCAAGAUUAAGAUUACAGUAAAAUCAACGCCUAUGAGAUUUAAUAAGUCUGACAGUUAUUACAAAGUUAAUUAAAUCUCAUAUGUGAUCCUGUUCAAUGUAGUCGUACUACAUCAAUAAAUUCAUACAUGAUUAAGACAAAUUAUUCAAUGAAUUUAUUACAGUCUAUACCUAAAUAAAGUGCCCAACUUUAUUUAUCAACUGCGAACUAAAUUUAUUUAAUCAUAAGAUAACUUGUAUUUAUGUCUUCUGUGAAUCCACAUGGUGAUCACAUAAAUACAUAUAAUAUGAUUAAAUGGACUUUAAUACAAGUAUUAAUGCAAUUAAGAUAUUUGAAUAAAAUACCUCAUUUAUGUUAUUAAUCAGAAAAAUAGUUUAUUACAAUUAAAUAAACACAUAUACUUUUAAAGAGCAUAUUUUCCCAACAGUCCCCAAGAUGUAAAAGCUCCAAGUUAACAAGAUUUCUUAAUCCACUUGGGAUAUUUCCGAACAAUUGAUUGUUUUCAGCUGAUAACAUUCUAAGUCGGGUUGACAAGUUCCCCACAGUUUCAGGUAACAUUCCACCAAAAUUGUUAUCACUAAUUAACAGUAGCUCUAGUCUAGAAGCGUUAACCAAAGAAUUGACAAAUUCCAAGUUAUCUUUUUCCCCAUAAUUUCCUAAGUGAUUCUGAGAAAUACUAACCUAUUGGAGUUUAUGUAAAUUUUCCAAACUAGGCACCCUUCCACUGAAUCCAUUCUUUGCGAUUGUGAGUCUCAUUAGAUUUGAGGCAUUGGAUAUUGAAGCCGGAAUAGGCCCGGUAAGCUGAUUACCACCAACGUUUAGUACUUCAAGUUUAGGAAGAGUGAAGCCUAAGUCUGAUGGAAGGCUUCCUUGAAGUUGGUUAAAAGGAAAAUAAAAAUCACUAAGCCAAGACAAGUUGUAGAUUGAGAAGGGGAUUUCACCUGAUAGCUUAUUUGCUCCUAACGAUAUAUAACGCAUCAUCUUAAGCUCGCUCAGGGUUUCAGGAAUUUGUCCCACAAAUUGAUUUCCAGCUGCUGAGAGGACCUGGAGUGAUGACAAAUUGCCGAAGGAAGGUGGGAUUUCUCCUGACAAAUUGUUGGCGUGUAUUACGAGAAUCCGGAGCUUUGGUAAGGAGCCCAGUUUCCCUGGAACUUUCCCCACAAGCUCAUUGAAGUCUAACCAGAGGGAUUCAAGGUUAACGCAAUUGGAUAUGUUGUCAGGAAUUUGACCUCCGAAUGUAUUGUUGUCCAGCCUUAAAAUUCGUAACCUGAACAGAUAUCCAAUCGCUUGGGGGAUUUCGUUGCGGAGGCUAUUGUUUUUGAGAUUUAACACUCUGAGAAAACUCAAAUUACCAAUGUGAGGCGACAGAGACCCCUGCAAGAGUAAAGAUGGAAGACGUAAUGCAGUCACCCUCUGGUGCCGUGGACUGCAAGUGACACCUUUCCAUUGACAGAAGUGCCUGGAAUAGUUCCAUGAACUCAAAAACUCUAGAGGGUCAUAAGUAACUUUGGCCUUGAAUUCAAGCAAUGCAAGUUGAUCAGUUUCAUUGCUUUUGAGCAUAUAAUCGGUUGACUGCAAGCUGAAGCUGAAGCAACAGAAAAUAAAGAAACAAAUGCUAACAAUGAUUGAACUCAUCAUGUUUACAAAAUCCAUUUAACUGCCGAAAGGAAAUUAAAAUGAUAAAACUUUUAUAGAGGUUGGUAAGAUAAACUAUGUUUGUAUAUUUUUUGCAAUGAUUUAGGGACUCUGUACUUGAUGCUCAAAUGUGAACCGGCUGGCACCGUGACAGUGAAACUAAUACUUUUUAUUUUUCUAAUAAUAUUAAUUAUCAUAUUUAUUACUAUUGUUAGAAUAAUAUAUUGCAGCUUUAAAGAAAGACUCACCAUACUCCUUUUUGAGUCUCUGUCAGUUUCCAGCAUUUGGUCAUUUUUUAUUUCACCGCUUAAUCCACAGUAAAUAUAAAACAAUUUAAUCAACAAUAUUGAAAAAGAAAAAAAGUAGGACAAGAGAAAGGUAAAUACUGUUAAAUGAGUUGGGAAACGUUCAAAGCACGACGGGAAUUAGAAAAGAAAAAAAGUAGGAUAAGAAAGUUAAGUAUGAUGGAUGGAGUUUCACAUCACUGUUAAAUGACUUAGGAAAGGUUUAAAGCACCACAGGAACCAACGUUUCAUAAGUCAUAACGCUUUUUUCCCUUGUGAAAUAUUCAGUGCAGUCUCUCCCAGAUUUUGCUAGUGCAACAACGAGACGUCAUGCCGUUAACAAUUUUAAACUGUAAAUGACAUGUUGUUUUUACAAGACAUAUUAUGCGUCGAUACAUACCUUUUCUGGUUGUUGGUUUAUAAAAAUAUAUGAGACGGCAUGUGUGUGACAACUCUGUCAUUUGUGUUUACACGGCCUGUCGUUUUCAAAGUAAAACUUUAUCAUGGUAUUCUCAUCCCCUAGCUGCCGUUUUCCGUUUGGAAUUUUUCUGUAUAAGAUCUUGAUCAUCAAAUUUACUACUAGGGCGCAUGUUUUAUUUUCUCGAAUUACAUUGCUGCCUCAUCUUUUAUGUUUUCGGUUCUGUUGUGGAUCUCCUCUGUUUUUGUUGAUAGGCGGCUUUUACCUAAACUAAACCAUUAUUGGUGGCAUGUUGAUCCUAGAAUUAAGGAGUGGAUGGCUCCACUACUUGGGUGUUGAGAAAUUCAUGUUCAACUCACUGUACGGGCUCAGAUCGUACUGUCUUCCCCAUCAAAACAAAUUCAAAUGUUGAAGCCGUUUUUCGGCAUCAACAGUUUUGAUGUGUGCUAUGUUUUUAAUAUACAAACAUAAUUUUCUUUAUUCAGAUUGAAGAUCUUUUUCAUCCAACAUAAUUUUAUAUCCCUAGUAUAAAUUCGAUCCUCUGAAUAGCUCUUCAGUUUUAAGUUCUGCAAAAAGAUAGAUCUAAAUUCUGCAUAAAGGGAAAGCACUCAAUUUUUUUUUGGAAUUUGGCCAGACAAAUUGUUGCGAGAGAAAGAUCAGCUCUCAAAGAACUCAAUGACAGAAGAAAUUUUCCCUCGAAAGAAAAUCAUAAGUUGUUUCAACGUAAUGCAGCAGCCUAGACUAUAUGGAAUUUCACCAGGCAAUGACAAUUUAUUCUCAGAUAAAUCUAACGCCACGACAUUUAUCUAGUCACCCAAAUUUGCAGGCGUUCGUUUUGAGACUUGUCAAAACUUUUUCCAAAAAUUCGGGAUUCAGGUCAUAUCAGGCCAGUUAUGUUUUGAAAAACUUGUAAAUUUUCAGUGAUCAAACUUCAAAACUUUGCAAAUAGGUCAAAAUACGGAAAAAAAACUUGAUAUAUUAUUGAAUACUCAUUUUGUUUUGCAUUAAUAUAACGCUAUGGGUGAUAUCUAGUUCUGUUGGUAAAAUUUCUUGGGUUGAAAACAAGAAAACUAGAAUUUCAAACUCACUCAUAUGGAUGGGAAAGAAAUUUAGUUAUUAUUGGAUUAAAAAAUAAUAAUGAGAAUUAGAAAAAAAAUUGAUAAGGCUUCAACGAGAUUUGCUAAUCAUGUAUAGAUUAAUAUGAAGAUUAAGAACAUCACCUAAGCUAAUUAUUGAACUUGAAAGUUUAGGAGAAAAAAUUAUAUGGGUUUGGCCAUCAAUUUAGCAUUCGGAACUUAUUGUUUAGGAAGCUAUGGUAGGUUUCCUAGUAGGACUUAUCCUCUUUAAUGCAUAUGGUGAUUUUAAACCAAUAUAUAUACAAUCGCAUUAUAAAACUCAUCAAACCUUCUAAAAUAACAUGCUGAGAUAGUGUGCUAGAUCCAUAUAAAUAUUUCUCCAACUUCUUAGCUUGAAGCGAUAUUCAUUUCCAUUGAUAGUUUAAUGGGCAAAGCCUUUUGAAUUCUCCAUGUUAUCAAGUUAACUUUUGCUGGAAAAUGCAAUGCGGAUAUGAAUAGAAUUUUUUGUGCAAUCAAAUUUUCUAUGUUGACACAUCCUCUGGAACUUUCAGUAAAUUUUAUGGAGAAGCUUCAAUUUCUUGGUUGUUGAUUUCGAAUACAUUAAGCUCUUAUUUGGUAUUAAAGUAUUGUGGGCUAAAAGCUAUAGUUUUUAUGGAAAGAAAUUUGUAAUUGCGAAAUAAAAGUUGAUUCAGUGUGAUAAAUAUAAUUUCAGAAUAAAAAAUAAAGUAAACUUCGAAAUUAUAACAAAGUAAGUAUUUAUUAAAUACUUUAGUGUUGCAGUAACUGUUUACUACAAUAUCAAAUAGGGGGCUAGUACUACAAGUUGUUACAUUAAAAGUCUCCCAAAAAGGAAGAGGUGACUUAAAAAAUUAAAAGAAUGCAGGAGCUGAAGUUGGCAAUUUUGUAAAUUGCAAUGGCGAUUGUGAUAUAGUAAAAUCCUUCAAUGAAUCACAGCACUAGCGAUUUCGUAAUAUACAGUAGCGGCAAUUUUGUAAAAUUGAAGUAGUGAUAGUUUUGUAAAUAAAAGUAAAAACUUUUUCCCAAAAUUUGGCUGAGCAAAGAGCCAGCUUAGCCCACACUCUCCUUCGCCACUGGUUGAUGAGCUCUUCCUUCAAUUUUUGAACUUGAAGUGAUGCCCCAUCGAUGUCCAGAAUUUUUAAAGUCUCCCCAUUGUACAAGUUAAACAAUAAAGUCAGAAUGAUGACGGAGUUACAAACAAUCAAAUAUGAUCCUAAUGAUUCUUUUUAUACAGUCACGUGUACGUUGAUGUGUUUAAUUGAUAUAUAUUUAAGCAGAAAUUGAAGUUUGAACCUGAUUAAUUAGAUGCGAACACACAUUCAUGAGUAAUUACUUAAAAUAAAUUAACCAAAAGAGUAAAUAUAGGAGGAAAUCGAUCAUAUGCGUGCGGACACCACAAUCGAAUUAUAUAUAUAUAUAUAUAUAUAUAUAUAUAUAUCACUGUCGCACAUAAAUUUUAUUCGAAUGAUAUAUGAUUACUUAAUUAAUUUUUUAAUAACAAUUAAAUUAUAAUGUCAAUUGUGCACAUAAGAUUUUUUUUCUUGAUGAAAUUAUGAAAGUUAGUAAUUAUUUUCCAUUUUUUAAAUAAUAGUUUUUAAUACAAAUAAAAAAAAUAUUGGGACUUGAGAUCAGGGUCUACUUGAGUUAGAAUUUUUUAUUAGAGAAGCUAUUAGCCAGCAAUACAAAAUAAAGAAGCAACACAAGAUAAAGAGUAAUAUAUUAUAGAAAGAUUUUAUUCAUUCCAAGUGUAUAUCAAACAAAGAGAUAUUUAUAGUUACAUAAUUACUACAUGAAAUUAAUGAAAACAUUAUGGAUCAUACUUUCUUGCGAGAUAGUGGAAGUUAUAGAGAAGGCAAGGGUUGCUAGUGGAAGAUAGUGGAGAGAUUAAGAGAUGUAUGUUAUGAACAUCCAGAUUUAUUUUAAUAAAUUCAUAGCAUUUUUCCCCCUCAAAUAAUAGGGUGUACAGAACAAUUGGAAGGAGUUUACGCAACCUAUAAAUUAAUACUCUGACGAAUUAAUAUCCUCUAUUAUAUAAUGACUUUUUUUAAGCACGCUAAUAGGCUAAAAUGACAGUUCCAAUAAAUAAAUAAAAUAAUAUUUUUUUUUUCUGAAAACCCUUACAUAAUAUUGUGGUCCUACUCAUAUCAUAAAUUAAUAAUUUUUAAAUUAUAUAUAAUUAUUACACAUAAAUUAUAUAUUUUUUAAUAAAUUCAUAAUAUUUUUUCUCAAAUAAUAGGGUGUAGAGAACAAUUAGAAGGAGUUUACAAGACUCGCCUAUAAAUUAAUACUCUGACGAAUUAAAAUCCUCUAUUAUAUAAUAAUUUUUUUUAAGGUUGCUAGUAGGCUAAAAUGAUAGUUCCAAUAAAUAAAUAAGAUUAUAUUCUUCUUUUUUUUUAUGAAAACCCUUACAUUACAUUAUGGUCCUACUCAUAUAAUAAAUUAAUAAUUUUUAAAAUUACAUAUAUAAUAUUUUAUUUUAAAAAUAUGAUUUUAUUUUUUAUUAUUUUUUCUUGAAAUUUAAAUAUAGUUAGAUUUCAUCUCUAAUUACUUUUGAGGUUAAAUUUUGAAAUUGCAAAAAUUUUGAAUUUUUUUGGUUAAUUAAAUCUACAGUGAGUGUAUAAGAUGAUUAGAUUAGUAAAAUAUUAGAUUAGUAAAAUAUAAUAAAUUUUUAGUUGAUUAAAUAUAUGUUCAUUUAAUAUGUCUUGUGUAUACAGAGUUUACUAAGGACAAGCCGAAUAGUAAGUAAGCAUUUACACUAAUCAAUCGUGUUGAGUUGUGUCCCAUAUUGGCUAGUAAAGGGGAGAUACUUGGGUUUAUAAGAAGGUAUGUCAUUCCACCUAAAAGGCUAGUAUUUUGGGUUGGAUACAUAGAAAUCUUAUGUUAAGUCCCCUCAACAAAUCGGUAUUGUGCAAUGAAAAUAAGUAAUCUAAAAAUUGCCUAGGAUUUUGCCUUAUAUGUCUCAAAAUAAGCUAAUUAUGCCCAAUUAUGGCACUUGUUGGUUCAACUUUGACAUCAAAGUUGGAAACGUUUUUCUCUAGGGUGAGGCUAUUUGCACUUGAAUAUCUACUUUGAACACUCAUUUACUCAGCACACUCAAUUAAUAAUUUCAAACUAUUAACUUUUACUUGGAACACUCUUUUGAAUUCCUAUAUUAUCCUCAUUUCUUUAAUUACUUUAUUUCUUCUUUGUACCCAAUAAAAUAUUCAUCAUCACAAACAAAAUAUCUAACUUUUUUUUUCCAUUUUUAUUCACUUUUAUUUUCUGUUCAUAAUCUGUUUUGAUAUGUAUUUGUUCUUCUCUUAUUGCUACAAUUUAAUUCUGUUUGUCAACCCAUAAAAGCAUGCGAAUUGAGUGAAAAUCAAAGUGCAAAUUUAAAACAAAAUCCUUUGAUUUACUUGCGUUUUCUUAUGUUGGAGUAGUGCAAUUUGUUGUUUGUCCUCCACCUCUAUUUUUAAUUCCUUUUGUUUCAGUUAUAAAGAUGAUCAUGAACAUGUUACUUGAUGUUUUCCUAGCAAUUCUAUUAACCAAAAAAAUGAAAAAAAAAGUUUAGUCCAUAAGUAUAGACAAUGUUUUCAUUUGAAUAUUGAUUCCAUUCUUCGUUGUUAAUGUGGUUUAUUGUAGAUAAAAUAUAAUGUUAGAUAAAAAUUUGUUAUACAGUAUUUUAAAAUUGUCCUUAAUAGAAAAUUACAUUAAGGAGUAAUAUAAAAAAUUAUUAAAUGUGAGUGUCCAAAGUAAAUUUUAGAGUGCAUAUAGUCUCACCCUUUUCUUUAUGUUAUUAUAAUUAAUUUAGAAAGAGUUAGAAAGCUAAGAGUAUCCUUAGUAAAGCUCAAAUAUGUAAUACAUAUCACUAGUGAGUGAGUUUCAUAAACUUUCCUAAUUAAGUAGAUGAAUUUUGGGUUGUAAAUCCUAACACAAUAUAUAUUCAGUUGUUGAGCCUAAAAUAUCACAACUAAAUCGAUAUUGUCCGAUGCAGCAUGCAACCCUACAUCUUCUUAGUUAGGACAAUUCAUGAAACCACUUAUUUGGGAUGUAGGAGAUGAUACAUAAUUUGUAUGUGCACGUUGGCUUAAUAUCCCAAUUACACACUCGUUUGUCUUCAUGUGCUCCGAAAAGAUCUAUUGUAAUGGAUAUAUUGUAUGUUUAUCAAAGUGCUUGUUAUAAUGAUUCUAUUGUGGUGUUAUUCGAGUUGUCACUUUUAGUUUUUGAUUAUCUUUUUUAAACAUAGUUAAUUUGAAAUGUUCUUUAAUAUCCAACACACUUGAGAUCAUCAAAUAAGUGAUUCCCGAACAUAAUUGCCUCUGAUAAUUUUGUUUGUGCCAAUAAAGGGUUGAUACAAGCCAAAGACUUCUUGUCUUUAUUGUCAUUUGAGAGUAAUCAAUUACUUACGCAGUCGCAUAAGUUACUGGUUGGCCUCGCACAUUUGAGAGUAACCAAAUGGAAAUGAGAGCAACGUGAUUUUCCAAAGAGAACUUCGCACUAUCAUAAAACUGAAAACAUUACAAUUUAAAGCUUAAAUAACAACACACCAAAGCCAAAUAACGACCCACUAGAAUCAUGGUCCAAAGAUUGUUCCAUGAUCACAACAUGAACUACAAAAAAAAAAAAAAACCAACACCAAAAAAGUAGGAACAGUUUGAAACUUUUGACUAAGCAACAUUUAUGAUCACAUCAGCAGUCCUAAACACAUCUUCUAACAAUUACAACUGUUCAUUUUUGCUUCUGCCAAUAAAGAGUUGAUAGUAACCAAAGAUUGUUGUCUUUAUUGUCAUUUGAGAGUAACCACUAAUUACGCAGUCACGUACGUUGCUGGUUGGCCUCGCACAUUUUUGACAAGUUUGUUUCUGAAGGAAAGCAGCUGAGCCGCAACCUCUUCCAUGCUCAUUCGUUCUCUCGGCAACUCUGAAGAGCAAGUGACUCCGAUUCCCAGUACUGAAACCAAGCACUCUUCAACACUAAAAUUUCUGGUCCAUUGUUUGUGAGCACUGGUCUCACUUGUCUCCCCUUCUUCUCCUUCUACAAGAAGCACUGGAUCAACAAUUUCAGCGAGCCUUUCAGGAAGAGCUUCCUUGACAAAAUUAUGUAGGGUUAGAUUGCCAGUAAACAUCUCAUUCGUCGGCCUCUUUCCUGUAAACAUUUCCAGCAAAAGUAUGCCAAAACUGUACACAUCUCCACUUGUUGAGACUUCGCUCCCCAUUCCGUACUCUGCAAUUCGAAAAUUAGAAUUGUUGGUUCAACUAGUAAAAUCUCCGAGGAUCGAAAAACAAGUUAAUUAAGUUAUAGUAUUUACCUGGAGCAGCAUAACCAACGGUUCCUUUAACUCCAGUAGAGCUUGAUUGAUUAGAUGACAAGUUAUUGGUGGCGUCCGGAAGGAAUUUCGCUAAUCCAAAAUCACUUACAUGGGCAGUCAAUUCACCAUCUAGAAGAACAUUGCUCGGCUUGAGAUCACAAUGGACUAUUGGAUUUUCGCAAUAGUGAUGAAGAUAAUCCAAUGCGGAGGCCACAUCAAUGGCAAUAUUCAGUCUUUGGAGGAGAUUUAAAUUCCUUGGUGCCUCAGGGUUUGGAUGCAACCAUUCCUCCAGGCUCCCGUUCACCAUGAACUCAUAAACUAAGGCCUCGAAAUCAUUUCCUUGAAAGUCAACACUUGCACACGAAGUUAUUAUUUUGACGAGAUUCCGAUGCCUAAUACUUCUAAAGGCUUGACACUCCGCUAUGAAACUCUUUGAAGCUCCUCGAUGUUGAAGAUUAAGCACCUUAACUGCCACCAGCGUUUCAUGAUCAUCAUGAUUGAGGAUUCCUUGAUAGACCGAACCAAAGCUACCGGCACCAAUCAAGUUUUCCAAAGAGAACCCAUCAGUUGCUUUGAACAGAUUCUCAUAGGACACUCGUAAAACCGAAGCCAAUACUGCUGAUGGAGGAGUGGCCGGCUCCCUUUUUGAUUUGCUCUGCCGGGAAGUAAUUAUCAAACACGACAUCCCUGUCACUAACAAAAUUACUGCAACUACAGGAAUAAUCAGUUUCAGGGAACGGGCACGUGAUUGCUUUGAUUCUUUGAUGGAACAAGUAGAUAAAUGCAACUCAGAUAUGCCACCACAGAGGUUAUCAUUUCCAUCAAGAGAUAUAGCACUUGAAUUGCUGAAGACUCCUUUUAUUGGUACUUCACCCUCAAAAUGAUUAGAAGACAGAUUUAAAUUCUGCAAAAAGAAAAAGUUUUCAAAAUAUUUUGGAAUCCGGCCAAACAAAUUGUUCCGCGAAAGAUCAAGGUUCUGAAUGCCUCUCAAAGAACUGAAUGAUGAAGGGAUAUUCCCUUGAAAGAAAUUACCAUUCAUGACGAGUUGUUCCAACCUAACGCAACUUCCUAGACUGUUUGGAAUUUCACCAGACAAUUUGUUCUCAGAUACAUCUAGAACACCCAGAUUUUUCAAGAUGCCAAAAUUUGAGGGCAAAGGACCGUUCAAUUGGUUUUUAGAUAGAUCAAGAUAGAUUGAUAAGGAAGAGAGACCAAUCACUUCAGUGGGUAUGGUACCAGUGAAGUUGUUAUUAGAGAGAUCUAAUAAUAUCAAGUUUUUGCAUUUCCCUAGACUUGAUGGAAUGCUUCCCUCUAACAUGUUUCCUUCAAAACUUAGUGUGAAUAACAAUGUCAAAUUUCCUACAGAAGAUGGAAUUUCCCCCAAAAACUUGUUCCCCUUUAGCCUCAACCUUUGCAGCUUUUGAAGAUCUCCUAUGCUUCCCAGAAUUCGGCCUGUGAAUUGGUUGUCCCCAAAAUCUAAAAGCUCCAAGUUAACAAGAUUUCCUAAUCCACUUGGGAUAUUUCGGAACAAUUGAUUGUUUCCAACGGUAAAUCUUUUAAGUCGGGUUGACAAGUUCCCCACAGAUUCAGGUAACAUUCCUCCAAAAUUGUUAAUACUAAUUUCCAUCAUCUCUAGUCUAGAAGCGUUGACCAAAGAACUGACAAAUUCCAAGUCAUCUUUUUCCCCAUUUCCUAAGUGAUUCAGAGAAAAGCUAACCCGUUGGAGUUUAUAUAAAUUUUCCAAACUCGGCACCUUUCCACUGAAUCCAUUUUUCUGGAUUGUAAGUCUCAUUAGAUUUGAGGCAUUGGAUAUUGAAGCAGGAAUAGGCCCAGUAAACUGAUUAUUACCAAAGUUUAGUACUUCAAGAUUAGGAAGAGUGAAGCCUAAGUCUGAUGGAAGGCUUCCUUGAAGUUGGUUAACAGGAAAAUCCAAAAGACUAAGCGAAGACAAGUUGUAGAUUGAGAAAGGGAUUUCACCUGAUAGCUUAUUUGCUCCGAAUCCUAUUGAACGCAUCCUCUUAAGCUCGCUCAGGGUUUCAGGAAUUUGUCCCACAAACUGAUUUACAGCUGCUGAAAGGAACUCGAGUGAUGACAAAUUGCCAAAGGAAUAUGGGAUUUCUCCUGACAAAUUGUUGAAGUGUAUUGCGAGAGUCCGGAGCUUUGAUAAGGAGUCUAGUUUCCCUGGAACUUUCCCCACAAGCUCAUUGAAGCCUAACCAGAGGGAUUCAAGGUUAACGCAAUGCGAUAGGUUGUCAGGAAUUUGACCUCCGAAUGUAUUUUUCUCCAGGCUUAAUUUUUGUAACCUGAACAGAUAUCCAAUCUCUUGAGGGAUUUCGUUGCGGAAGCUAUUGUUUUGGAGAUCUAACACUCUGAGAAAACUUAAAUUACCAAUGUGAGGCGACAGAGAUCCCUGCAAGAGUAAAGAUGGAAGAAGUAAUGCAGUCACCCUUUGGUGCCGUGGACUGCAAGUGACACCUUUCCAUUGACAGAAGUGCCCGGAAUAGUUCCAUGAACUCAAAACCUCUAGAGGGUCAUAAGUAACUUUGGCCUUGAAUUCAAGCAAUGCAAGUUGAUCAGUUUCAUUGCUUUUGAGCAUAUAAUCGGUUGACUGCAAGCUGAAGCUGAAGCAACAGAAAAUAAAGAAACAAAUGCUUACAAUGAUUGAACUCAUCAUGUUUACAAAAUCCAUUUAAUUGCCGAAGGAAAUUAAAAUGAUAAAACUUUUGUGGAGGUUGGUAAGAUAAACUAUGUUUGUAUAUUUUUUGCAAUGAUUUAUGGACUCUGUACUUGAUGCUCAAAUGUGAACCGGCUGGCACCGUGACAGUGAAACUAGUACUUUUUGUUUUUCUAAUAAUAUUAAUUAUCAUAUUUAUUACUAUUGUAAGAAUAAUAUAUUGCAGCUUUAAAGAAAGACUCACCAUACUCCUUUUUGAGUCCCUGUCAGUUUCCAGCAUUUGGUCAUUUUUUAUUUCACCGCUUAAUCCACAGUAAAUAUAAAACAAUUUAGUCAACAAUAUUAAAAAAGAAAAAAAGUAGGACAAGAGAAAGGUAAAUACUGUUAAAUGAGUUGGGAAACGUUCAAAGCACGACGGGAAUUAAAGAUUCACAACACCUUUUUUUUAAAAUUUUCAGUGCCGUCCCCCAAAAUUUGCUAGUGCAACAAAGAGACCUCGUGCCGUUAACAAUUUUAAACUGUAAAUGACAUGUCGUUUCACAAAAUUCAUUUAACUGCCGGAGGAAAUUGAAAUUAUAAACUUUUAUAAAGGUUGGUAAGAAAAACAUAUUUGUAUAUAUUUUUUUCAAUGAUUGAUGGACGUUAUACUUGAUGCUGAAAUGUGAACCGGCUGGCAUCGGGACAGUGAAACUAAUGCAUUUUAUUUUUCUAAUAAUAUUAAUUAUCAUAUUUAUUACUAUUGUAAGAAUAAUAUAAUACAACUUUUCCUUUAAGGAAGACCCGCCACACUAACUUUUGACGCUCUAUAAGUUUCCAGUAUUUUGUCAUUUUGUAUUGUAGUGCUUAAUCCACAAUGAAUAUAAAAGUUUAAAGCACCACAGGAUGGUGGAUGGAGUUUCAGAUUACUGUUAAAUGACUUUGGAAAGGUUUAAAGCACCAUAGGAAUCAGCGUUUCACAACGCUUUUUUCCCUUUCUGAAAUAUUCGGUGCAGUCACCCCCAGAUUUUGCUGGUGCAACCAAGAGACGUCAUGCUGUUAUCAAUUAUAAACUGUAAAUGACAUGUUGUUUUUACAAGACAUAUUAUGCGUCAAUACAUACCUUUUCUGGUUGUUGGUUUAUAAAAAUAUAUGAAACGGCAUGAGUGUGAAAACUCUUGUAAAAUUUUUAAAAACAACAUAAUCAAUGGUAUUCUUAUCUCCCAGCUGCCGUUUGCCGUUUGGAAUUGUUCUGUAUAAGAUCUUGAUCAUCGAAUUUACCACUAGGGCGUAUGCUUUAUUUUCUCGAAUUACAUUGCUGCCUCAUCUUUUGUGUUUUCGGUUCUGUUGUGGAUCUCAUCUGUUUUUUUUUCUAAUUUUGGGCCCGAAGGGCACGUUAAUUGAAAUCAACAAAUCUGGUAAAAAUGACGUUAAAUUCGAUCAGAUUUACAUAUUUAAUUACAAAUACAGUAACCCCGAUCAGAUGCAUACGCUAAUUUUAUUUAUUUUUUGUCAGCUUUAACCUCACUGUCAUUUUGAAUAGCCUACAAGAGUCGAAUGACUAGACUUCCAAUUUGCUAUCAUCCCCCUUGAAUGGAUUCAAGAAAUUCAGCAGGUUGCGAAACAAUAAGAUUCAUUCAAUCCGCGUAGAUAUCUAACUGACUGAAAUUAAAUAAAUGAUGAUGAUAAGAAAUUUGAAAUCAACAAAUCUCGGCACAUCUAUUCUGCAAUUUGGCCGUACUUCAAAUAAUCUUGCGAUAAAAAUUUCAUAAAAAAUCUCAGAAAGAGGAUCUCAGAAAGAGGACAGAACAACCAAGGCAUCAACGAAAGCAAUCGAGGCAGGGCACGCUCAAGCCACGAAUUAGAGGAAUUUUAAACAUCAAAACCAGCUCAGAAUAAUAAGAAGUAAAAUGAAUCUACAAAAGACUAAGAUUUUGGAUGAGUGAAGGGAAGAUGAGAAGAUGAAAUGCAGAAAGUCAAGAAAUGAAUAAACCAAUAUUAAUAAUCUUGGACCCACAGCUCUAAUUUGGAUUAAGCAUCCAUCUACCUAUGUGGAUAAUAUUUUUGCUAAUUUUUCAGCCAUGCAGCAGGAAUUUUCCCUUGGAAGAAAAUGAUGAGUCGUUUCAACGUAAUGCAGCUACCUAGACUGCAUGGAAUUUCACCAGACAAUGACAAUUUAUUCUCAGAUAUAUCUAACGCCCCCACAUUUGUUUAGUCACCCAAAUUUGAAGGCGUCCGUUUUGAGACUGAUCAAAACUUUUUCCAAAAAUUCGGGAUUCAGGUCGAUCAGGCCGGUUAUGUUUUGAAAAACUUGUAAAUUUUCAGUGAUCAAACUUCAAAACUUUGCAAAUAGGUCAAAAUAUGAAAAAUACUUGAUAUAUUAUUGAAUACUCAUUUUGUUUUGCAUUAAUAUAAGGCUGUGGGUGCUGUCUGGUAAUGUUGGUAAAAUUUCUUGAGUUGAAAACAAUAAAACGAAAACAGCUCUAAUAGAUCCGCCCCUGUUUGAAACUCACUCAUAUGGAUGGGAAAGAAAUUUAGUUACCAUUGGAUUAAAAAAUAAUUAUUAUUAUUAGAAAAAAAAUUGUAAGGCUUCGACAAGAUUUGCUAAUCAUGUAUAGAUUAAAAUUUAUGUGGGUUUGGCCACCAAUUUAGCAUUAGGAACUUAUUGUUUAGGAAGCUAUGGUGGGUUUCGUAGUGGGACUUAUCCUCUUUAAUGCAUAUGGUGAUUUUAAACCAACAUUUAUAUAAUCCCAUUAUAAAACUCAUCAAACUUUGUAAAAUAACUCGUUGAGAUAGUGUGCUAGAUCCAUAUAAAUAUUUCUCCAACUUCUUAGCUUGAAGCGAUAUUCAUUUCCAUUGAUAGUUUAAUGGGCAAAGCCUUUUGAAUUCUCCAUGUUAUCAAGUUAAUUUUUGCUGGAAAAUGCAAUCCGGAUAUGAAUAGAAUUUUUUGUGCAAUCAAAUUUUCUAUGUUGACACAUCCUCUGGAACUUUCAGUAAAUUUUGUGGAGAAGCUUUAAUUUCUUAGUUGUUGAUUUCGAAUAUAUUAAGCUCUUAUUUGAUAUUAAAGUAUUGUGGCCUAAAAGUUAUAGUUCGUAUGAAAAGAAAUUUGUAAUUACUAAAUAAAAAUUGAUAGAGUGUGAUAAAUAUAAUUUCAGAAUAAAAAAUAAACUUAACUUCAAAAUUACAAUAGUAAUUAUAAAGUAUUUAUUAAAUACAUUUGUGUUGUAGUAACUGCCCUACCACAGUAACAAAGAGGGGGCUAAUACUACAAAUUGUUCCAUUAAAAGUCUCUCAAAAAGGAAGAAGUGACUUAAAAAAUUAAAAGAAUGCAGGAGCUGAAGUUGGCAAUUUUGUAAAUUGCAAUGGCAAUUGUGGCCUAGUAAAAUCCUUCAAUGAGUCACAGCACUAGCAAUUUCUUAAUAUACAUUAGUGGCAAUUUUGUAAAAUUGAAGUUGUGAUUAGGGGUGGGCGCGGUUCGGUUCGGUUCGGUUUUUUACUAAAUUUUUCAUAAUAGUUCGAUUACGAUUAUUUUAAAAUCAUAAUCGCGAUUAAUCAAAUUACCGAAAUAAUCAAACACUCGAUUAAUUAAAAUAAUUCGAUUCGGUUCGGUUCGAUUAUUUCGAUUAUGGGCCUAUUGGGCUUAUUUUGGUUUUUUUUUUUAAAUUUAAAACCUUAAAUUAAUAAAUCUACCACAAACAUAAAAAGUUAAUAAACAAAAAAUUAAAAUAUGUCUCAAAAUAUUUUUCUUUUUUUCCGAUCAUCAACCUCCACCUCUUGCACUUCCUCCUCAUCAUAGUUUAUUAGUUUUCCAUUCUACAGCAACAAAACAACACAACAGCAGCAACAAAUAAAAAACCUUGGGGAUUACAAAAUAAAAAAUAUUAUGACAUUCCAACACUGGCCUGGCUGAUGGCAUGCAAUUAAAUUCAAAUCAUCCUCACCAAUUAUAAUCAUAAAUUCGACUAGAAAAUCAAGUGUCACAAUCAAUUUCAUGAAGUCAAUGUUUCAAGCUAAAUACAACAUCUCAAGUGAAAUCAAAACAACAUUUUAUUACCUCCAAUUUUAAUCUCGAACAAACUGAUAAAAGGAAUACAAAGUUUAUUCAACAGUAUUGUGCAUUAACAAAGCAUAUGGAUAAAAGGAUUAAGAAAUGGAGAAGAAUUGCUGAGAAUGCAAGUCUGGCUAAUGGGCAUCAUUUAUAGCAUCAUACAUAAUUUAUUUAUGCAAGUCUGCAAAUUCUUAUUGACGGGCCCCUUGGGAUCCUCUUGGCUAUUUUGGCUAUAGCUUUUUUUUAUCCUCUUGCAUUUACCCCUUGGAGCCAACGAAUGAAUGGUACGCUUACGCUAUAGCCAAAAUAGCUGGGAUUAAGAUAUGCCGGGCUUAUCAGAUUCAGUAAAAAUUCAAUGCAAUUUCUGGGAUUCUUACGAAUUUAUAUGGCCCCAAUGAUAACAAAAUAUUUUAGCUAUAGCUUUUUAAAUUCAUAAAACCUUGUUCUGCUGAGAGUUGUUGGUGACAGUGGCAGCAGCAGCAGAUGACAGCGGCAGCAGCACGUGGUAACAGCGGCGGAGACUCGGCGACGAGCAGCAGCGAUGGGCAGCAGCGACGAGCAGCGGCGGCGACGAGAAACGGGGACGAGAUUUCAGCGGCUGAAGGUCACGAUUUCGGUUUCAGCUGAAGAUCAGAACUCAGAAGUGGUCACGAUUUAGGUUGAUGAUCAGAACUCAGAAGAAGCAGGGAUUUGUCCGUGGUAUACCCCAAAAAAAAGGUAUUUAUCUAAAAAUACCCCCAUACUCAAAUAUUCCUCGUAUAUGCCUUUUCUAAUAUGCAGUUACGAAAUUACCCUAAUGAAAAAUCUAAAUCAACUAAACUACCACAACCAAUCGUGUAACAAAAUCCCUAAUUUUUUCUCAUGAGCAACUUCUUCUUCAACCCGUUCUUCUGGAUUUCUCCUCCUCCAUUUUACAAAUCCCUGUCAUUUUACAACUAUUCUUCUACACACUCUCGCCUCUCUACAAACCAGUAGCUGCAAUUCCCCCACUCUGCUUCAGCGUCUCCUCUUCCAGGUACUUUUAGAAAGUCAAAUUUUUUAUUUUAAUGUAAAAUAAAAUUUGAAAGUUUCAAAGCUCAAGUUAUUGAUUUUUCUGGAAAAAAUCAUUUACAGCUGGUAUUGAAAUGUGUGCAAAGUCUUGUGCCAAAAGCUUAAUUUUCAUUUCUCACAAAAGUCAGAUGACAAGACUUCACUUGAUUAGGCUUAUGCUUGUCUUUUACCUUGCAUUAAUUUUCAUCUCUUGCAAAAGUCAGAUAAUAAGGCUUCACUCGAUUAGACUAGUAAUUGAUUUAACAUAUUCAUUUUCUGAUUAAUUGUCAUCCAAUUUGUUUUGCACACACAUCGGGUAGAAUUCAUCCAAAAAAAUGGCUUGUAAGGUGCGGGAGUCCGAAUACUUAUAAACCUACACACCAAGCCUUAGCUUAGCAAUAUGACACUCAAUUAUAGUUCAUAACCGAUAUGCACGGUGGCCAUAUAUGGGGCUAGGUGACUUCACAGAUUUCAUACAAGGUGAAUAGCAGGCCUUCUUUUCAACUUACUUCGUCUGUGCAGAGAGAUUUCAUCAAAAAAUUGGUAAAACUCAUUCAAAAGACCCACUUAUGAUGUUAGAAAGACCAAAUACCCUAUAAAAUGCUUAAUAAAGUGGUCGCACAAUUAUUCUUGUGUAUACAGUACCAAUGCAAUAGAAAACAGGAUAAACCUUAAUAUCUCUAGCUACUCAGUCCAAUAGACAGUAUAAUCUAAAGAUGUCGUGUUGUUGUAUUGUUACACUGGUGAGACAAUUGCUGCAUGUUGCAGACAUGAUACCUCUAGUACUUCAAAAGAUAGCAUAUCACGAAACACAUCCAGACUGUAGUGAGGUUAUUUCGAAAAUUCCUUGGCCCAUUGUGCGAGUGCGUGACAUCCCGCAACAAAAAUCAGGGUAUGUACUAUAUAUAUAAUGUGUUUUGAACAUAAUAAUAAGAAUGAUGAUUUUUAACAAUUGAUUUAUAUGAAUUUUUUUAGUGGUGACUGUGGAGCAUUUUUGUUGCGGUACUUGGAGGUCCUAGCCCAUGGACUUGAUGUCAAUUCAUACUGCCAACAAGAUCAUGUUACACAAUUUCGACAAGCCUUGGUUGUAAAAUUAUUUGGGCAUAGGUCAUGCAAAAAAACUUUGUAGUGUCAUAUUUUGGAUUAUGAGAUGUAAUAGUUGUAAUGAGGAUGUUGUUGAUAUUUGAUGUCAUUAAAGACAAUUGACAGCAUUAAUAUAUUUUAUUUCUUUGUUAUUUAUAUUAAUGAUAGAUAAGAUAGUUUGCACAAUAUAUGCACAGGGAAUAAACUGUAAGAGAAUACACACACGACUGCAGUCGGGUAUUUGCACAGAUACACGACUGCGGUCGGGUAUUUGAAAAUAAACAUAAUAAGCUGUGACAAAAUACUCGACUGCAGUCGGGUAUUUGCACAGAUACACGACUGCGGUCGGGUAUUUGGAAAUAAACAUAAGAAGCUCUGUGACAAAAUACUCGACUGCAGUCGGGUAUUUGCACAGAUACACGACUGCGGUCGGGUAUUUGGAAAUAAACAUAAUAAGCUGUGAUAAAAUACUCGACUGCAGUCGGGUAUUUGCACAUAUACACGACUGCGGUCGGGUAUUUGGAAAUAAACAUAUGAAGCUCUGUGACAAAAUACUCGACUGCAGUUGGGUAUUUGCACAGAUACACGACUGUAGUCGGGUAUUUACAAAUAAAAAUGACAAGCUCUCUGUGACAAAAUACUCGACUGCAAUCGAGUAUUUGCACAGAUACACAACUAUGGUCGAGUAUUUAGAAAUAAAUAUGACAAGCUCUCUGUGACAGUCAGGUAUUUGCACAGAUACACGACUGUAGUCGAGUAUUUAAAAAUAAACAUGACAGUUUUGUAACAGCCAAAAUACACGAUUGUACUCGGGUAUGUGCACAAAAUAAAAACUUUUUUCAAUCAUUCAUUAUAUUGAUGACACAAUCAAUAUAGAUUUUAAACAUAUCAAACUUCAAAUAAAUGAAACUAACUAUAGUCCGGUUGCCUAUCAAAUAACACAAAUCCAAUAGUUAUUGAAAUCGUAAAUAAGUCGUAAUACAAUAGAAGUUGUUUAACAUUCAUCAUAAAUUUUUGGCAUAUUCAACCAAAACACUCGGUCCAUAUUUUAUAAGCCUCUGGUCGCCUCCCUUCAAUACUUGUUCUUAGAAAGUCACACAAACAUGUUUAUUCAUCUGCGAAACAAAAAUGUAGAAAUUUAUCACUAAAUAUGAAAGAUAUUAAAAAAAAUUAAAACAACAAAAAAUAACAAGUAUAUAAGGUUCAUAGUAGUCUUGUAACUUAUUAACAAUUAUAGUAUGUAAGUUCAUACGUACACGCUAGUAGUCGUGUAACUUAUUAACACACACGACUAUAGUCUAGUAAUAGUAAAAUGAUAUAUAUAUAGUGAAAAAUAUAUAUUUUUUGAACCAAUAGAAUGAUAAGGUGUCAUAAUAAUUGAAAUUUUUUGCACAUUUCCACGACUACAGUCGUGUAAAUACAUACAUACACGACUGCUAUCGUGUAUGUCGAGUGCAGAAAAAAAUUUGACAACAACUUCAGAUUUUAACGAAUGUAGUUAUAAAAUCCAUCAAAUAACAGUCAUAUGAUGCAAAUGUAAUGAAAAUAUGAGUUGCUUUAGUGUUUAUCACAAACCAAACAAAACCCUAAAAAUAAUAUAAUGUCAACAAAUUGAAUAGAUAGCCCAAAAUAAAAUAAAAAAAAGUUUCAAAUACCUUGUUGAGUACAUAAAAGUACCAGGUCGGCCACGCUACCAUUCCGCACGGAUCGCCUCGGCCAAAGUGAUAUGAGCAGAACACUGAGGCUAACAUGAGCCGACCAGAGAUGAGUACUGACCAGAGGUAUAAGCAGAGCCAAUACUCGUCCCCCAAACAAAAGGCGAAAACACGAUCUCACAGAAUCACGGCAGUUGUGCUUUCCCAGAACCGUGACGGAAGACGCAAGAUCCCACGUUUGCCCAUAAUGCAGCAGUCAGAGUCCCAUACUGUCCCCCAAAAGGCGGAACACGCAAGAUCCCACGUUUGCCCAUAAUGCAGCAGUCAGAGCCCCAUACUGUCCCCCAAAAGGCGGAACACGCAAGAUCCCACGUUUGCCCAUAAUGCAGCAGUCAGAGCCCCAUACCGUCCCCCAAAAAGCGGAAAACUGGGAUUCAGAGGAAGCCUAUAAAAAGGUAGCCAACGAAGGUAAAGGGGUUAGCGAUUUUGAGAUAAAAAGAAAGAUUAAGGAAAUCCUAGAAAAAGGAAACCGACCCAAAAAGCCAUAAAAGUUGUGGCAAGUGUUCCCCAAACCUUGAUAUCUGACUUAGGCGUCGGAGGGUUUGCGCCGGGAAAACAACCGGCGUACUCUGACUUGUCUGUGUGCGCAGGAACCUCAGGAAAAGAAGCCUUACGAGGAGACCUCCCGGUAGUGGUGAAGUUGAUCGAGCAGAGAUCCUGGUCGUAUAAGGAGACCUCCUGGUCGUGGUGAAGUUGAUCGAGCAGAGAUCCUGGUCGUAGAACGAGGAGAACCAGAAUCCCGUAUCAAUAUUUUGGCGCCGUCUAUGGGGAUUUGAAUAAAAAGCUACCACCAAAUCAGUAAGUACCGGAGAAGCAGCGAACGAUCGGAUAUGGAUUCGUCAAGAAAGGAUACUUUAAGGGAGAGCAAUGAAACAGUGGAGACAAUCACUCUCCGGGAGAUUGCAAAUGAAGCCCGGGAGAGGAUGAUGCAAGAUAGACUGGAGCGGAUGGAGAAGCAAAUGGAGACUCUCGCGGCCGUGUUGUUUGAGCUGAGGGACGAGCGGAGAAGGGAUUGUGGAACCCCCGGGGAAAGAGAUGGAGUUAGAGCAGAGCCCAGCCUCCGGGGGCGUAGGGUCGGGGACAUCCCUCCGCCCGCAGACCAACCUAACGGAGUGCAUACCCACCGAAGUACUGGUCGGGUCCCAGGGGAACACGUGGACGAAGGGAGAGACCAACCUCGCCCCGGACGGGUACCGGAAAUAAAUAGCCGAGGGGCCAGUGUUGAUGAAGGAGAGCUCAGACAGCGGUUGCAGAACGUCGAGCAGGAGCGAGACCAGAUAGCUGCACGUGAUCCUGAUCGUGCUAUAGAGUUGGAGGGGGAGGUGCGCAGAUUGGCGCAGGUGAUAGAGGAGAUGCAGGGCAAGAGAAAGCCCCCAAGCUGGAGGAUAAUGCUAGACGAAGAAUCUCCGUUGUCAACAGAGAUCAUGAGUACCAUAAUCCCAAGAGAUUUCCGCUUCCCCGACCUCAAAUACUCCGGGCGAAGUGACCCGUUGGUACACAUUGAGCGCUUCAACGACAUGACGGGUGUGCAGGGGCUGACAUCAGCUCAGAGGUGUAGGGUGCUCCCGUUGACACUAGAGGGACGAGCCCGAGAAUGGUAUCGCAAGCUGCCCCGAGGAGGAAUAAAGGGGUAUGAGCAAAUGUGCCAGGAGUUGGCCGAGCAGUUCCGGGGGGCAGUGGCCCCAGAGGAUGACAUGAUGGAGUUGAUGGGGAUGAAGCAGGAGGAGCAGGAAUCCCUUCGAGAUUUCGUAAAACGAUAUCACCGAGCCGUGCUAGAUUUGGGAGCUUUUAAUCACCCGCAGGCAUUGAAGGGAUUAAAAGAGGGUGUAAGAAUCGGCCGGUUGUGGUAUAACUUAAGAAGCCCCCUCGUACAGAAUUACUCGUCGGGGUAUGAGCAGGCGAGACGGGAUAUAGAAAUCGAAGAGGAGAAAUCAGCAAGAAUUAAAAAUGAACAGCUGGAGGAGCUGAGGCGAAGGGAACGGAGAGCCCCGAAAAUGAGCGGGUCGGGAAAGCGAACUGGGGAAUCCUCAGGGAUGGGCGGAGCAUCAGUUCGAUCUCGCCCUUACCCCCUAGCUCAGAGAGCACAACAGUUCCAACACAGUCGGGCACAACCUCCGCGCCCCCCAAUACCAGAGCAGCAGCGAGAAUUCAGGCAGAUGACAGCCCGCCCUUAUCACCGCACUCCCAGAGCGGUAAGUGCGAUGAACCACAGGUCUGGCCGACCAGAGCAGGUACCGGCUAUAUCAGCCCGAGGUGACAUCCAGGAUAGCCGUGCAGUUCAGUUGGUUGACCAGAGUGCGGCAUAUAGACAAUAUACUCCAUUAAAAAUCUCCAUGGAGGAACUGUAUGAAAGGAUCGAGGGACGAGGACUGUUGUAUACUCCGGCCCCUCUAACGAAACCCGCUCACCGGCGUGAUAAGAACAGGUUCUGCAAAUUCCACAACACUCAUGGUCAUACCAUCAGCCAAUGCCGCGACCUAAGGAUUCAGGUGGAGGAUUUGGUGAGGAACCAGUACUUGGGUGAGUACAUAGAUGGAGUGUCCCCCGUCAGUGAGUCGCAAUAUGCACGGGAUGAAGGAGUUGAAAGGGGUUUGGAACGAGAACAGCCGACUAUCCAGGUGAUAGCAGGAGGGCCCACAUUGGUCGGGGAUUCAAACAGAGCACGAAAAAACUAUGGGAGAUAUGCCAUGACUGGCAAGGAAGUGCUUCUCAAUUUGCCAGCAGCCAAGAAGGCAAAAGUGCGGCAAGUUCCUAUCCUGUGGGCAGAGGAUGACGAAGAGGGCAUUUUGUACCCUCACGAGGAUGCACUGGUAAUCAAAGCAAUGGUAGCCAGUACAGAAUUGCGGCGAAUACUGGUAGACACGGGCAGCUCAGUAGACAUUCUGUUUAAGUCGGCCCUAGAUGAUAUGGGAAUUUCAGAUUUAAAGCUGGAGCGGACAAACACUUCCUUGAAAGGAUUUGGAGGGGGGCGGUUAACUCCCUUGGGGGUCAUUGAACUCCCGAUUACUGUGGGGACAAAGCCGUUUGAACGAACGAUGAUGCUGGACUUUGUCGUGGUAGAGGAAAGAAGCCUUUACCAGAUGAUACUGGGGAGACUAUUCAUGAGGAUAAGCCAAUGUGUAAUGUCCACGCAUUAUCUGGCGCUAAAGUAUAGAAUAAAUGGAGUUGUGGGCGUGGUAAAGGGCGACCAGAGAAUGGCCAGAAGCUGCUAUGCUACAGCGGCCAAGGAAACGCUGCAGGUUACCUCUCUAGAUAACCGAGGGGAUUCAAAAAAUGGUCGUCAGGAACCUGUUGAGAAGCUGGAGGAAGUUGUUAUAAGCAGGAGUGACCCUAGCAGAGUUGUUAAGGUCGGGUCGGAAUUGGGCGAAGCAAUAAAGGCCGAGCUGGUGAAGUGUCUGCAGUCCCAUGCGGACGUAUUUGCCUGGUCUCAUGAGGAUAUGCCAGGUAUUGACCGCGGGAUAGCUUGUCACAAGCUGGCGGUCAAAAGAGGGGCAAGGCCGGUGAGGCAGAAAAUGAGGUGCUUCAACCAUGAAAGGUACGAGGUCAUAAAUGCCGAAGUGGAAAAGCUGCUAAAAGCAGGAUUUAUAAGGGAAGCCAAGUACCCGGAAUGGAUUUCCAAUGUGGUACUGGUAAAGAAGGCCAAUGGGAAGUGGAGAAUGUGUGUAGACUUCACGGACCUCAAUAAGGCAUGCCCGAAUGACAGCUUUCCCCUACCAAAAAUAGAUCAGUUGGUGGACUCAACCGCGGGUCAUGGUCUGCUCAGCUUCAUGGACGCCUUCUCCGGAUACAACCAGAUACCCAUGAACGAGCAGGACGAGGAAAACACUACCUUUAUAACUAACAUGGGUCUGUUUUGUUACAGGAUGAUGCCCUUUGGCCUGAAAAAUGCAGGAGCUACGUAUCAAAGGUUAGUGAACAAGAUCUUCAAACCAUUGAUCGGUCACACCAUGGAAGUAUAUGUGGACGAUAUGAUCACCAAGUCAAGAGAACCGAGAGAUCAUGUGAAGCACCUGGAGGAGACUUUCGAAUUGCUGAGGAAGUACGAAAUGAAGCUGAACCCGGAGAAGUGUGCAUUUGGGGUCGGCUCGGGCAAAUUUUUGGGAUACCUGGUAAGCCAUCGGGGUAUUGAAGCCAACCCAGAAAAAAUACGAGCGGUAAUAGAAAUGAGGUCCCCACGAACAGUUAAGGAGGUGCAGAGCCUUACGGGGAAAUUGGCAGCAUUAAACCGAUUCAUUUCGCGAGCCACUGAUAAGUGCCACCCUUUCUUCCAAGUCAUAAAGAAAGGGAAGAAGUUGGAAUGGACACCGGAAUGCGAGGGGGCAUUUGGACAGCUGAAGGAAUACCUAGCCUGCGCCCCGUUACUAUCGACUCCGAGAGAGGGUGACCAGUUGUUGCUAUACUUAGCAAUCUCUAAGUGGGCUACCAGCUCGGUAUUGGUCAGGGAAGAAGAAGGAAAGCAACACCCGGUAUACUACACGAGCAAGGCUUUGGUAGAGGCGGAAACCAGAUAUCCGCUAAUGGAGAAGUGGGCUCUGGCUUUGAUAACGGCAGCACGCAAGCUCCGACCAUACUUCCAAGCCCACCAGAUCGUUGUGAUGACUGACCAGCCACUUCGGCAAGUGCUUCAAAAACCAGAUGCGUCUGGUCGGUUAGUAAAGUGGUCCAUGGAGCUGAGCGAAUUUGACCUGUCCUACAGGCCCCGAGGAGCAAUCAAGGCACAAGCCCUGGUAGAUUUUAUGGUGGACUGUGUUGAACCGAGGGAAGAGGUCCAAGAGGAACAACCGGCAGAGAAAGAGGAUUCAAAGGGGAUAUGGCUGGUAAUGGUUGACGGAUCACGUAGUGAGCAAGGAUCCGGUGCAGGAGUUGUAAUACGGAGCCCAGAGGGAACCGAGAUAACAUAUGCGGUGAAGUUCGAAUUUCAGCUCACAAACAACCAAGCUGAGUAUGAAGCCUUUAUCGCCGGGCUCGGGCUUGCACACGCUCUAAGAGCAGAAAGGGUAGAAAUCCGAGCAGAUUCCCAAUUGGUAUGUAAUCAACUCAACGAUCAGUUCCAAGCAAGGGGAGAGAAGAUGUGUCUUUAUUUAAAAAAAGCGAAGCAGAUGGUCGGGCUUUUCCGAGAGGUGGAAGUAAAGCAGAUAUCUCGGAAUGAGAAUUACCGAGCGGAUAUGCUGGCUAGGAUGGCUGCAAUUGCAGAUCCAAAAUUGCCUAAGUCGGUUCCACUAGAGUUAAGGACCUCGCCGAGUAUAGAGGAGGAAGUAGAGGUGAUGAGAGUAAGCGCUGAAGAAUCCUGGAUGGAUCCGAUUCGCGCAUAUGUCCGCGAUGGAGUUUUACCAGAGGACAAAAGGCAAGCAAGAAAAUUAAAGUGCCGAGCCGCAAGGUAUACGCUACUGGAUGGAGUAUUGUACCGCCGAGGGUUCACCUUGCCCCUUUUGAGGUGUUUGGAUGAUGAGGAGGCGGAUUAUGUGCUGAGAGAGAUUCAUGAGGGAAUAUGCGGCAAUCACUCGGGAGCAAGAACUUUAGCCUUCAAGGCCCUCCGGCAAGGAUACUUCUGGCCAACCCUGCACCAGGAUGCCAAAAGGAUGGCAAAGAAUUGUAAAACAUGCCAAAGCUUCUCCGAGGUUCCUGCACAACCCCCGGAAAAGCUGACAGCUAUGACAUCCCCAUGGCCUUUCGCUCAGUGGGGAAUCGACUUGAUUGGUCCAUUGCCUAAGGGACGAGGAGCGGCGACACAUGCAAUUGUGGCAAUAGACUACUUCACCAAGUGGGUGGAAGUGAGAGUCCUCAGCCAGAUCACAGAGAGGAAGACGACAGAUUUUAUCUGGAAAAAUAUCAUCUGCAGAUAUGAGAUCCCCUACGCCGUCAUCACAGACAAUGGGAGGCAAUUUGACAACGGCAACUUCAGGGAAUUUUGCCGAAACCUGGGGGUGGACCUGAGGUUCUGCACCCCCGCACACCCCCAGGCAAACGGACAAGUGGAAGCAGCCAACAAGGUGAUAAAGAAGCUCCUAAAGACUAGAUUGGGAGAGAAGAAUGGAGCUUGGGUUGACGAGCUACCAGGAGUACUGUGGGCCUACAGGACAACUCACAAAACCACCACAGGAGAAACACCGUUCGCUUUAGCUUUUGGUCAUGAAGCGGUAAUCCCAGCAGAGGUUGGAGUGGGAACACAUCGAACAGAAUAUUUCACUGAGGAGCAAAAUGACAAGCAGAUUUGCUUAAGUCUGGACCUGCUGGAGGAGAAAAGGGAAGGGGCCUCGCAGAAAGUGGCCCAAUGUCAGCAAAGGGUCAUGCGUUAUUACAACAAAAAUGUACGCGUGAGGCAGUUUCGAGCAGGGGAUUGGGUACUUAGGAAGGUGAACCAGAACACCAGGAAUCCUAACCAUGGGUCUCUCGGCCCAAAGUGGGAAGGCCCAUACCGAGUGAUACGAGCCACUGGACCAGGAGCAUACAAAUUAGCAUGCCAAGAUGGACGAGACGUGAAGAGGUCAUGGAACGCCGAACACCUAAAGAAGUAUUUCCAGUAAGCAGAAUGCUCUCUUAAAUCCUCACUCUGACAAGUUAUUUCUGUUGCAAUGCCUGAUAACCUGUCGCACAUGCAUAUAUUCUAUGUUUUUGAAAUACAUUCGAAUUCCAAUAAAGAUGAAGUCAGCAUGAAAUCCCUCUGCUAGCAAGAUCAAUAAAAAUUCUACUAAGGCAAGUAAGUGCCUAAUUCUGCUCGGUCAACGAAAGACCAGCAGCUAAAUUUAUGAAAUUUUACUAAGGCAAGUAAGUGCCUAAUUCUGCUCGGUCAACGAAAGACCAGCAGCUAAAUCUAUGAAAUUUUACUAAGGCAAGUAAGUGCCUACUUCUGCUCGGUCAACGAAAGACCAGCAGCUAAAUUUACGGAAUUUUACUAAGGCAAGUAAGUGCCUACUUCUGCUCGGUCAACGAAAGACCAGCAGCUAAAUUUAUGAAAUUUUACUAAGGCAAGUAAGCGCCUACCUCUGCUCGGUCAACGAGAGACCAGCAGCUAAAUUUACGAAGUUUCUACUAAGGCAAGUGCCUACUUCUGUUCGGUCCACGAAAAACCAGCAGCUAAUUCUAUAAAAAUUCUGCUAAGGCAACAAGUGCCUACUUCUGCUCGGUCAAAGAAAGACCAGCAGCUAAAGCUUCGAAGAUUUUACUAAGGCAAACGGAUGCCUAUUCCUGUUCGACGCACCAAAGAACCGACAGGCAAAACCAGACAAGAAAGCCAAUAGAGAGCGUUCAAAAAUUUUUAUAAAUGUUCAAUCGUUUACAAAACAAAUGCAAAUUUAGAGUUUAUACAAAAAAUAAGGUCAAAGUUUAGCAGAGUCAGCGGCUUCAGCAGCUGAAGGAUCAGCGAGCUCGGGAAGUAAGGGAUCAGCAAUAUCAGGAGGUGGGAGAUCAGCAACGCCGGGAGGAGGAGGCAUGGACCCUUGACCCACUUCGAAAGUGCGUCCCCCAGCUUCCCCCUCUUGCACCCCAUCCAAAGGGGCCUCCACCUGCUCCUGCUCGCCCUGCUCCGUAUCUGAGUGGUCGACCUGCGCCAUAUACCGCUGCACUCCGGCCUCCAGUUUGCUCAUGUCCAUCUCGGGAUAUUCUGUCUUAAGCACAGACAUGAUGCACUUGUAGGAGAAGGCAACCCCAGAAUCAUACUCGGCAUCCAGCCGAUCAUCCACAUCAGCGGAUUUGCCCUUCUCCUCAGCCAGCUGCUCGCCCAAGGAUCUGAUUUCCCCCUCAAGGGCGGCCCUCAAAGUAUCCCUUUCAGCUUGAGUAGCCUGAAGAUCAGAUCUCAGGUCACCCAGCUCGCCCUCGAGUUUGGAGGAAGUGGAUUCAGCAACCGCGACUUUCUCCUCCAGCUCCGUAAUUUGCUUGUUCAGCUCGGCUAGUUUCUCCUUGGAGCGGUCAGCAGAUUCAGCUUUAUUUUUCAGCUCUUGAUUGUCAGCUUGAAGCUUCUUCUCAUGACGCGCGGACCCAGUCUUGUAACACGAGACCAUUGUGGCCAAUCUGAAGGAGACUCUCUGAACAGAGGCAGCCAACUCGGAGAGGCUCAUGCUCUCGAUGUCAUUCACCAGCUUGGGCCCAACCGACCUUUUAUAAUCCUUCUGAUACGGACUUAGGUAGUCACCUUGAUCCCGAGAUGGAAGAGGAGAAGAUCGGUCCCCAGACUGCAAGCUGACCUCAGGACUCUUGUCGAAAGUUUUCUCCCCACCACUCUUACGAGAUGGAGGAGGGGGCAGAGCAGGAACAGGCGCCUUGGAAGGACCAACGCUAGGUCUCUUCGGAGGAGGAGGAAGAUUGCUGGAGCUACUCGGGCCCCGUCCACGCUUCCUGCUCAUCGCGCUGAGGAUCUUGUUAUUCAUCCCGGCAGCUAUGUCCACUAAGCCCGAGCCGACCAGACUUGUUGGUGACAGGAGGUCUUGGCAGGUAGACGCGUUCAAUAGAGCCGUUUCCACCUGAAGCAAAGGCCGAUCUUCAAGCCCCCCGACCAGACCCCACGACUCUGAAAUAGCACAGAAGGUUAAGGAACCCAAUAAGUAGCAAUCUAAUUAAGAAUAUAGGAAAAAAUGAACGACCUGGGGUGACAAACUGGGUGGGAAGAUAAAUGUCCCCACCAAGCGACCGAACCGCUGGACACCAAUUCCCUCCAGCAAAGAAGAAUUUGUUCUUCCAAUUUUUACAGGAAGAUGGAAACCCGGUGAUCGGUUUCCUCUUUGCGGAACUGGACAUGAAAUAGUACCAGCCUGCCUCCCUCGGGCUACUCCGCAGCUGGUACAGAUGUUUCACCUCAACAAGAGAAGGCUCCUCCGACCCGCACCUCUCCCACAACACAAACAUUGCCGAAAGAACCCUCCACCCAUUUGGGUGUAGCUGACCUGGGGCCAGGUGCAUACCGCCCAGUAUCUUGGCAAAGUAAGGUUGAAGGGGCAGCCGAGCUCCUAGUCUGAAACUCUCCAAGUGCAUCGUCACAUACCCUUUCGGAGGCCGACUAGGGACAUCACCUUUUCCAGGAAUUACAAGAAGAACCUCGUUGGGGAUGUUGUAAAGGUUCCUAAGUUUAAAUAGAUCAGUGGGGGUGGUGGCGCAAGCCAUGAAAUCAAUAGGGUAGGAAUCAGCCUCCACCCUGUGGCCUAGGUACCUUUUCUGAGCAGGUCGGCUCGGUCCGGAACUGCUCCCCUCACUAUCGCCAACUCCUUCAGGGAUCCCAACCCCACCAGAACUGUGGUUUUCACCAGAGCCCGACGCAGGUCCGCCCCUAUUCCCUACAAGCUCUAGCUCGGGGGAAGGAGAAAUAACCAAAGGGCGUGGGUAUUCAAGGGUAUCCCUGCCAUGGGCAGGACCUACGCUACUGGAGGGGCCUAAGUAAUCAGUGGGUAUUGGCACAUUGAGGCCUGCGUCCCCUGACUCUUCGUCGCCCUCAUCUAUAAUCAACUUCUUUCUCCGAUUCGACAUACCGGAAUCCCAAAGGAAAACCAAAACAAACCCAAGUACACGAAUACAAAAAGGGGCAACACAGAACCCAAUCAACAACAGCCAAAGAAGAGGUUAAAGGCAAUACCUGGAACAGACUGACACUGAUAGCGCUGCCGUGACAGAGAAAACACCCAGCCAAUGGAUACUCCGGACGCUGGAAAUGUGAGCAAAGUUCAGAGAAAAUUUUGGUUAACGGCGGAGAAACGAGUAACAAGAUGAUAAUGACUCCAGUCUAGGGAUUUGAAACGAAAAGGCGGAAAUGGAAGCAUUUAAGUGAUGGGAUAUGCCAGCUCACCCCCCAUAUAUCGAGGACUGAUAGCCCGUCGUUUCAAAUUUCAAAUACGAAGGGUCGGGAAGCGCCACGUCACCAACCGUUACAAGAGGCCAGGAUAGAUGUAAGCCCAGUACGCGAUGGACAUGCUCCUUUAGGCCCAUGCUCGAGUCAGAGUCGCCCCAGAAGAAAAACGGUACCUCAGGUCCACCCCAGCAAACAAAGGACCAGAUGAGAAGUUCCCCGGUUGGCGAGAUUUGACCAUCAGUUUCUACUCUUCACUCAUUUCACUCGCCAGACCAGAAACUGGGGGACUGGUGUUGAGUACAUAAAAGUACCAGGUCGGCCACGCUACCAUUCCGCACGGAUCGCCUCGGCCAAAGUGAUAUGAGCAGAACACUGAGGCUAACAUGAGCCGACCAGAGAUGAGUACUGACCAGAGGUAUAAGCAGAGCCAAUACUCGUCCCCCAAACAAAAGGCGAAAACACGAUCUCACAGAAUCACGGCAGUUGUGCUUUCCCAGAACCGUGACGGAAGACGCAAGAUCCCACGUUUGCCCAUAAUGCAGCAGUCAGAGUCCCAUACUGUCCCCCAAAAGGCGGAACACGCAAGAUCCCACGUUUGCCCAUAAUGCAGCAGUCAGAGCCCCAUACUGUCCCCCAAAAGGCGGAACACGCAAGAUCCCACGUUUGCCCAUAAUGCAGCAGUCAGAGCCCCAUACCGUCCCCCAAAAAGCGGAAAACUGGGAUUCAGAGGAAGCCUAUAAAAAGGUAGCCAACGAAGGUAAAGGGGUUAGCGAUUUUGAGAUAAAAAGAAAGAUUAAGGAAAUCCUAGAAAAAGGAAACCGACCCAAAAAGCCAUAAAAGUUGUGGCAAGUGUUCCCCAAACCUUGAUAUCUGACUUGGGCGUCGGAGGGUUUGCGCCGGGAAAACAACCGGCGUACUCUGACUUGUCUGUGUGCGCAGGAACCUCAGGAAAAGAAGCCUUACGAGGAGACCUCCCGGUAGUGGUGAAGUUGAUCGAGCAGAGAUCCUGGUCGUAUAAGGAGACCUCCUGGUCGUGGUGAAGUUGAUCGAGCAGAGAUCCUGGUCGUAGAACGAGGAGAACCAGAAUCCCGCAUCAACAUACCUUAUUCAUGGGAUGAAUAAUACACCCAGCUGCAAACAAACUCAGUGCAUUAGCUGUUUGUGAGUGAUUUUGAGUGUGGUGUGAGUUUUUGUAUAGGUGAUAAAUACGUAAGAAGCAAAGAGUGUUGUGAGUUGUGUGUGUGUUUUAUAUUUUUCUUUAGGGAUAUUUUAGACAAUAUACCACAUAAAAAGGCAUACUUAGAUAAUUUUCAAACAUGGGGUAUAUUUAACUAAAUACACUACUUUUAAGGCAUAUUUAAUUAAAAACCCCCAGAAGAAGUGGUCACGAUUUAGUUUAGAGUGUUUAGACUUUACUCACUUUAGGGAUUCCGGUUGUUAUUCGGUUUAUUUGAUAAUCGGUUCGGUUUUUCGGUUUUUUUUUUUAAAAUCGAAAACCGAACCGACUGGUUUUACUAUUAUUACUAUAUUACUUAUUCGGUUUUUUGGGUGUAAAAAAACCGCAAAAAAACCGAACGGAACCGAACGGUUCGGUUCGAUUUUUGAUUAACCAACUUUUUUUGCCCACCCCUAGUUGUGAUAGUUUUGCAAAUAAAAGUAAAAACUUUUUCCCUAAAUUCGGCUGAGCUAAAAGCAAGCUUAGCCCACACUCUCCUUCGCCACCGGUUGACGAGCUCUUCCUUCAAAUUUUGAACUUGAAGUGAUGCCCCAUCGAUGUCCAGAAUUUUUAAAGUCUCCCCAUUGUACAUGUACGUUGACGUGUUUAAUUGAUGUUUAUUUAAGCAGAAAUUGAAGUUUGAUCCUGAUUAAGUAAAUGAGAUCACACAUUCAUGAGUAAUUACUUAAAAUUAAAUUAAUCAAAAUAGUAAAUACGCGAGAAAAUGGAUCAUAUUCGUGCAGACACCACAAUCGAAUUAUAUAUAUCACCGCCGCACAUAAAUCUUAUUCCAAUGAUAUAUGAUUAAUUAAUUAUUUUUUUUAAUAACAAUUAAAUUGUAAUGUCAAUUGUCCACAUAAGAUUUUUUUGUUGUUGAUGAAAGUAAUUUUUUCCAUCUUUUGAAUAAUAAUUGUUAAUACAAAUCAAAAAGAUAUUGAGACUUGAAAUCCGGGUCUACUUGAGUUAGAAUUUUUUAUUAGAAAAACUAUUAGCCAACGAUUUAAAAAUAAAGAAGCAACACAAGAUAAAAAGUAAAAUGAGAGAGCAUAUAUUAUAAAAAGAUUUUACCCAUUCCAAGUGUGUACCAAACAAAGAGAUGAAUUUUCCUUUUAUAGUUACAUCAUUAUUAUAUAAAAUUAAUGAAAACAUUAUGAAUUAUAAUUCUUUGCGAGAUAGUGGGGGUUAUAGAAAAGUCAAGAGUUGCUAGUGAAAAAUAGUAGAAAGACUAAAAGAUAUAUAUUAUGAAUAUUUAUAUUUAUUUUAAUAAAUUCAUAAUAUUUUUUCCUUAAAUAAUUGGAAGGACCGAAGGAGUUUACGUGUGUGUAUAUAUAUAUAUAUAUAUAUAUAUAUGGACAUAAAAAUUGCAGGACGUGUAUUCUAGCGUUUCUUGGUUGUUCAGUGCUAGUUUUUAAAACCUCGAGCACGCGGGUUAUUUUUCGUUACCCUUAUCACCGAAAGGCUGUUUUAACCAACUAAAAACUUAAAGCUAAAACCCAAAACGCUCCUCUUGUUCGUUUCCGGGGACUUCACCUUGAUGGCCGAAAAGCAACUGGAAAUCCUCCGCGGGUACGAGCUGCGGCUCUUGCGCCACACCCUCGCUCCCCCACCGUCCGAUCUUCGCAUUCAAUCGCAACCGUUGAACGAAGAAAGCCAAUGCUCUCUCCUUCCACUCCACAAGCACAUCAACAGCCUCAUCGACUCCAUCGAGUCCGGCCACUAUCUCCAGGCUCUGUCCUCCGACGCGGCUGAACUCGUGCUCGACACGCUCGACUUCGUCGACAUCAACGACUCUGCCGACUGUGCCGACCGCGUCUACUCCGAGCUGCUCCAGCUUGUCGAAGCGUUUAUAGUGAACGAUUCCGAAAAUGACGUGGAUAAGGCUUGUCGAGUUAUUCUGCUCAUGUGUCUUUCAAUUGCUGCUCUUUUUUGGUUCACUCAGUGUAACGUGACUGGGUGAGUUUCUUAUUUAUAAAUUUUUAAAUAAUUGCAAUUAAUAUAAUAAAUAUUAGUAAAAAAAAAAAAAAAAGGUUUAGUGAUGAACGUUUGAACUUGAAUUAAUAGAGGCCUUUAGUUGAUAAUUCGCCAAAGUGUCGGUUUCCACUAGAAGUUUAAACUUUAGAAGGCAACGAAUUGAUAGAGUGGGAGAAUUGGGCGCGUUAUCAGCUCAUUUCUGUUGGCUCUGACUUGCUGGGAAAGUUCUCCUAUCUUCAGGUACUCAGUCUAUCGAAAAAUGAACAGAUUCUAUUGCUUAGACAGUGUUAAUGUUAAUAUUAUCUUUUUUAACUUAUUUUACAUUUUGUGAUCUUUUUGUAAUAUAUAGUUUUUACCAAAAUGUUGAUCAUGAAGACAAAAGAUUUGCUGUCUGAUGCAACUGUGUUGCCUGUGAAUGGGAUUAGAACCAUUUCAUGGUGGCUCACAAGACUCCUACUUAUGCAUCAAAGGAUUUUAGACCAGUGGCCGUCUUCUUUGUAUGAUCUAUUGAAAGUUUUUAUGGCUGAGACUUUACAACACUUUGGCACUUUGGAAAAUGUUAGUACUUAUUGGGGCAACCAGUUGCAUGAUAUCGAUCCUUCAGAGAUUGUUUCAACAUUUCAUUGAAAAGCUAGCUGAUGAGAUCAACAUGUCCCUUAAGUAAUUUGAGGAUGAACACUGUGUUCCCGAAAGUCUUACUCUAAUGAUACUUGAAGAAGCAAUGAGAAUGGAUGUUGCAGCAGCUUUGCUGAACUCAACCCCAGUUCCAAACAUGGAACAUUUGAAAACCAAAAAUGCAUUGUUUUUUUUUUCUCUUUAUGACUUCUCUAGUUGGGGAAUGUAUUAGAUAUUCACCUAAUCAGUAGGCCUUGAAGGGAUCCCAUGUUAGCCCCUUGAUGUUGGUCUGUAACUAAGUACAUACUUGACCUUGAAAAUGCUUUUGGAGGCAUCAGUUUCUCUCUGACUGUGUGCUACUUUUUGGAUCUGUUGAUUUGGUCAUUUGCUGAUUUAUAGUUUGUUUUCUGAUUCAGGAUGGGAUAUGGCUCCAUACAUAGAGGCAAUUGAUUCACAGCAGUCGUCAUGCUUCAUUGUAAGUAUAUAUGCAAUACAGCGUCAGUUUUUCUUGAUUUUAAAUCUCAUAUUCUGAAGUGGCACUUCUGAUUCUCACAUGAUUUUUCCAUCUUUCAGCUAAAGGUUUUCUGUGAUCUCUUACCUAUUAGAUGGGAGUCCACCCGUAGUCGCACAGAAGGGUGUGCUUUAGAGAUGAUGGACAAACUGGUAUGAUCUGUGAGCCUUUUCUUCUUAAAUAUUUUGUUACCUAAACCAUUUUCAUUCAAAUUGACAAGAGUUGCUUAUCGAUCUAUAGAAGAGUCCAAACUUUCUGCAUCUAGUACUUUAUUGGACCCAAAAAGCUUUUUUGCUUUUUCUAAGCUGCUAAUCAAGACUAGGUUUCUCUCCCUUAUAUCGCUAGAUAUCCCAUUAAUCGUUUGAUUUAAUUGUCUAGAGAGAUUAGGUACUUGCAUCUUUGCUUUUCACUUCACAAGUGAUUUCAUGUGCUAUCCUGUAUUCUGGUUCAAGAUUUUUAAUGGUUGCUUACCAUCAUAUUUUGCUUUGUUUCAGGUUGAGGGCAUUUCUAAUUCUUCUCUGGGUGUGACUCAAAGUAUUCCCUUUUGUUAUGUGAUUUAUGUUCCAACUAUUCCUGUCCUGCGAAAGUAAAACUAUUUCUUCUGCAUCUUUGAAUGAUUGUGAUUUAAUUUUCUUGUCAUUUUGCUAACUAUCAUUAUGCUGUCAUUGUUUCAUAUCUUAUUUGACAUAUGUUGAUUUGGUUAGAGUUUAAUUGCUCUGUUUAUUAAGCUGUGGCUUGAUUGGAGAGGCUAUUAAAAUUUUUGAGGAUCUGGAGUUGUGGGAUAAUCUAGUAUACUGCAACUGGUAUGAUGUCAUAGAUAACCAUUAUCCUAAUCUCUCUGUCUAUCUCUGUCUAUCUCUCUCUUUCUCUCUCUUUUGUGUUGCUAGUGGGAGUUGGUUUUGUGUAUGAUGUAAAAACAGCCUAUUGGGGAAGAAAGCAGCAGCUGUUGAACUAAUAAAAGCAAGGCUGUCUGAAAAGCCUAAUGACCCUAGAUUAUGGUUUGUUGAUGAGCCUUUUCUAUGAUCCAUUUUAUAGUUACUUCUCAUUUCAGUUAUAUCCAUUGUUGAUGUCACUUAUUGCAAUCUAGGGAUAAUUGUUCAUUGGAUGUGAGGAUAUUGUCAGAAGAAAAUGAAACCUUUUAAUUUUAUCUUUUACUUGCUGUAUCCGAUUUAAAAGCUCACUGUGCGUUCUUACUGAUUGCUUUUGGUCUUGCAUUUGAGUCAAUGUAUUUUAUACUCAUAUUCUGACAUUUAUUGUUAGUCUUCUGACGGUUCUGCACCUUGGUCCUAUAUUAUCUUCAGCAGUAUUAUCUAAAAGAUAAGUUUUUGCCGAAGAAAAUUUGCAUUAUAAACUAGAAAAGGAGGGGGGGGGGGUGUGAAGGAAGCAUCAGGAGACUGUUUUCCACUUAUCCUCUUCCCUGCCUGCAUUUUAGAUGAUUCUGAUGCACCAGGUGCUGUGAAAUGGUUGAGAAAUACAUACCAUCAAGUGAAUUCAGAAAAUCAUAUCCUUUCUGAGAAUAUUUAGUGUAUGACAUUUGAAUAUGUGGCCACAAUUUAAACAAUAAAGAUUUUCUGCAUUGAUUUCUUAUAAUGGAUAUAUGCAUGUAAUUAUAAUAUGAUAUCUUUUGAUUAUUGACCCAUUUGUUUAGAAAGAAGGAAAAAAAAAAAAAAAACUUGGUUGAAUGACAACUGUUACUUGACCUUAUCUCGGUCUCUUCACUGCCGUUUGUUUCUUAUAACUUGUGGUGAUAAUGUAGCCAGAAUGAUGAGUUGAAAUGUGGGUUGCUGACUUGUGAUACAUUUAGUAGGUGUUCAUUAGGUGAUGUUACAAAUAAUGAUGCCUGCUAUGAAAAAGCUUUGGAAGUUUCGAAUGAUAAGUCAGCUCGAGCUAAGGUGAUAUUCGUUGCACAGAGAAAAUGUAGUUCACAUCAUGCUUGUACCAUGAUCAUUUUUUAGUUAACAUAUCUUUAUGUGAAUCGCAGGUCUCUAGCUCGUAGUGCAUACAAUAGAGGGGAGUACGAGACAUCUAAAAUCCUUUGGUAUGUUGCUUUAAUGCUUUACUUCUCUUUCUGCCACACAGUAAUUUGCAGCAUUGACAACUGAUACGGCUGAAUGACAAUUUACCCUUGGUUUUGUCUCAGGGAGGCUGCCAUGGCCUUGAAUUCUUUGUAUCCGGAUGGCUGAUUUGCUCUUGGUGCUGCUGCAUUGAAGGUAUCUUAUUUUUGUAUUAGUAUGUGUUUAGUUUGGAGAGAUUUCUUAUCCUUUUGCCCCAAGUUUCUGAAACUCUCGGCUGAAAUAUAAAUACAGGCUUGGGAUGUUGAAAAGGCUCUGGAUGGGUUUACUCGGGCUGUUCAACUUGAUCCAGACAAUGGGGAAGCUUGGAACAAUAUUGCUUGCUUGUGUGCCUUUUUCUUUGUCAUCGAGUCAUUCCAUCCUCUUGCUCUGUAUUCUUUAAUAUGGUGUCAAUCACGUUCAUCUUCUAUCUGCAAGAGUAUGCUUCCCAUAUUUGGUUUACUUUGUUUUGACUUUCUUGUUGCAGUUGUUCUAUAUAAAUUUUAUAUGGUUCCAUAUUCCCUUCAUGAGUGAAUUUAGUUGCUGCAAAUGCUAAGAACUAGAUAGUACUGUUAUAUUUAGGAAUAGGGCAAAUAUUAGCCAGCUCUUUUGAGGAUUAUCCAUAGCAUAUGCCUCCAUCGUUUUUAAAGCAAUUGAAGUUCUCCUUUUCGUCUUAUUUAAAAGAGAAAAGCACAAAUUGCUUCCCUCACAUCUCUCUACAGUCUCUUUUCUCUCUGUUUAAUUUUUUCUUGUGCUUAUUAUUUGUCUUUUAAUGCGUCUUUUCUUCUUAUUUUAUACUGUACUAGAAUUUGUGCAGUCUCAAUUUCAUCUUGUCUGUGACUUACUGUAUUUUUCGCAAUUGUGGAACUUUAUUUAGCAGCAUAAUUAUUAGUUAGUGAGACAUUAAUUGGUUAAUACCACUUGUGAAGAUACCAAGAGCUACUUAUUCUCUCUUCUAGUACAUUUAAAAAAUUCAUGACAAAAUAUCUGGGAUGGUAAAAUUCUCGUCAAUUAUAACUACGGAAGUCUUGAGAUUUAUGUAAUCUUGCAGGCAUAUGAUCAAGAAGAAGAGCAAAGAGGCUUUUAUAGCAUUCAAGGAGGCCCUAAAGUUCAAGUUCUGUCUUUUUUCCCCCUGAUCACUACAUUUUUAUUUUCUGUCAUGUGCAAUGCAGUUGGAUACUAUCUGAUCACAAGAACACUGUCAUACAUAAUUUGUUGCUGCUAGGCAAAGGUGAUAUCUAAUGUAAUAACCUGUAACAUGAUUUUGUAACAGACGGAACGGUUGGCAAUUGUGGGAAAACUACAGCCAUGUUGCUUUGGAUGUGGGCAAUAUUGGUCAGGUAACCGCGGUUGUGCGCUUAAUGUCGAUCAUUUAUCACUGAAAUCUUUUGAGAUGAAGUUGGCAUUUUCUUAGGCCAUUAAUUGUAGCUUUGAAAAAAGCUCUGCUUCGGCAUGCGCAAAAGUCAAAGAAAUGGGACAUGUGCUCAUGCAUUAUGCAGGCAGCAUAUGGGAGAUAGCAGACGUAUUUAAUCUUUUAGUCUUUGUUUACCAAGCUUUGUUAAUAAUGUCACAUUACAUUAGGGGAAAGCCGGGAAUUUUGUUUGUUGGUUCACGUGAUAAGUAUAUGUAAAAAAAUAAUAUAUGGUCGAUAAGUCAUGCUUUGUUAAUAAUAUAUCUUAUUGAUAAGUCAAGAGUUUGAACGCUAAAAAAAUUCGAUAAGUUCAAAAAAUUUGUUUAAAAAAAAAUUAACUCUCUCACCAAUUGCAUAUAUGUCUCUAUUUAUUGGAUGCAAGUAUAUUAUUUAAGGUUGGUUACAAGAAUUUUUGAAAAUAAAUCCUAAAUUAAAUCAAAUCAGAAUCUAAAUUUAAACAAAUAGAAAAGAAUUUAAAUUAAAUCAGAAUCCUAAGUAAACUAAAUACGAUUCAUAUUUGCUGGGCAUCCUAUGGUCUGUGGGUCAUUAAUAAUCUAUAGUAUCUAAAUUUCUAGACAAAAUUGGUCAUUUUUGCAAAUCAUUUGGACAUAUCUAUGCAGCAGUUUACUAUUUUAGUGCUCGCAGGAAUUGGUAUGCUUAAAUUUUGGGCUCAAAUUGUGUGAAAAUAAUCAAAGUGAUAUGCAAGUUAAUUCAAGACACAUGAGGAAAGAAUAUCCUUUCCUCUGUUCUUUUAUGUAUUGCUUACAUGCCGUGAUUUCAUUAACCUCAAUUUAAGGACAAUUUUUUUUUAUCAUUUAAAAACAAUACACACACACACGUAUAUAUUUCAGAAAGCAUUUAAACAAAGCAACCGAACGUUGCUGGUGUCUAUUGUAACAAUGACAGCAGUAAAGCAAAAAGCAACUGAAAGUUAUCUUUAUAUGAGAAAGAUAGCUUUUCAGCAGCAUAAGCCUUUCACUAUUCAAUUCCAAACAUGUUCCUCAACGUGAUAACAAAUUCGUAACCUUUUCUGGGUCUGGAAGGAUCCUGGCAACAGUUUCUCUUUGCCUGCACUUGUUCAUCCAUGCUGAGAAUUUGGGGCACUCAUUCUCAACCUUAAAUCCCCCAAAUUUCUCAACCGCGUAAAACCAACAAGUCAGUGGAAUGGCAAUGACAUCAACGAAUCCAAAGCUAUCCCCGCCAAAGAAAUCCUUCUCCCCUAAAGCUCCCUCAAGUUGCUUCAAUAUCUCUAUAAAUUCAUUCUUCGCCGUCUCUGGGACCUCGCCCUUGCUUUUCCAUGUGUUGCAUACUGCAUCGAAUACCUACCAAAAGAGUGGUGUCAUCUUUUAAGUUCGCAUUUAGAAAAAUACAAACAUUUACACUUGAGAAUCAUAGACUGACCUUCUUGUCAAUAAAAUCUGCCCAGAACCUUGUCUUAGCUCUCUCAUAAGCACAGGAUGGGAGAAGUGGUGGCGAAGGCCAAGUCUCGUCAAUUUAGUUAACUAUAAUAGUGGAUUCACACAAUGGUUUCCCAUCGUGUAGAAAAACUGGGACUUUCUUGUAGAUGGGGGUUUGAUUUGAGCAGCAGGUCACUCUUGCCCCCAAACAAGUUCUCAGCUCUGGCUUCAUAUUCAACUCCUUUCUCAGCCAAUGCAAUCUUUGCUCUCAAGCAAAAUGGGCUAGCCCAACAAUCCAAAAGAACAACCUCUCCCUUGGACAUAUUCGCUUUCUUUGUUCUUGUUUCUUUUAGUUGGUUGAUAGUAAUUAAACCUUGAGUAUCAAGGUUGGCAUUUAUGAAGUAGAUAAGAUGAAAUUCCCAAAGUUUGUGUCGCAAUCAAGGUUUGUUCGUUGGCACUUCCUUAAAGGAUGUGCCAUUGUUCUUAUCAUUUCUUAGUUUUUGAAGCUAACUGUUUUACUUGGCUUUCAACAUGCACAAGAACAAGUUUGUCUUGUGUAUGCGGAGUUUACUAAGGACAAGCAGAAUCGUAAGUAAGCAUUUACACUAAUCGUAAGUAAGCAUUUAAUAAGUAAUGUAAAAAGUCUCUAGGAUUUUGCCUAAUAUUUCUCAAAAUAGGCUCAUUAAGCCCAAUUCUGGUGCUAGUUUGGUUCAACUUUGAAUCAAACUUGGAAACAUUUUUCUUUAGAUUAUUAUUAUUAAUUUAGAAGAGUCAAAAAGCUAAGUCUAUCCUUGGUAAAACUCAAACAUGUGUAAUAUCACAUAUAAGUAGUUAGUGAGUUUUGUAAACUUUCUUAAUUAAGAAGACACGUUUUCGUUUGUAAAUUCUAACACAAUAUCUAUUCAGUUUUUCAACUUGGAAUAUUACAAUUAUAUCAAUAUUGUUUGAUGUGGGCACACAACCCUGCGUCUUCUUAAUUAGGACAGCCAGUGAAAUCUACUUGUUAGCGAUGCAGGAGAUGAUACAUAACUUGUAUGUGCACGUUGGCGGAAUAUCCCAAUUAUGCACUCGUUUGUCUUCCUGUGUUUUAAAAAAUCUGUUGUAAUGGAUAUAUUGUAAAUUUAUCUAAUUGCUUGUUAUAAUGCUUCUAUUGUGGUGUUAUUCGAGCUGUCAUUUUCAGUUUUAUUUUAUUUUUUCUUUAAACAUAGUUAGUUUGAAAUGUUCUUGAUAUCCAUUACACUUGAGAUCAUCAAACAAGUGAUUCUCGAACAUAAUUGCUGUUGUUACUCGAAUAAGAAAAGAAAAUAACGUAUAGCUACGAUAAAGCAAAUGGAAAUGAGAGCAACAUGAUUUUGCAAAGUUAACUUCACACUAUCAUAAAACCGAAAACAAUAGCUUAAAUAACAACACACCAAAGCCAAAUAACGACCCAAUAGAAUCAUGGUCCAAAGAUUGUGCCAUGAUCACAACUUGAACUACAAAAAAAUAACCAACACCAAAAAAAAUAGGAACAGUUUGAAACUUUCAACUAAGCAACAUUUAUGAUUCCACAUCAGCAGUCCUACACACAUCUUCUAACAAUUGCAACUGUUCAUUUUUGCUUCUGCCAAUAAAGAGUUGAUAGUAACCAAAGAUUCUUGUCUUUAUUGUCAUUUGAGAGUAACCAAUUACUUACGCAGUCACCUAAGUUGCUGGUUGGCCUCGCACAUUUUUGACAAGUUUGUUUCUGAAGGAAAGCAGCUGAGCCGCAACCUCUUCCAUGCUCAUUCGUUCUCUCGGCGACUCUGAAGAGCAAAUGGCUCCGAUUCCCAGUACGGAAACCAAGCACUCUUUAACACUAAAACUUCUGGUCCAUUGUUUGUGAGCAUUGGCCUCGCUUGUCUCCCCUUCUUCUCUUCCUACAAGAAGCACUGGAUCAACAAUUUCAGCGAGUCUUUCAGGAAGAGCUUCCUUGACAAAAUUAUGUAGGGUUAGAUUGCCUGUAAACAUUUCAUUCGUCGGCCUCUUUCCUGUAAACAUUUCCAGCAAGAGUAUUCCAAAACUGUACACAUCUCCACUUGUUGAGACUUCGCUCCCCAUUCCGUACUCUGCAAUUCGAAAACUGAAAUUGUUGGUUCAACUAGUAAAAUCUCAAAGGAUUGAAAGACAAGUUAAUUAAAUAAUAGUAUUUACCUGGAGCAGCAUAACCAACGGUUCCUUUUACUCCAACAGAGCUUGAUUGAUUAGAUGACAAGUUAUUGGUGGCUUCCGGAAGGAAUUUUACUAAUCCAAAAUCACCUACAUGGGCAGUCAAUUCACCAUCCAGAAGAACAUUGCUUGGCUUGAGAUCACAAUGGAUUAUUGGAGUCUCGCAAUAAUGAUGGAGAUAAUCCAAUGCGGAAGCAACAUCAACGGCAAUACUCAGUCUUUGCAGGAGAUUUAGAUUCCUUGGUGCCUCACGGUUUGGAUGCAACCAUUCCUCCAGGCUCCCGUUCACCAUGAACUCAUAAACUAAAGCCUCGAAAUCAUUUCCUUGGGAGUCAACACUUGCACAGGAAGUUAUUAUUUUGACGAGAUUCCGAUGCCUAAUACUUCUAAAGGCUUGACACUCCGCCAUGAAACUCUUUGAAGCUCCUCGAUGUUGAAGAUUAAGCACCUUAACUGCCACCAGCGUUUCAUGAUCAUCAUGAUUGAGGACUCCUUUAUAGACCGAACCAAAGCUACCGGCAGCAAUCAAGUUUUCCAAAGAAAACCCAUCGGUCGCUUUGAACAGAUUCUCAUAGGACACUCGCAAAACCGAAGCCAAGGAUGCUGAUGGAGGAGUGGCCGGCUCCUUUUUUGAUUUGCUCCGCCAGGAAGUAAUUAUAAAACACGACAUCCCUGUCACUAACAAAAUUCCUGUAACUAUAGGAAUAAUCAGUUUCAGGGAACGGGAACGUGAUUGCUUUGAUUCUUUGAUGGAGCAAGUAGAUAAAUGCAACUCAGAUAUGCCACCACAGAGGUUAUCAUUUCCGUCAAGAGAUAUAGCACUCGAAUUGCUGAAGACUCCUUUUAUUGGUACUUCGCCCUCAAAAUGAUUAAAAGACAGAUUUAAAUUCUGUAAAAAGGGAAAGUUUUCCAGAUAUUUUGGAAUUCGGCCAGACAAAUUGUUCCGCGAAAGAUCAAGAUUCUCAAUGCCUCUCAAAGAACUCAAUGAUGAAGGUAUAUUCCCUCGAAAGAAAUUACCGUUCAUGACGAGUUGUUCCAACCUAAUGCAACUUCCUAUACUGCUUGGAAUUUCACCAGACAAUUUGUUCUCCGAUAUAUCUAUAGCACCCAGAUUUUUCAAGAUACCAAAAUUUGAGGGCAAAGGACCGUUCAAUUGGUUUUGAGAUAGAUCGAGAUAGAUUGACAAGGAAGAGAGACCAAUCACUUCAGAAGGUAUGGUACCACUGAGGUUGUUAUUAUAGAGAUCUAAUACUAUCAAGUUUUGGCAUUUCCCUAGACUUGAUGGAAUGCUUCCCUCUAACAUGUUUUCGGCAAAAUUUAGUGUCAUUAACAAUGUCAAAUUUCCUAUAGAAGAUGGAAUUUCCCCCAAAAACUUGUUCCCGUUCAGCCCCAACAUCUGCAGCUUUUGAAGAUCUCCUAUACUUCCUGGAAUUCGGCCUGUGAAUUGGUUGCCACUAAGGUCUAAAAGCUCUAAGUUAACAAGAUUUCUUAAUCCACUUGGGAUAUUUCCGAACAAUUGAUUGUUUCCAACUGAUAAUUUUCUAAGUCGGGUUGACAAGUUCCCCACAGCUUCAGGUAACAUUCCGCCACAAUUGGUGUCACUAAUUUCCAGUAGCUCUAGUCUAGACGUGUUAACCAAAGAAUUGACAAAUUCCAAGUCAUCUUUUUCCCCAUUUCCUAAGGGAUUCUGAGAAAUACUAACCUCUCGGAGUUUAUGUGAAUUUUCGAAACUAGGCACCUUUCCACUGAAUCCAUUCCCUCCGAUUGCAAGUGUCAUUAGAUUUGAGGUAUUGGAUAUGGAAGCAGGAAUAGGCCCAGCAAACUGAUUAUCAACAACGUUUAAUAGUUCAAGAUUAGGAAGAGUGAAGCCUAAGUCUGAUGGAAAGCUUCCUUGAAGUUGGUUAACAGGAAAAUCAAAAACACUAAGCGAAGACAAGUUGUAGAUAGAGAAAGGGAUUUCACCUGAUAGCUUAUUUAUUCCAAAUGCUAUAAUACGCAUCCUCUUAAUAUCCCUCAGGGUUUCAGGAAUUCGUCCCACAAAUUGAUUUGCAGUUGCUGAGAGGACCUCGAGUGAUGACAAAUUGCCAAAGGAAGAUGGGAUUUCUCCUGACAAGUAGUUGGCGUGUACUGUGAGAAUCCGGAGCUUUGGUAUGGAGCCCAGUUUCCCUGGAACUUUCCCCAUAACCUCAUUGAAGCCUAACCUGAGGGAUUCAAGGUUAACACAAUGCGAUAUGUUGUCAGGAAUUUGACCUCCGAAUGUAUUGUUGUCCAGCCAUAAAAUUCGCAACCUGAACAGAUAUCCAAUCUCUUGAGGGAUUUCGUUGCGGAAGCUGUUGUUUUUGAGAUCUAACACUCUGAGAAAACUUAAAUUACCAAUGUGAGGCGACAGAGACCCCUGCAAGAGUAAAGAUGGAAGAAGUAAUGCAGUCACCCUUUGGUGCCGUGGACUGCAAGUGACACCUUUCCAUUGACAAAAGUGCCUGGAAUAGUUCCAUGAACUCAAAACCUCAAGAGGGUCAUGAGUAAUUUUGGCCUUGAAUUGAAGCAAUGCAAGUUGAUCGGUUUCAUUGCUUUUGAGCACAGAUUCGGUUGAUUGCAAGCUGAAGCUGAAGCAACAGAAAAUAAAGAAACAAAUGCUUGCAAUGAUUGAACUCGUCAUGUUUACAAAAUCCAUUUAACUGCCGAAAGGAAAUUAAAAUGAUAAAACUUUUAUAGAGGUUGGUAAGAUCAACUAUGUUUGUAUAUUUUUUGCAAUGAUUUAUGGACUCUGUCCCUGAUGCUCAAAUGUGAACCGGCUGACCCCGCGACAGUGAAACUAAUACUUUUGUUUUUCUAAUAAUAUUAAUUAUCAUAUUUACUACUAUUGUAAGAAUAAUUUAAAAUAGCUUUAAAGAAAGACCCACCAGACUUCCUUUGAGUCUCUAUCAAUUUCCAGCAUUUUGUCGUUUUUUUUUUUUUUUAUUUUAGUGCUUAAUCCACAGUAAAUAUAGAACAAUUUAAUCAACAAUAUUGAAAAAGAAAAAAAGUAGGAUAAGAGAAAGGUAAAUACGAUGGAUGGAGUGUUAAAUGAGUUGGGAAACGUUCAAAGCACGACGGGAGACCCGGCACACUCACUUUCGACGCUCUAUCAGUUAAUCCACAAUGAACAUAAAACAAUUUAAUCAACAGUAUUGUUGAUACCUAAAAUCUGAUCUAGUUUAUUAGCGACUUAAUAUCAGACUUCUACACCAGCAUUAGAUUUAUUUGGUAGAGAAUCGAUUGGUCAAUCGUCUAGAUGUCCUGCAACCACCGGCGAUUAACCUACGAAUACCUGAAAUCAUAGAAGACGGUCAGAGGCGCCGGAAGUUUUUCUGGCGUGAAGCCUCCGACGCUCAAGUCAGUUUCUAGGCCUUUCGGAAAAAUUUAUGCCACCACUCAUGUGGCUUAAUAAGCAUUGCCUUAAAACCCAAAGCUUUUCGAGUAACUUACAGAAAGUAAAGUAUAGUGUAAAAGCAAGAAUUUUCCAUGAGAGGAAGAGAGCCCAAAAAAAACCCCCUGGAGAAGAGAGAAAAAAUAAAUAAAUAAUCCCCCCUAGGUAACUCCCCACUCCUCUCUUUCCCCCCUUGUUCUCUCCCACUUUCGGAAGUUAAGGAUGAGAUAAAAGUAAUGCCCCCACUCUCCCUUUUUUUUCUCCUUUUAUCCGUUACCAAACAAGUAUUAGAAGAGAAAAAAAGUAGGAUAAGAAAGUUAAGUAUGUUGGAUGGAGUUUCACAUUACUGUUAAAUGACUUGGGAAAGGUUUAAAGCACCACAGGAAUCAACGUUUCACAACGCUUUUUAGCUUUUUUUCUAAAAGGAAAAAGAUAUUCUCACAAAAGUAAGUACAAAAUUUCACACAAAACGGUGCAUUUAAAUAAAGUAAAAUUGCAAAAAUACUCAAAAUAUAUAAGAUUGAUUAUUUACACCCUCUUUGUUUGGGUGAACUAUUUCUGGAAAAUGGGCAGAGCCUAGUUUGGUUCAAAUUUUGAAAUAACAAAAGGUAUAUUGGUGGAAAACCAGCGACAUAUUUUCUAAUGGUUAACCUAAAUGGGAAUUAUAUCGGUUUGUACUGUCAAUAUAAUAAACAACUAACUAAAUUAUUUAGAAGUCAUGAAUAAAAAUGUAUAGAACAAGAAGUAUAUUGCUAUUCGAUACAAGAUAUAAUCUAAUGUUGGAUUAUUAAACCAUAAUAAAAUAAUAUAACUACACAUGUGCAGUAUUAUUCACUAGAAAGAUUUAAUUUAGAUAUUAAACAGUUAGUGCAACUAUAUCUAUCUCAUGCUCAUUAAUUUAGAGUUUGAGAACUCAUAAUAAAAGAAAAUAGAAAUUUAAACAUAGAUCCUAUUCUAUUAAGUAGAAUCAGAAAAGAAGUUUACAAAAAUAAUUUUGCACGGAAGCAAUGAAAUAUUAAUCCGGUUGAUGGAUAUAUUGGUGAACACAUAAUAGAAUAUUAUAAUAGAUUUUUAUCUAUCAAGCAAAGGGAAGAAUAUAAUUGCAAUAAUAAAAGAAUUAGAAGUAAAUAGUAAUAUGCUAAUAGGAUAUAAAGGAUUAAUAUUAAUUAUCAUAUUUGGCUGAAUGAUUCAGUGGUAGUGAGUAAUACCCACUUUCAAUACUCGGGUCUUCCAGGUAGUGAUCUUCAACAAGUAAUCAUUUUCAAGAAGUUUCAAUCGUCGGUGUCGUUUGAAUUGGUCAUCUAAAGCUGCCCUCUUGAUAUUUUUCUUGGUCUUUGUUUCAGACUUUUAGUUUUUCUAUGCAUAAAAUCAUUAUUAAGUUCAUUUUCUUAUCACAAAAUUCUGAAUCUUUUGCGUUCUAAUUACUACUAUUAGUUGUCAUAUUAUUAUUAUUAACAAUAAUUAUUUUAAAUAAAAAUUGUAAUUAUUGUAAUAAAUGAUGAUAAUAAUCAACUAAGGCUAUUUUGGUAUUGUAAUAAUCUAUUCCAAUUCCAAUAAAAAUUAGAUACAUCAGUGACAAUACAAAUUCUUACAGCUAAAAUAAAUAAUUUAUAAUGAUUCUCAUUCUUUAUUUCAAUUCCAUUCUGAUUUCUGAAACUAAGGUGGCGUUUGUUUUUUUGUCUGAAUCUCGGAAAAUAAGUAUUAAGUUGUUUGUUUUUUUCAAUUGAAAAAGUUAAAAAUAUAUACUUUUACAUUUGUAUCCUUAUUAAAUUUGAAUGUCAAAUAAAUAAUAUAUUAAAUACCACAAUAUUUUAACAUUUAUAAGUAAAACUAUAUUCAAGUGAAUACAUAAUUAUUUUGGAAUUUUAAUAUAUAAAAUACAAUAAAUUUCAAAUUUUAUCAUAUAUAAUAUAAGAAAGAAAAAACAUUGAUAUUUUUAUGUGGGGUAAAUGUCUAUGGGUGAGUUUUGGGAUAGACAUGAAAAAUAAAUUAUAAAACAUGGAUAUUUUUUACAUUAGUAAGUAAUUGAUUUAAUUCAAAUUUCUCCAUUAAGUAAAAAGUCAAAAAAAUUGGCUUAUUUUAUUAAGUCAAAAUUAUCUAAAAAAUCUCAUUAAGUUAUAAAAACAAAUACCUCUAAUUAACUUAAUUAAUUAAGUUAAGUCACUUUAAAUUAUUAAGUUAAAAAACAAACGCCACCAAAUCCUUUCGAUUACUUAUUAGUAAGCAUACCACUAAAGGAAAUGAAACUGUCCAUACACAAUAAAAUCUCUUUAAUUGAUCAUCUAGCCCAGCUAAAAUCAAUGGUCCCGAAAGAAACAAUUUCGGAACUACUCAAGCCUGCAAAUCUAGCACUGUCGUAGUACGUUACAGGAAUUUGAUUGGACGAUGUAAUAAAGAUGAAGGAUAAGAUCGCCAAUCAAUUUUCUGACCGCAUCAAGCAAAUAGGCCAUCUGUGAGGCGCAAAAUGAGUUAAAAAGAUGGAUCAUUUUGGAAUCCAUUAAUGCUGAAUCAUUCAGCAAAGCUUUCAAUUAACGUGCCCUUCGCUUCGGGUCCAAAAUUAGAAAAAAAUUUCGCUUCAAUUAUUAGCUUAUUUGGUUAAAAAAAAAUGAUGAAAAUGACGUUAAAUUCGAUCAGAUUUACAUAUUUAAUUUGCCCUUCGGAUCUCCUAUGUUUGUGUUGAUAGGCGGUUUUUACCUAAACUAAACCAUUAUUGGUGGCAUGUUGAUCCUAAAAUUAAGGAUUGAAUGGCUCCAUUACCUUCAUAAAAAGGAGAAAAUGACCAACUAUUGGGGAGGGGGUAAUAUAAGGUAAAAACAGAGAAUGGGAGGUUUUGUUGGGGGGGGGGGGGGGGGGGGGGGGGGGGGGGGGGGAGGAGAGGAGGAUUAUGAACCUUUUUCAACAUGACGACACAUAGGCCGCUGCUACCCUUUACUUCUUAAUUUCUUUCUCAUCCAAUCAAGAUUGCGAACUGCGAACCCGACUCAACAUUGCACGUUGAAAUUGCAUACUAUAUAUAUAUAUAUUUUAAUGGUUACAAUAGAUAGAAUUAUUCUACUACAACCCAAAAAUCUACCACGGUUAGUUUUAAAAUCCAUUCUCACUUAUAUUUAAGGUUUAAAUUUUCAAAUUGUCUUAAACACAAUUGUCCAUUUUAUAUAAACUCCGCAUCGCCUGCAUAACGCUGGGUGCGUAUUAGAAAAUUUCACAACUCCCUGCAGAAUAGCGAGCUGGAAAGUUGUCGACAGAAUGAGCAACUUCUUUAACUCCUUUGGUGCAACUACUAAGAAUACAUGUAUAAUAAUUUUUUUAAAUUAAAAAAAAAUGUAGAAACUGAAUUACAUUCCAAAGCUAAACACAGACGACAUCUCACUAAUUCAAACGAGAAAAUGCCAACUAAGUAGUACAAAAUCUCUGUCAUUUAUCGAAUAGAUAGAAAAAGGAAGAGGAAGCCGGAAGCAGCAGAAAAGUUUAAGUCCGGCAUGGUGUCAGCUCAGUCCAGGCUUACCCUGUCCAAAUUAUUAAUAAUAAUUCGAAUAGUUCUUUUUGUUAUUAAUAAUAAUUACUAAUAAUAAUAAUUAUUAUUAAUAUUAAUAAUUCGAAUAGUUUUCUUUACGAAUAGUUCUUUUUGUUUUCUCCAAGAGAAAUUUUUGCGAAAAUGAUGACUUUGACUUCCGUGGGUUGUGACUUCGUGCUUGACUUGAAGUCGGUCAAGCAAUAUUUGAUGAAAUGGGAUUAACACAAUUAAUAAUGAUGAAGACUUAGUGAUUUCUUGUACCGCCCGUGUGGACAUUUCUCCGUUGAUGACUGUUAAAGAAGGAUAUUUCUCCGUUAAUUAUUCCGUAGGAGCAAUGCGCUUUGCAAAAUUGAUGGGGACACAUGGUGUCAAAUGUCAUUCAUUAAUCAGAUAGAAGCUUCACAUUAAUUUUGUAAUCUGGUAUUUCAAAAGCACCAAAUAUUUUCUUUGCCCUACCCUCACGCAUGGUUUCUUUGUAUCAAAUUAAUGUCAUUUUGACCGAAAUUUGACGGAAAAUUUUAGAAAACAUAAGCAGUUGUGGAACACAUGGGGAAUGGUUUUAACCAGUCAAUUAAAAUAUAACGUGUAGAACUUAGUUUACUAGAUAAAUCCCUUCAAGAAUUUCACGAAAGUCAAAUUCAUCAUUUCCGCAAAAUUUCUCUUGGAGCAAACAAAAAGAACUCAAUGAUAGAAGGAAUUUUCCCUUUGAAGAAAAUGAUGAGUUGUUUCAAUGUAAUGCAACUGCCUACACUGCAUGGAAUUUCACCAGACAAUGACAAUUUAUUCUCAGAUAUAUCUAACGCCCCCACAUUUGUUUAGUCACCCAAAUUUGAAGUCGUCUGUUUUGAGACUGAUCAAAACUUUUUCCAAAAAUUCGGGAUUCAGGUCGUAUCAGGCCGGUUAUGUUUUGAAAACUUGUAAAUUUUCAGUGAUCAAACUUCAAAACUUUGCAAAUAGGUCAAAAUAUGAAAAAUACUUGAUAUGUUAUUGAAUAGUCAUUUUGUUUUGCAUUAAUAUAAGGCUAUGGGUGCUAUCUAGUUUUGUUGGUAAAAUUUCAUGGAUUGAAAACAAGAAAACUAGCAUUUGAAAGAAAUUUAGUUACCAUUUGAUUAAAACAUAAUAAUAAAAAUUAGAAAAAAUUAUAAGGCUUCGACAAGAUUUGCUAAUCAUGUAUAGAAUAAUAUGAAGAUUAAGAACAUCACCUUAGCUAAUUAUUGAACUUGAAAUUUUAGGAGAAAAAUUUAUAUGGGUUUGGCCACCAAUUUAGCAUUAGGAACUCAUUGUUUAGGAAGCUAUAGUGGGUUUCGCAGUGGGACUUAUCCUCUUUAAUGCAUAUGGUGAUUUUUAACCAACAUAUAUAUAAUCCCAUUAUAAAACUCAUCAAACCUUCUAAAAUAACAUGCUCAGAUAGUGUGCUAGUUCCAUAUAAAUAUUUCUCCAACUUCUUAGCCUGAAGUGAUAUUCAUUUCCAUUGAUAGUUUAAUGGGCAAAGCCUUUUGAAUUCUCCAUGUUAUCAAGUUAAUUUUUGUUGGAAAAUGCAAUGCGGAUAUGAAUAGAAUUUUUUGUGCAAACAAAUUUUCUGUGUUGACACAUCCUCUCAGUAAGUUUUAUGGAGAAGCUUUAAUUUCCUAGUUGUUGAUUUCGAAUACAUUAAGCUCUUAUUUGGUAUUAAAGUAUUGUAAACUAAAAACUAUGGUUCGUAUGAAAAGAAAAUUGUAAUUACGAAAUAAAAGUUGAUAGAGUGUGAAAAAUAUAAUUUCAUAAUAAAAAUAAACUUAACUUUAAAAUUACAAUAGUAAAUAUAAAGUAUUUACUAAAUACUUUAGUAUUGCAGUAACUGCCCUACCACAAUAACAAAAAGGAAGCUAAUACUAUAAGUUGUUACAUUAAAAGUCUCCCAAAAAGAAAGAAGUGACUUAAAAAAUUAAAAGAACGCAGGAGCUGAAGUUGGCAAUUUUGUAAAUUGCAAUGGUGAUUGUGACCUAGUAAAAUCCUUCAAUGAAUCACAACACUAGCAAUUUCGUAAUAUACAGUAGUGGCAAUUUUGUAAAAUUGAAGUAGUGAUAGUUUUGUAAAUAAAAGGAAAAACUUUUUCCCAAAAUUUGGCUGAGGUAAAAGCCAGCUUAGCCCACACUCUCCUUCGCCACUUGUUGAUGAGCUCUUCCUUCAAUUUUUGAACUUGAAGUGAUGCCCCAUCGAUGUCCAGAAUUUUUAAAGGCUCCCCAUUGUACAAGUUAAACAAUAAAGUCAGAAUGAUGACGGAGUUACAAACAAUCAAAUAUGAUCCUAAUGAUUCUUCUUAUACAGUCACCCGCGUGUUGACGUGUUUAAUUGAUGUUUAUUUAAGCAGAAAUUGAAGUUUGAUCCUGAUUAAUUAGAUGAGAACACACAUUCAUGAGUAAAUACUUAAAAUUAAAUUAAUCAAAAAUAGUAUAAAUACAGGAGAAAAUCGAUCAUAUGCGUGCAGACACCACAAUCGAAUUAUAUAUAUCACCGCCGCACAUAAAUCUUAUUCCAAUGAUAUAUGAUUAAUUAAUUAAUUAAUUUUUUUUAAUAACAAUUAAAUUGUAAUGUCAAUUGUCCACAUAAGAUUUUUUUUUUUUUGUUGAUGAAAGUUAGUAAUUUUUUUUAUCUAGUAAUUUUUUUUUCCAUCUUUUUAAAUAAUAGUUGUUAAUACAAAUCAAAAAGAUAUUAGGACUUGAGAUCAGGGUCUACUUGAGUUAGAAUUUUUUAUUAGAAAAGCUAUUAGCCAGUGAUGCAAAAUAAAGAAGCAACACAAGAUAAAGAGUAAAAUGAGAGAGCAUAUAUUAUAGAAAGAUUUUACUCAUUCCAAGUGUGUACCAAAUAAAUAGAUGAACUCUCAUUUUAUAGUUAUAUAAUUAUUACAUGAAAUUAAUGAAAACAUUAUGGAUUAAUUCCUUGCGAUAUAGUGGGGGGUUAUAGAAAAGUCAAGAGUUGCUAGUGGAAGAUAAUGGGGAGAGUAAAAGAUAUAUGUUAUGAACAUUCACAUUUAUUUUAAUAAAUUCAUAGCAUUUUUUUUCCUUAAAUAAUAGGGUGUAGAGAACAAUUGGAAGGAGUUUACGGUGAUGUUUGUUUUUUAACUUAAUGACUUAAAGUGACUUAACUUAAUUAAUUAAGUUAAUUAGAGGUGUUUAUUUUUAUAACUUAAUGAGACUUUUUAAAUAAUUUUGACUUAAUAAAAUAAGCCAAUUUUUAUGGCUUUUUACUUAAUGGAGAAAUUUGAAUUAAGUCAAUUACUUACUAAUAUAAAAAAUAUUCAUGUUUUAUAAUUUAUCUUUCAUGUCUAUCCCAAAACUCACCCAUAGACAUUUACCCCACAUAAAAAUAUCCAUGUUUUUUCUUUCUUAUUUAUAUACGAUAAAAUUUGAAAUUUAUGGUAUUUUAUAUAUUAAAAUUCUAAAAUAAUUAUGUAUUCACUUGAAUAUAGUUUUACUUAUAAAUGUUAAAAUAUUUUGGUAUUUAAUAUAUUAUUUAUUUGGCAUUCAAAUUUAAUAAGGAUACAAAUGUAAAAGUACAUAUUUUCAGCUUUUUCAGUUGAAAAAAACAAACAACUUAAUACUUAUUUUCUGAGAUUUAGACGAAAAAAUAAACAUCUUAUUCAGCUUCAGACAUUCAGAUCUAUUCAGAGCUUCAGACAUUCAGGUCUAUUCAGAUUUCAAACAAAAAAACAAACGUGUAUGUAUAUAUAUAUUGACCUAAAAAUUGCAUGACGUGUGGUUUAGCGUUUCUUGGUUGUUCAGUGCUAGUUUUCAAAACUUUUCGUUAGAUUACCACUUCUUGGUUGUUAAUUGCUAGUUUUCGUUUCUUUGGUUGUUCAGUGCUAGUUUUCAAAACAUCCGGAUGGUUGUUCAGUGCUAGUUUUUUCAAUCAAUGACUCCGAAAGGCUGUUUUAACCAACUAAUAAACAAAAGCUAAAACCCAAAACCCCUCUCUUUUUCGUUUUCCAGGGACUUCACCUUGAUGGCCGAAAAGCAACUGGAAAUCCUCCGCGGGUACGAGCUGCGGCUCUUGCGCUGCACCCUCGCUCCCCACCGUCCGAUCUUCCCAUUCAAUCGCAACCGUUGAACGAAGAAAGCCAAUGCUCUCUCCUUCCACUCCACGAGCACAUCAACAGCCUCAUCGACUCCAUCGAGUCCGGCCACUAUCUCCAGGCUCUGUCCUCCGACGCGGCUAAACUCGUCCUCGACACGCUCGACUUCGUCGACCUCAACGACUCAGCCGAGUGUGCCGACCGCGUCUACUCCGCACUGCUCCAGCGUGUCGAAGCGUUUAUUGUGAACGAUUCCGAAAAUGACGUGGAUAAGGCUUGUCGAGUUAUUCUGCUCAUGUGUCUUUCAAUUGCUGCUCUUUUUUGGUUCACUCAGUGUAACGUGACUGGGUGAGUUGCUUGUUUAUAAAUAUUUAAAUAAUUGCAAUUAAUAUAAUAAAUAUUAGUAAAAAAUUAAAAAAAAAGGUUUAGUGAUGAACGUUUGAACAUGAAUUAAUAGGCCUUUAGUUGAUAAUUCGCCAAAGUGUCGGUUUCCACUGGAAGUUUCAACUUUAGAAGGCAACGAAUUGAUAGAGUGGGAGAAUUGGGCGCAUUAUCAGCUCAUGUCUGUUGGCUCUGACUUGCUGGGAAAGUUCUCCUAUCUUCAGGUACUCAGUCUAUCGAAAAAUGAAUAGAUUCUAUUGCUUAGACAGUGUUAAUGUUAAUAUUAUCUUUUUUAACUUAUUUUACAUUUUGUGAUCUUUUUGUAGUAUAUAGUUUUUGCCAAAAUGUUGAUCAUGAAGACAAAAGAUUUGCUGUUUGAUGCAACUGUGUUGCCUGUGAAUGGGAUUAGAACCAUUUCGUGGUGGCUCACAAGACUCCUACUUAUGCAUCAAAGGAUUUUAGACGAGCGGCCGUCUUCUUUGUAUGAUCUAUUGAAAGUUUUUAUGGCUGAGACUUUACAACAUUUUGGCACUUUGGUAAAUGUUAGUACUUAUUGGGGCAACCAGUUGCAUGAUAUCGAUCCUUCAGAGAUUGUUUCAACAUUUCAUUUAGAAGCAGGACUGUUAGAACACAUUUACAGGAGAGUUGAUUCUUGCAGGUGAGUUAUCCUGGGAAAGUUUUAUAUUUGAUGGUCUUAUUUCUGGCUACAUUAGAAAAGUUUUCUCUUGGAAACAUGUUAUUUCCAACAUGGAACUUGCCUGUAGAACUCUCUCAGUCAUUGUAAUUGAUUUUGUGCAUUGUGUGUAAGGGAGAUGCAAGAACAAAGUUUUAUGUUUGGACUUCAUCAAAAUCUCCCAUUUUUUAAUGUUUAUUGUUUCAAUCAUCGAACAUUAGUUUGAGUUGUUAGCAGUGGAAUUUGCAUUAACUGAUUACUAACUUCCAUCAUUACCAUUAUUAUAGGACUUCUUCUAUAGUUUCUGCUGCUUUCUAAAAUGCUUUACUGUAUCAGGAAACAUUUUGAAUCAGCUGAAGUGGCAGCCGGUCUCCAGCUUUCGGUUACUGGGGUUCUUGGUUUCCGUACUGUCCGUCAGGUAAAGAUUGAAUGUGCAUCAUUUAUAAAGUUGUCGGGAUCUUCCUUCUUAGGUUUGAGAUUGCUCUUGCAUAUAGGUAGAACCAAAAGGCACAAAUGGUACUUGUUGCAAACACAAGCUCAACCAACACUUCUGAUGUCUGCCCUUCAAUAAACCAAGUUAUUCAUACACAUGAUUCUACUAUUGGUGAUGCCUCUGAUGUUUUUGUGACCCCAAAAUUAUUGGGGAAUAGUCAUGAAUCUGAAUCUGGAGUCCAAUGCAUUCAUGCUGGUGGCUCAGCGGCCCAUUUAAAGGCAAUCCAACAGGCAGUGAUCUUGUCGAGGUGCCUUCUAAUAGAAAAGAGCUCAUGGCAAGAUGAAAUGCAAAGGAAGUUGUUUUAUGGUUGGCCGGUGUGUAGUCAUCUCGUUAAAGGCCAUCAGAUGUUUGGCAUAUUGCUAUUUAAUUUUUAAAUCAUUCUCAGUAAUAAUUCCUUUAGUAGAUUGAUGAUAAGAGAUUGCAUUACAGAUGAUAACUGAGCACAAUUUUUGUAGUUGUAUCCCUGUACAUCCAUCUUAAUAUCCUCAUUAUAUUCACAUGCCUUUUACGGGUGUUAUUUCUGGAUGCCGAAUGCUUUGCUCCACGUCUGGAUACCAAAUGCCUUGUUCCACAAAGCUGAGCUGGUUAAAAAGCUAGCUGAUGAGGUCAACACGUCCCUUAAGUAAUUUGAGGAUGAACACUGUGUUCCUGAAAGUCUUACUCUAAUGAUACUUAAAGAAGCAAUGAGAAUGGAUGUUGCAGCAGCUUUGCUGAACUCAACCCCAGUUCCAAAAAUGGAACAUGUGAAAACCGAAAAUGCAUUGUUUUUUUUUUCCUCUUUAUGACUUCUCUAGUUGGGGAAUGUAUUAGAUAUUCACCUAAUCAGUAGGCCUUGAAGGGAUCCCAUGUUAGCCCCUUGAUGUUGGUCUGUAAUUAAGUAAAUACUUGACCUUGAAAAAGCUUUUGGAGGCAUCAGUUUCUCUCUGACUGUGUGCUACUUUUUGGAUCUGUUGAUUUGGUCAUUUGCUGAUUUGUAGUUUGUUUUCUGAUUCAGGAUGGGAUAUGGCUCCAUACAUAGAGGCAAUUGAUUCACAGCAGUCGUCAUGCUUCAUUGUAAGUAUAUAUACAAUACAGCAUCAGUUUUUCUUGAUUUUAAAUCUCAUAUUCUGAAGUGGUACUUCUGAUUCUCACAUGAUUUUUCCACCUUUCAGCUAAAGUUUUUCUGUGAUCUCUUACGUAUUAGAUGGGAGUCCACCCGUAGUCGCGCAAAAGGGCGUGCUUUAGAGAUGAUGGACAAACUGGUAUGAUCUGUGAGCCUUUUCUUCUUAAAUAUUUUGUUACCUAAAUCAUUUUAAUUCAAAUUGACAAGAGUUGCUUGUCGAUCUAUAGAAGAUUCCAAACUUUCUGCAGCUAGUACUUUAUUGGACCCAAAAGCUUUUUUGCUUUUUCUAAGCUGCUAAUCAAGACUAGGUUUCUCUCCCUUAUAUCGCUAGAUAUCCCAUUCAUCGUUAGAUUUAAUUGUCUAGAGAGAUUAGGUACUUGCAUCUUUGCUUUUCACUUCACAAGUGAUUUCAUGUGCUAUCCUGUAUUCUGGUUCAAGAUUUUUGAUGGUUGCUUACCAUCAUAUUUUGCUUUGUUUUAGGUUGAGGGCAUUUCUAAUUCUUCUUCCGGUGUGACUCAAAGUAUUCCCUUUUGUUAUGUGAUUUAUGUUCCAACUAUUCCUGCCCUGCGAAAGUAAAACUAUUUCUCCUGCAUCUUUGAAUGAUUGUGAUUUAAUUUUCUUGUCAUUUUGCCAACUAUCAUUAUGCUGUCAUUGUUUCAUAUCUUAUUUGACAUAUGUUGAUUUGGUUAGAGUUUAAUUGCUCUGUUUAUUCUCUUUAUAAUCUGUCUAUUUCGAUUUUUCUUGAUUUUAGGGAAUAUGCUAAACUUUUAGUAUGCUGUGGCUUGAUUGGGGAGGCCAUUAAAAUUUUUGAGGAUCUUGAGUUGUGGGAUAAUCUAAUAUACUGCAACUGGUAUGAUGUCAUAGAUAACCAUUAUCCUAAUCUCUCUGUCUAUCUCUCUCUUUCGUGUUGCUAAUGGGAGUUGGUUUUGUGUGUGAUGUAAAAAACAGCCUAUUGGGGAAGAAAGCAGCACCUGUUGAACUAAUAAAAGCAAGGCUGUCUGAAAAGCCUAAUGACCCUAGAUUAUGGUUUGUUGAUGAGCCUUUUCUAUGAUCCAUUUUAUAGUUACUUCUCAUUUCUGUUAAAUCCAUUGUUGAUGUCACUUAUUGUAAUCUAGGGAUAAUUGUUCAUUGGAUGCGAGGAUAUUGUCAGAAGAAAAUGAAACCUUUUAAUUUUAUCUUUUACUUGCUGUGGCCGAUUGAAAAGCUCACUGUGCGUUCUUACUGAUUGCUUUGGGUCUUGCAUUUGAGUCAAUGGAUUUUAUACUCGUAUUCUGACAUUUAUUGGUAGUCUUCUGACGGUUCUGCACCUUGGUCCUAUAUUAUCUUCAGCAGGAUUAUCUAAAAACUAAGUUUUUGCCGAAGAAUAUUUGCAUUCUAAACUAGAAAAGGAGGGGCGGGCGCCGGGGAGCGGGGUGGGGAAGGAAGCAUCAGGAGACUGUUUUCCACUUACCCUCUUCCCUGCCUGCAUUUUAGAUGAUUCUGAUGCACCAGGUGCCGUGAAAUGGUUGAGAAAUACAUACCAUCAAGUGAAUUCUGAAAAUCAUAUCCUUUUUGAGAAUAUUUGGUGCUAGACAUUUGAAUAUGUGGCCACAAUUUAAACAAUAAAGAUUUUCUGCACUGUUUCUUAUAAUGGAUAUAUGCAUGUAAUUAUAAUAUGAUAUCUUUUGAUUAUUGACCCAUUUGUUUAGAAAGAAGGGGAAAAAAAAAAAAAAACAUGGUUGAAAGACAACUGUUACUUGACCUUAUGUUGGUCUCUUCACUGCCGUUUGUUUCCUAUAACUUCUGGUGAUAAUGUAGCCAGAAUGAUGAGUUGAAUUGUGGUUUGCUGACUUGUGAUACAUUUUGUAGGUGUUCAUUAGGUGAUGUUACAAAUUAUGAUGCCUGCUAUGAAAAAGCUUUGGAAGUUUCGAAUGAUAAGUCAGCUUGAGCUAAGGUGAUAUUCAUUGCACAGAGAAAAUGUAGUUCACAUUAUGCUUGUACCAUGAUCAUUUUUUAGUUAACAUAUCUUUCUGUGAAUCGGAGGUCUCUAGCUCGUAGUGCAUACAAUAGAGGGGAGUACGAGACAUCUAAAAUCCUUUGGUAUGUUGCUUUAAUGCUUUACUUCUCUUUCUGUCCCACAGUAAUUUGUAGCAUUGACAACUGAUAUGGCUGAAUGACAAUUUACCCUUGGUUUUGUUUCAGGGAGGCUGCCAUGGCCGUGAAUUCUUUGUAUCUGGAUGGCUGGUUUGCUCUUGGUGCUGCUGCAUUGAAGGUAUCUUAUUUUUGUAUUAGUAUGUGUUUAGUUUGGAGAGAUUUCUUAUCCUUUUGCCCCAAGUUUCUGAAACUCUCGGCUGAAAUAUAAAUACAGGCUCGGGAUGUUGAAAAGGCUCUGGAUGGGUUUACUCGGGCUGUUCAACUUGAUCCAGACAAUGGGGAAGCUUGGAACAAUAUUGCUUGCUUGUAUGCUCUUUUCUUUGUCAUCAUGUCAUUCCAUCCUCUUGCUCUGUAUUCUUUAAUAUGGUGUCAAUCAAGUUCAUCUUCUAUCUGCAAGGGUAUGCUUCCCAUAUUUGGUUUACUUUGUUUUGACUUUCUUGUUGCAGUUGUUCUAUAUAAAUUUUAUAUGGUUCCAUAUUCCCUUGAUGAGUGAAUUUAGUUGCUGCAAAUGCUAAGAACUAGAUAGUACUGUUAUAAUUAGGAAUAGGGCAAAUAUUAGCCAUAGUAUCUGAAUUUCUAGACAAAAUUGGUCAUUUUUGUAUAUCAUUUGGACGUAUCUAUGCAGCAGUUUACUAUUUUAGUGCUUGCAGGAAUUGGUAUGCUAAAAUUUUGGGCUUAAAUUGUGUGAAAAUAAUCAAAGUGAUAUGCAAAUUAAAUCAAGCCACAUGAGGGAAGAACAUCCUUUUUUUUUUCUUUUUUUUUUUAAGCUUAUGUUUCAUGUUUCUCUGUAUGGCAUAGGUAGUUCGAAGUGAGAGUAGUGCAGAUAUGCGGGGAUUAUAUGCAAGGUGGCUUAAAAGUAAAGGAGAUCUUACAAUCUGCUCUGAAGCCCUCUUAAAGCAAGUCAGAUCAUAUCAGGUUUCUCCAUAAAUCCCAUCAUCUUAUAAUAAGUUAGCAUUAUGUUUUACUUUGAUGUUGAUGGAAUUUGUUAAUGCUAAUCAAAUUUUGUUAAUCUCUCUCUCUCUCUCUCUCUCUUUUUUUUUUUUUUUUUUUUUUAAAGAAGGCAAAGAAAAAGCAUUGUGAUUUCAUUUUUGUUUUCUAAAUUUAUCUAAUGGAAUGACAAGUUGACAACUCAGCCUCUCUCUCUCUCUCUCUGUGUCUGUGUCAGGGAUCUGAUUUGUGGAAAGAAAGAGAUCGGUUUGAAAGGUUUUCAUAUGCAUCCUUGGAACUUUGUAAGGUUUACAUGGAAAUUUCUUCCUCUUCUGGUAGCUGUCGAGAACUCUUUGCUGCUGAGAUGCACCUGAAGAACGUACUUAAACAAGUAAAAUACCUUAUAAUUCGAUAUUUAAGACACUUACAGUUGGUAUUACAUUGACAGCAGUAAAACAAAGAAGCAACUGAAAGUUAUCUUCAUAUGAGAAUGAAAGCUUUUCAGCAGCAUAAGCCUUUCACUAUUCAAUUCCAAACAUGUUCCUCAACAUGAUAACAAAUUCGUAGACCUUUUCUGGGUCUGGAAGGAUCCUGGCAACAGUAUCUCUUUGCAUGCACUUGUUCAUCCAUGCUGAGAAUUUGGGGCACUGAUUCUCAACCUUAAAUCCCCCAAAUUCCUCAACCGCGUAAAACCAUCAAGUCAGUGGAAUGGCAAUGACAUCAACGAAUCCAAAGCUGUCCCCGCCAAAGAAAUCCUUCUCCCCUAAAGCUCCCUCAAGUUGCUUCAAAAUCUCUAUAAAUUCAUUCUUCGCCGUCUCGGGGACCUCGCCCUUGCUUUUCCAUAUGUUUGCAGACUGCAUCGAAUACCUGCCAAAAAAGUGGUGUCAUCUUUUAAGUUCGCAUUUAGAAAGAUACAAACAUUUAGACUUGAGAUUUAUAGACUGACCUUCUUGUCAAUAAAAUCUGCCCAGAACCUUGCCUUAGCUCUCUCAGAAGCACAGGAUGGGAGAAGUGAUGGCGAAGGCCAAGUCUCGUCAAUUUAGUUGACUAUAAUAGUGGAUUAACACAAUGGUUCCCCAUCGUGCAGCAAAACUGGGACUUUCUUGUAGAUGGGGUUUGAUUUGAGCAACAGGUCACUCUUGCCCCGAACAAGUUCUCAGCUCUGGCUUCAUAUCCAACUCCUUUCUCAGCCAAUGCAAUCUUUGCUCUCAAGCAAAAUGGGCUAACCCAACAGUCCAAAAGAACAACCUCUCCCUUUGACAUAUUCACUUUCUUUGUUCUUGUUUCUUUUAGUUGGUUGAUAGAGAUUAAACCUCGAGUAUCAAGGUUGGUAUUUAUAUAGGAGAAAAGAUGAAAUUCCCAAAGAUUGUGUCGCAAUCAAGGUUUGUUCGUUGGCACUUCGAUAAAGGAUGUGGCCUUGUUCUUAUCAUUUCUUAGUUUUUGAAGCUAAAUGUUUUACUUGGCUUUCAACAUGCACAAGAACAAGUUUGUCUUGUGUAAAUAAAAUAAAACCAUAAAAUUCCAUUAUUAGUGUAAAACCAAAAUAAUUAAAAUAAUAAAAGUGAGGUUAGUCGUGCGUGUGGACCUCCUCUUUAUGAGCUUGUUAUCACACCAUAUUUAGUUUCUAUAAAUAAAAUAACUAAAACUCUCUUAUCUAAGUAAGAAUAUUGUUAUUUUGAAAUACCAACUCAAUCUCUAACAAAUCUUAAGAUAUAACUUAAGAUUCUUGAGCUUCCAAUAUAAAACAAGUAAGAUUAACAUAACUUUUUCACUUCCUUCCAUCAAAGAAAGGAAUAAGUUAUAUAAUUUAAUUUAUGUUUAAUUAAAUUAUUUUAAAUGGGUAAUAAUUAUAAAAUUUUCCACUUUAUUUAAUUAACUAGAUAAGACCAUAUUGUAAAUUCUUACAUUUAUCACUUUAAUCUCUUUCCUUUUUCAUUCCAAUUCCGGUACAAACUAUUCCUUUUCAAAAAGUUGUACUCAAAUUGAUAAGUCUUGGAAGACCAAAACACUAUUUAAAAUUUAUUAUUUGUUUUAGUAGCUUUCAUGGGUGCAAGGUAAGGAACAAAACUCGGUGGAUUUUAUGACAAAAGCUUUAUCUUAUGUAGCACUUUUUUCGAUAUCUCGAACUUUACUCUUUAAGUAUGUUGUAUAAUAUUUCUACAAUAACAACAAACAAAUUAUAACCCUGAAAGAUCUAUUUACACUUCGAUCUCUAGCCAGUUCUCUACAAAAUAUGGCACUAAGCAACAAUGUAAUCGGAGCCAUCAACUUUGUUGCCGUACUUCUUUCAAUCCCAGUCAUCGGUGCCGGAAUCUGGCUUGCCACCGAGGCAGACAAUUCUUGUGUCAAGCUUCUACAAUGGCCAGUCAUUAUUUUGGGAAUCUUGAUUCUAGUCGUGGCUCUAGCAGGCUUUAUUGGAGGAUUUUGGCGCAUCCCUUGGCUCCUUAUACUUUAUCUCGUUGCCAUGCUCAUUCUUAUAAUAUUGCUGGCUUGUCUAGUUGUUUUCAUUUACAUGGUCACGAUUAAGGGCUCAGGUCACCUUGCACCGAGUAGAGCGUACUUGGAAUACCGCCUCGACGAUUUUUCUGGAUGGCUACGUAGAAGAGUUCGAAGCCCUUACAAAUGGGAUCGGAUCAAAAGCUGUCUUAGCUCGACACAGAUGUGCCCUGAGUUGAACCAGAGUUAUAGGAUGGCUCAAGAUUUCUUCAAUGCACAUAUUACCCCUUUACAGGUAAUUAUAAUAAAUUAAGUUCUCGAUUACCAUUAAUUUUAUUUUAUUCUUUACCAUUAAUUUCUAGAAAUUAAGAUUUAUUAGAACUCUAAAGUUAAAUUCUGAUUAAAAUUUUAAUUUUUAACGUACAUAUUCCUCUUUAUAAUUAUGACUGUACGUAAUUUUAUAGCAGAGAGGAUAAUUCUUACCCAUUAAUUAAGCUAACCCACACGCCCAUGGAACAAUGAAGAAGUAGCUAAUAAAGUAAAAACAGUGUAUUAGAUUCGGAAAACCAAGUUUCAAAUCUUCUUUUCAAAAAUAUUCUUCGUCUUUAUCUUUAUUGCGUGCCUUUGUGCUUUAUUUAUUUAUUUAUUUUUCUUUCUUUACAGUCUGGAUGCUGUAAGCCUCCGACAGAGUGUGGUUACACAUUUGUAAACCCAACAUAUUGGAUAAGUCCAAUUAACAAUGCGGCGGACAUGGAUUGCCUGCAGUGGAGCAAUGACCAAAUGCAGCUUUGCUAUAAUUGUGAUUCAUGCAAAGCAGGAUUACUUGCUAAUCUGAAAAAGGAGUGGAGAAGAGUAGAUAUCAUAUUACUCGUUACUCUUGUUGCUUUGAUAUGGGUUUAUCUGAUUGGAUGUUGUGCUUUUAGGAACGCCAAAACUGAAGACCUCUUUCGCAAGUACAAGCAAGGCACUUACACGUAAUUGUUAGCUGCAUGUAAACUCUCUUUGAUAGUAAUAUUAUAAUGUGUAAUUAGGGAUUGGCUUGAAUUGUUAUUUUGAUAAUUUUAUGAAUUUUUUGUUUAAGAUCCGUCUUCUUGGUUACUUACAUUUGGUUAAAUUAUGUGUGGGGUUUGAUUUGAUGACGACAUAAUCUUGAGUUGUGCGUGCGUGAUUUGUGGAGGGCGCCGAAAGUAGGUGGCUUUUGAAUAUUUGCUUUUAAGGAGAAGGGAUUUCACACUUCCGCUCCCUGCUGGCUCCCAUAGGCCAUUAAUUGUAGCUUUGAAAAAAGCUCUGCUUCAGCAUGCGCAAAAGUCAAAGAAAUGGGACAUGUGCUCAUGCAUUAUGCAGCCAGCAUAUGGGUGAUAGCAGACGUAUUUAAUCUUUUAGUCUUUGUUGACAACUCAGCCUCUCUCUCUCUCUCUCUCUCUCUAUCUCUCUCUCUGCGUCAGGGAUCUGAUUUGUGGAAAGAUAGAUAUCGGUUUAAAAGGUUUUCAUAUGCAUCCUUGGAACUUUGUAAGGUUUACAUGGAAAUUUCUUCCCCUUCCGGUAGCCGUCGAGAACUCUUUGCUGCUGAGAUGCACCUGAAGAACGUACUUAAACAAGUAAAACACCUUAUAAUUCGAUAUUUAAGACACUUACAGUUGGUUUAAAGAUUGCAUUUUCCGUUUCUGUUUUUGACUGGUUCAGGGUAAAACUUUUUCUCACUGUGUUAGAGUGCAUUUCUGUUAUUAUAUAGUUUCUUAGAAGAAAAUGCACUUUUUGGAAUCUCAGGCUGAAGGAUUUUCGGUGCUGUAACUAAUCUCAUUUGACAAUGUAAAUAUAUGGCUUCAAUUUCUUUAAAUGUAA